GGAUGAUGAGUAGUCAGCUUGUGCUUGGAUGGCAGGAGAAACCAAUGCAGGACCCUGACUUGGAUUGGCUGAACCCAAAAAAAAAAAAAAUUUAAUUAAUUAAAAAUAAUAAUAAUACACAUAUAUACAUACAUAUUUUCAUGAUUUCUAAAGUUCAAACUUCUCUUUUCCGUUCUUGGAAUUUGUUAAUAACUAAAGCAUCACUUAUAAACUGUUCUGUAAGGAAGACCUAGAAUAUUUGCACUCAAACAGUAGAUGGAAAGUACUUCAUCCAGGAUUUAGGAUAUGGGCUCCGAUUAAACCAAAUAUUCAAAUGGUACAUCAGAUGCUUCAGUACUUUGGACCGUCUUUCUCUAUUUAAAAAAUUAAUUCUUCAUUAACCUUAAUUAAAGUAGUCAUCUUUUUCCUCACAUAAAUCAUGAAAAUUCUGUUUAAAGUACAAGAUUUUUCCUCACUUAGUAGACAUAAUAUACAUUGACCAGCCAACAGCCCUUAGCAACUUUAACUUACAAUAUGCAGGCCACUUUGUUAUGAGCUCCAAGCUAGAUUCAUAUUCAGUUAAGAUGUGCUUCUUCAAUUAUAUGACGAAACAAGCUGUGCUCCUAGAAUUACAUGAAGAAACAAAUUAAAAUACAAUGCUUCAAUAUUUUGCCUUUAUAAGACUAAUGUCUUCACAUACUCAGGAAAAGGUACGUGACCGCAUUAAAAUUACUGAAAACAAAUUGUAGCAAAAAACAUUCAUCAUGAAAAGUUUAGGGAACUUCAACACGAGUACAAAAAUGAGAAGCCAAAAAAAAAAAAUUAAAUAAUGCUGUACCUAUGUGAGUAGGUUUUUUAAGUCUAAAGCACGUAGAAACCGUAAGUCCUAAAUAAAUUCAUUGAAAUUGAAAGGCUUACUAUUAUAUAAUUAUCAUAAAUAAAUAAGCCAGAUGGUAUUUCAGAAAAUAUACCAUUACUAGUUCAAUUGUGCACAUUUAAAAAUUGGGUCCAUAAUCACUCACAAAUAUGAGAAUUGAUGACUUUAACAAUUGACCAUCAGGGAACGUAAUCCUAUGUGCUCUCUGUAAAGUAACUAUUUAUCAAAAAUACAUUGAAAAUCCAAAUUAUUCCAGCGAUAAUUAGUAUACUUAAAAAAUGUGCAGCUAAAACCUACUAAGUCAAAAGUAAGGUAGCUCAGUAUGGGGUCAAUGUAGAGCGAAAAACAAAAUUCAUCAAAGAGUGAAUAUGGUGAUAAUAGGACACUACUUUCUUUUACUCAAGGAGUGAAGCAUACGUGAACGAUUUUAUGCAGGUGGCAUAUUUCUUUGUCUUCCAUGAAGGUUAAUUUAUAAUGCAUGUACAUACUUCAAAUAGAAGGAUAAAUUAGAAAAGAAUAAUUUCUAGAGUUGAGAUAAAGCACUUUAGAUGUAAUUGAGGGAAAGAUGAAAAAGGAAUCAUAUAUAGCACAUACGUUCUUUUAGCCUCAUGUAAGCAACUUUUGCUGCACUCAUCUCCGCUUGCUUCUUGGACUUUGCUUCUUGUCCAGAAAAAACUUGUCCUCCUACCUCAACAGUUGACACAAAAGUUGGUGCAUGAGAUUCACCAGAUUGCUUAGUAUUAUAAACUGGCAAAGCAUACGCUUCUUUCUGAGCCAAUUCUUGCAAAAGGUUCUUGUAAAGAACAGAAUCAUCCUGGAAAAAUAUGUUUAUUAACAAAAUAUGCGAAUAUGAAAGAAGAUAGAUCACUACUAAUACGAAAUUCAUAAGUUAUUCAUUAACAGUUAAUUAGAAGACUGGCCUGUUGAAAUUUAUCAAGUGACAAUGACAUUAAUGCAACUUUCGCCGCUUCAUGCUCGGCAUCUUUUAAAGUAGGAAAAAACUGAUGACUCUCAUAAGUUUGUCCAUCAAUUGUGACCUUACACUUGAAACGACUAGCAUGAGGAGGACCUUCCCUCUCACAUGAAUACAUAGGAAGAGGGAGAUUUUUCUUUUGAGUAUAGCUCUGCAGCUGGUUUUUGUAUAGGUGUUGCAUAUCUAUAAUUCAGAAAGAAAUUAUGAGUCACAUGACUUCUCAUCAUAAACAAUAGAAAUUCUUUCAUUUCCUUAUUUAUUGCCUAGAUAAAAACCAGAAGUCAAAUGUUCAGAAUGCAAGGAAAUAGGAUGUCAAUUCAAUGAAACAUCAGUAAACAUAGCAGUGAUGGCUGAAUCGCCUUGAGGAUAGAAAUACCCCGACCUUACCCUCCCCCGCUCCUUAAAAGAGUACCCUUCAUCCAUACCCCACUCUCACAUCAGGACUGCCAUCUUUAAUAGUUCUUACCACAGUAGGACUGGAACGCACACCCAUGAUCUGUGUCCCGCCAGUACAAUAUUUUAACUAAGUAGCAGCAGAACGCCAAAAAGCAUCAAUGUAAUUGAAUGGAUAAAAUAAGUACCAUCUAAGCUAAAUUCAUACCUUCAAACAAGAAACCAUCGAUGCGAUCAUCAAGCUAAAUGCCCAAGCAAUGUACUAAAGCAAUCAAAUCUAAGAAAUUGAACGUACAAAAUAAGUUCCAAUUAAGCUAAAUUCAUACCUUCAAGUCAGAUACCUCUUACUUGAAAUAAAUCAAGGUUACAGGAGAUGAGAGCACAAUCAGCUUAAUUGGUAGAGUUUAAAAAAUAUUAGGUCCUCUCUGGGGCAUACACAAUGAUGAAGAUGAAAAAGAUGAAGACUCAAAAAGUGAGAGAGAGAAAGGAGAAAGCUGAGAUUAGCUGCUUAGAGAAGGAGGCAGCAGAGAGGAAACCAAAUGGGAACAAAACCCUAACCUUGGGAAAGGAAAUAAUAUAAACAUAUACUAAGGUAUUUAUACGAGAAAAAAUACCUGGGAAAGGGCUGAAAAGAAAGAAGUUGUAUCUAUACCCCAACUGCACCCUAUUAGUUAUUUGAUUGACACAUUGCUUGACCCAAUUGGCUAGGUGUUUCCUCGUACGGGCACUGAAUAUGAAGCAGUGUGAACACUGAAAUUUCAAGUUUCCUUAUAUAUACUUUUUGAUUUCACUAUUUUACUUCUUUUCACUCACCUGAGGCUCAAUGUAAGAUCGUCAAAUAGACGGAAUACCUGAGGCUCAAUGUAAGAUCUUCAAAUAGAUGGAAUUGGAUUGAAAGAUUGAGUUCUCUCACUUGAUAUCAAAUUCAGAGUUAACUUAGAGAUCUAUUUCAUUAUAUGUUAUUAGUGCGUCUCAAAAAUGACAUGUAAUGGUCCACUCAAAUGUUUUAUUUAAAUAUCCGUCCAUAUAUUAUCCAAUAUUCCCUUUCAACAUUACCGUACCUAGCAUUAAUAAAUUUUAGGCACAUCACAGCAUAUCCAAAUUUACGUAUGUCCAGCAAUUUUCUAAUUGAAAAUGAUUUUGUACAUAAAAAUACAGAUAUGUGGACAAGAACAACAAUCAAGAUCAUCAAAUUUAGUAUGGAAGAAAAGAAUACAAAUGAAAAUAUGUGACAAUCCAACUUCAAUUGAAGUUGUUAAUUAGAACUUCACCAAGGCCAACAGAAGUAUGAGAAACAUGAAUCAUAAUUAUAAAAAAUAAUAAUAACAUAAAUCACUUAGAAGUUCUCUGAUGCGGUAAAUUGAAAUAGAGCUACAUUCAAGAAAUCAUGACUAUAGGCUUUGUCUUUAAUAGCCUCUUUAAUCCUCAAUCUUUUGACAUCACCAUAGCAGAAAAGUAAGUACACAAAAUUCAACAAUAUAUGCAUGAUCAAUCAAUAAAACCAAUAAACCAAAUAUCUAAAUCAAGAAAUUACAGAAAGGAAAAGAAAUUAUUACUAAAAUAAUUAUCUGACCUCUUGAUUUGUGAACAUCAUUGACAGUUGAGAUCGUUGCAUUGACCUGAGUAGUUCGAUCUGUUUCUCGAGCAUUUACUUGCACUGCACUUUCACUCGAAGAACCUACAAAAAUUAUUUAUAACCCAGUGUAAAGAAGAAGUAAAGUUUUCCGCACGAACAUGGUAAAGUAAAGUUUUCUGUAGGAAAAUGGUAACUUCAAAAUCCGUUUCAAACCUAUCAUACAUCCCCCACCCUCAUUUAAGACUAGUGCUUGCAAAAACUAGAAGUAAUUUAUCCAGAACAUAAAAGCAGAGAAAAUCCAGUCCAGUAUAAAUAUAAAAUUAGAUAAUACCUACCAUUUACCAUUUCAUUCAAGAACACCACACAGUUAACGAAACCAACAUAGGUAUGUUUCCAACUGUUGUACUUUCAAGUUAAUUUUGAAAGCGCGGAAGCUAAAGCCUAAACUGUUGUUUGAUAAAAGCCCAUCCACUGACUGAUACUUGGCGGGUAGCAAUUCCAUUCAAUAGCAGUCAUAGAAUAAAAGUACAAAACAAACCCCUGUUUAAAAAAUGCAAUGAAGCAGCCAUGAUUUCAAUUAUUUGCAUGUCUGGGAUUGCAGUUGAUUCCAAAUUGAGAAUAUACUUCGAGAAUAUGUUUGAUAAGCCCUUAUGUGAUGAUCGCUGGUUUAUUGAGUCUUAAAAGAACAACUCAAUCAACUAAUGUUUGAUUUGAAAAAAAAAAAUGGCAAAUCAAAAAAGUUUUGGAGUAGAUUCUCAAAAGAGUGAUUAUUUGAUAAUCCACCAUAAUCCCACAUAGUUAUCAGAAUGAAAUUAAAAUCCGAGGAAUGUUAUUUAAGGCAAACAGCACUUUUUUUAUUUUAACCAACACUUGCAAAUUGCAAUUCUUAAACUAAAAGCAUGCAAAAUAAAUGCAAAUUAAGAACGCACCUAACAGAAAAUAAUAAUAAUAAUAAUCUGAAUUGGCAAUAUUAAAAUUACCGUUAGAAGAGGAAGCGGCAGGAGUAGAGGAUGGUGGAGGAGGAGACGAGAAAUGUUGGAAAGCGAUUCUAGCGGCGUCGUUUUGGGCCUCUUUGGACGACUUGUAAAGAUCCGGAGUGGUGAAAGAUUGGUCGUUAACGGUAACGGUUGCUUGAAAGCGAGGGUUGUGGUCAAGGCCUUGUUUGGCUGUUGUGUAUACUGGCAAGUUCCACACUCUCUGGUGGCAUAGCUCCUGCAGCUUCGUUUUGUACAUCUUUUUUGCUUACAAUAUUUUCACUGAUUUUAAUUUUUUUUUUGGAAUGGGAAACUCAAGAGAAGAGAGAAAUGGAAUUUAGUUGCAAAAUUUGAAGUUUAAUUAUCAAAUAUUACGCCAAGAGAGUACGCUUCAGUUCCACGAACAGGUUCAGAAUAAAUGACGCUUGGGAAUGCUGAAAUGGAAUAAGGCCUUUUUAUAAACAAAUAAUAAUAGUAAACCGACGCCACGGUGUUUUAAAAAUAAGUUUUUUUUUUUUUAACCUUGAAAUUCCUUAUCACAGUGACGUUUUAAAAUAAUAUUUUUUUAAAAUGCAAAAAAAAAAUUUCUUUCUACCAUUUAUAAAAAAGAAAACUUAAAUAAUUUACUGUAUUAAACGUUAAAAUAAACUAAUAAAAAAUUAUCGAUAUUCUAAAAACCAAAUAAAUAAUACCUUUCCUUUAUCUUCUUCUCAAGGAAGGUGGCUAAAAACUUUCUUCUCCAAAGAGAUCUUGUUCUAUAAGGAGACAUGACAUGAAAGUUGAAGGAGAGGGUGAUCGAAGGGGGGAAUAAAAAAUCUUUUAUGGUUGGCUCGUGGACAUGGACUUCUUAUGAAAGGUGGUAACGCUGUCUCAACGUCAUAAUUAUACCGAAGCUAAGUCCAUUUCAAUCAAUAUAAAAUAUGAAUGCGGUAACGACUAACGAGAAGUUAAUAGUUUUGGAUCAAACGAAUAUACAACGUCGUUCGUGUGUUUAUCAAAUAAGAAUUCAAUUUAAACAAUGUAAAUGUGUUAACAAGAAAUUGAGAGUUAUUGAUAAGACGAGCAUAAAAUUAAAACGUCAUUCAUAUGUUCAUCAAACAAGAGUCCAUUUAUGUAUAUGUAUUAACAAGGAGUAGGGAGUUUUAGGUAAGACAAGCAUGUUGAGUUGUAAUCGGAAUAGACAGAAAUCAGAAUAGGAAAUGGAGAUCAGAAUAAAUUAUUUAUUUGAACUGUAGGAAUCGAAAUCGGAAUGAAUUGAAUUGUCAUAAAUGUGUUUACUUUGUCUUGGAAUCGGAAUCGAAAUGAAUUAAAUUAUAACAAAUUAUUAAAAAGUACUUAAUAAAUUAUUGUUAUAAUUAUUAUUUUAUAUUUUAAUUAUAGUGAUUAUUUAUUCAAAAAUUAUUAUUAUUAAUUAUUGUCAAUAAUAUAUUGAUAUAUUAAUUAAUUAUAAUUAUUAUUAUAAAUAUAUUAAUUACUAAUAUUAAUAUAUUUAUCUGCUGUACCGUACAUCCNNNNNNNNNNNNNNNNNNNNNNNNNNNNNNNNNNNNNNNNNNNNNNNNNNNNNNNNNNNNNNNNNNNNNNNNNNNNNNNNNNNNNNNNNNNNNNNNNNNNNNNNNNNNNNNNNNNNNNNNNNNNNNNNNNNNNNNNNNNNNNNNNNNNNNNNNNNNNNNNNNNNNNNNNNNNNNNNNNNNNNNNNNNNNNNNNNNNNNNNNNNNNNNNNNNNNNNNNNNNNNNNNNNNNNNNNNNNNNNNNNNNCAUCUGCUGUACGGCCAAGGCGGAUGUACGGUACAGCAGAUUUGACUUUUUAUUUUUUAUAUUUAUAUCUUUUAUUUAAAGAAGGGGCAUUUUAAGAAAUUUUGAAUGUCAACGGAAGCAAAAGAACUCUAGGUAAUGGGAGAUUGAUUCUCACCUCUCCCAAGGAAUCAAUCUCUCAUUCCUCAUUCUCAAAUAGUGGUGGGUUCCAUGAUUUCAAUUCUGAUUCUUACUCCAUUUUUUGGAAGUAAAUGCCGUUAAUCAUUUUGAUUCUCCAAUUUGGAAAAUAAAUGUACCAUAAUAUUUAAUCAAUUAUUAUGAUUAUUGGAUUUUUCAGAUACUUUUAUCUAUUUUGGUUGGAGGGACGAAGUUCACUUUCUAUUAAAAGAAACAUUAGAGGAGCUUUCAAAGUCUAGGCUAAGGUUGUUUCCCAUGGCCUUGAAGCAAUACCCAAAAAGAGCUUUCCGGCUGGCAAAAUAGGCUUGUGUUUCUGCGUCGCAAAAUGAUGUGAAUGAGCUUUCGGAGUGUUUCCUCUGAAAUUUUAGAUGCUGCAAAAUCAACAUUGUCCCGCUCGAAGUAACCCGGACAAUUUCAUUUCCUAAUUUCUUCUUAUUUAUUAUGGCAUUGAUUUUCAUUGCAAGCUCAUUGCUCUGCUAAGAAAAAGAAUAAAUGGGGGCCAAAAAAGGAAGAAAGAAAUAGAGGCAAAGGCAACAACAUUAAUGCACAAACCAGUAAAGGUAUUCCAUCGAUUUACGGCCACUGAUAGCAAGCCGGGGCCUUUAAAAACGGAAAAUACAAGCAAAGAAAAAUAGAAGCCAAUUGCUCAAUAGUGCAUAAUAUGCAUACGGAAAAUUUUCAUCACAUCACGACCCACAGUUAUUCGAAUAGGUAAUAAGACAGGAAUUUUCUUUCUUUGUUUAAAGUGAAAAAAAAAAAAAUCAAUGGCUCAGGAAGUAUCCCUCCAAUCUCCAGAACCACUCACUUGGCACUGGCAAGCUGGGUGCGGAGUAGCUUGGCAGCAGCGACCAUGUUUGAGAGGGCUGGCUUCACCUCAGUGUACUUGCGAGUCUUAAGACCACAGUCAGGGUUAACCCACAAAAUGUUGGUUUCUAGCACAGCAAGCAUCUUGUUGAUUCUGUCAGCAAUUUCUUCAGUUGAUGGUAUUCUUGGAGAGUGGAUGUCAUACACACCAGGGCCAAUUCCAGCACCAUACUUGACUCCCUCACGGAAGACAGACAGGAGCUUCUCAUCAGAACGAGAGUUCUCAAUGGUGAUCACAUCAGCAUCCAUGUCGAUAAUUGAGUGGAUAAUGUCGUUGAAGUUGGAGUAGCACAUGUGGGUGUGGAUCUGUCAAUCAAUAUACAAUAAGAUGAGACACAACAUCAACAGCUAAAUUAGAGAGAUGAGAUUGGAGAUUGAAAGGGCAACUGACCUGGGUAGUGUCCUGGACGCCACAGUUGGUGAUUCUGAAGGAGUGGACUGCCCAGUCCAAGUAGAAAGCAUGCUCAGAUUUCCUAAGAGGCAAUCCUUCCCUCAAGGCAGCCUCAUCAAUUUGAAUAACGUUAAUGCCUGCCUUCUCAAGAUCCUCGACUUCGUCCUUGAUGGCCAAAGCAAUCUGGUAGCAGGUUUCAUGUCUGCAAAAUUGGCAGCGAUUUAUGUUAAACAAUGUUUCCAUUUCAAAAGGUUAACCAAUAGUGAACCAGUUCUCAUUUAUAUACCUGGGCUGGUCAUUUCUAACAAAGGACCAGUUGAGAAUGGUGACAGGGCCAGUAAGCAUUCCUUUCAUUGGGCGAGCUGUCAUGCUCUGAGCCAAGGAGGACCAGAAGACGGUCAUAGCCUUGGGACGGCUCACAUCACCAUAGAUGAUGGGUGGCUUCACACAGCGAGAUCCAUAGGAUUGCACCCACCCAUUGGCAGUGAAGGCGAAACCUGAUAAUUGCUCUCCAAAGUACUCAACCAUGUCGUUCCUCUACAAAAACAAAUGUCCCAAUUCAAUAUGAGAUACAGCAUACUUCGUAUGCAAUUAGAAAUGCAGAAACAAAAAUGUAUAAAAUUUUAUCUAAUUCAAAACCAGGAGACAUUGCUUUGCUUCCAUUGGGCAUUGUGAAACUCACCUCAGGCUCUCCAUGGACAAGGACAUCAAUAUCAAGCUCUUCUUGGAGUUUGACAACCUUGUUGAUUUCCUCCUUGAUGGAAGCAACAUAUUCUUCCUCAGAAAUCCUAAAAAGGACAAAUAGUCACGGCACAGUUAAUACAGUAGUCGAAGUAAUUUCACACAUGGCAUUGAAUGAAGGAAAACCUCAGAUUGACUCACUUCUUAGCCUUGUAUUCACGGCGGACUCUCCUAAGUUCAAUGGUUUGUGGGAAGGAUCCAAUUGUGGUGGUUGGGAGGAUUGGAAGAUUGAGCUUCUUCUGUUGAGCAUCCAAUCUAGCACUAACGUUUGUAGCACGUCUGUGGUCUGAUCCCUUCAAAGCAGCAGCCUAAUUUACCAAGAGGAAGGAAUCACCGUUAGCAAAAAAAGGAAACUCUAAGGGGCAGCCACAUCAUAAAAAUGGAAAACAAAUCAAUCAUGCCACUUACAGCCUUUUGAACUCUCUCAUUGGUCACUCUCGGGGAGGACUUUCUUGAAGCCUGAGCUGCAGCAUUGGCAGAGAAGAAUCCCUGGAAACAAAUGAAAAGGAGAAACAAAGUUAGUCUCAUUCAUAUCAUUUCAAAAGGAAUAUACAUAUGCAAUUAGUGGGCUGAUUGUGAGAGAAAAUGUCCACAAAACUUUAACCAAACACCAAAUGCCCAAGUUGCCAAAUGAUGUUUAAUUCGGAAAAAUAUAUUUAGAAACAUUCAAAUAAAUAAUUUCCCCUUCUAAAUUUUCAUUUUCAACAACAUAUUUUACAAGCCAAGCUCAACUUCAGGCCAAGAUUUUCUGCUCCUAUAAUUAUAUUUUACCAUAAAACUAGGUCCUUGAAAGGCUAAGAUUUUCUGACUCUUGUGACUAGUCAAAGCCUAAGAUUCUUUCAAUUCAUCCGUAGCUAACAUUUUAGACUAAAAGUAUACCUCAUCCUUUUGGCCAGCCAAAGCCUUGGCCAAUGCAUUCACUUCAACAACUUUCUGGGCAGCAAAUGCCAGCCAUGACUUGAUUUCAUCGUCGAGUUUGUUCUCAUUAACAAGAUCAACAGCAGUGUGAAGAAGUGAGCAGGAGGUGGAGACCACAAGCUUGUCUGCAAAGAAAAAUAAUAAAUUAUACAACAAAUCCCAUAAAAGAAUAAGAAAUAUUUAUCACAAAGAAAAAUGCAGGCAAAGGAUGUAUACCUUUGCCAACAACACCCUCAAGCCCCCGGAGAACACUAAGAGAAGCAGCAAGAUCAUUGGCCCAAAUGUUCCUUCCAUCAACCACUCCAGCAAAGAGGUACUUGCCAGCAGGGAAUCCACUCUUGAUCAAUUCAAGGGUCUUCGUUCCACGAACCAAAUCAAAUCCAUAAGCGGUGACACCCUUCAAAGAAGUGAGGGUCUGGAAUGCCUCAGCUGGAACAUCAGCAAAGUAGGUCUCAACAAGAACAUUCAAGCCAGACAGAGUUGACUCUAGCUCGGCAUAAGCCUCACUGAAUGCAUGCAAUUUGUGUGAGUCAAGAUCCAUAACAAGCAAUGGCUCAUCAAACUGAAUCCAGGAAGCACCAGCAGCCUUAAGCUCAGAAAUAACUUCCCUGCAGAAGUGUUAAUUGGUACAACACAGAUUAAUGAUGUCACUCGAUAUAUACACACAGAGUUAUUUAGCACAUACACAUUUAUAAAUCAGUAAUAGGUGAUAAUUUCUUACUUGUAGAUUGGAAGGAUUUUCGGAAGAAGAGAAAGAAGAGAAAAGGUCUUCGCAACACCCUUGGCAGGCUUAGACAGCAACAAGUAUGACACAGGGCCAAUAAGCACUGGGACAGUUUCAACUCCAAGCUGCAGCAUUAGACAAGUGAUCGAUAUUAGCAUCUCACAAACUUGAUCUGAUUGAUAGAAAGUUACAAGCAAGUUCAGAAUUCGUUUAAUGAAAUCUCUAUGAAAAAUCUUCAGGGUCCACAAUGUGUUGAAAGUACCCUUUUCAAGUAAUUUAUCUUAAGACUAUUUUGCAAACAGUAUUGCUUUCCUUACAGAUCAAAUAAAUCAAACAACAUAUGAACACAUUUACUGAACCAAGUCUAAGUUCAAAGCUCUAUAAAUAAAUGUCAAUGAAUCUAUAGUAAAUUCUAUUGCAUCCUAAGCUAAAGAUGAGCAUAUCAUAUAAGAAUUUCAAGGUGAACGUAACCCAAUUUCAAUAUAUUGUAGAUUCAGAUAUCAAACGAAAUAAAAUUUGUAAAUAUAGACAGAACUGAGAAUAAACACUCACCCCCUUAGCCUCCUUGUACUCAGUCACAGCCUUGUGGGAAGCGUAGGAGAACUUAACAUCGGGUCCCAAUUCAGGAACAAUGAAAUGACUGCAUCAACACGAAGCCAAACACGCGUCAGCAUUCAGUACAAAACCAUUACACCAUAAAUAACUUGAAAUGCCGCUCUUCCAAGUAGUGAAUACUUACUAGUUGGUGUCGAACCACUUGGUCAUUUCCAUAGCGGGAACAGAGGCGUUUCCUCUGGCCAUGGAGAAGUAAACAUCAAAUCCAAUCUCGCCGCCGUUCCAGUUAUACCUCGGGGGCACGGCACCGAGCAUUGCGGUGGUGUCGAGCACUUGGUCGUAGUAGGAGAAAGUGUUGCUGGGAAUGUAUUUGAUCCCGGCCUGGGACAUCUGUUUCCAGAUGGAGGAUCUGAGAUCAGCGGACACCUUUUGCAAAUCCUCAGCGCUGCUCUUGCCAUCCCAGAAGGAUUCCAACGCGAACUUGAGCUCCCUCUUGGGGCCCAUGCGUGGGUAUCCAACGAUGUGAGAUGCCAUUUUACUGUCAUAAUCACGUCAUCAAUGAAUCGAAAAUCAGUCACUUUCAUUAAAUCAAGAAAAUAUUCAUUCAAAUGGAUGGGUCAUUGCUAUUACUGCUCAAAUCAAAUGAAAUCAAGAACACUUAUCAGAGCAUAAAAUCUUAAAUUAAUUUUUUUAUAAAAAAAUAAAAAACCAGUUGAAACAAGCUGAUAAUAAUCCAAGAGUUUGAGAUGAUUUUUUUCUUUCUGUAAUCACAUGAACAAUUAUGUACUUUCAGUCAUUUUUGAAGGAUUAAAACAAAAAAUUCUACAAAUAGAUUCUGAAAAGAAGAAUCUAAAAAUAGAUUCAAAAACAGUAACACAAGUAGAGUUCAAAUUGUUUUUCGGAAAAGAUUAAUUACAGAUCUGAUUGAUUCACGUUCAGAUCUAGCAAAAUCACGGCAGCCAAACACUAGAUCUAACACUAACAGUCACUCACCAGUCCAUUAGAAAAUGAAAUCAAGUUCAAAAUUCUUUUAAAGUUAAUUCUUUUUUAGAAAAUGACCAGAUUUUAGUUGAGUAUUAGUGAGUUUUUUACAAAAUAAUUUAUUUUUGUUUUUUAGAUCCAAAAGUUCGGAAAUCAAAACCAUGUUCAAUGCUUAUUCAUGAUUAACGGCGUAAAAACGCUACUGCAGAGAAGACAUAACGAAAAUGGGAACCGUACCAAACAGAGAAAGAAGAGCAGAGAAAUUGAGAGUCGAGAGGAGAGAGAGAAGAGAGCGGCGAGUUUGGGGGAGUGCCCUCUCCGUUAUUUAUAGCCAAAAAUCAAAUCUGGUUUGGUGGUUGCCUUUGGCGUGCCAACCUGUAGAUCUGAGAUUUUUCAUCUUAAUUUCUUUCUCUUAUUUAUUUAUUUAUUUAUUAUGAUUUUCAGUGCAGUUCAUAAAAUAUAGAGCUGACGCGCGCUUUUCUGAUGUGGCGCGUGAAUUGGAAAUGCGGUAGGUCUUUGUGGGCCCCACGGCACGGUCAGGACUGAAGGAAAAAUGUGAGAAGUUAUCAUAAUUUCAACAGUGCCAUAAUUAGCAAUUACACCACCAAAUAUUUCUUGAGUUUUUUUUUUUUGAUUGCUUUAAAUGCAGAGUUGUUAUGAAUUGUGUUAAUUGUAGAGUUGUUAUGAUUAGAUUACAUUAUAAUUCGUCACAAUUAUGAUAGGUAUGUACGUAUAUAAUAAUUUAUGAGUAAUGAUAUAACCACAAACUCUUAUACAAACUUAUUUUGUACAAAUUGAUGUGGCAUGAUAAAAUUAGUUGAAUUAAAUAUUACUUGAUCCACAUGAUUUGUUAUUAUUAUUUUAUAUUUUCAUUCAACCAAUGAAUUAAUGACACGUCAGUUUGUACAAGAUAAGUUUGUACAAGAGUUUAUGGUUGUAUCAUCACUCAUAAUUUAUAUAAGAUCUCGAAUAUUUAAAAAAUUUAUAAAUCAUUAUUUUCAUGUACAUUUACCUGGUAGCAAUGACAAUAACAUAAAAUAAACUCCAAACAAGAAUGGAUUAUAUUAUUUAUGUUAUUUUAUAGCUUUUUAAUUGAUUUUUAAAAGGAUUAAUUGUUAAUCAUUACUCUCCAACCGUAAUCACCAUUAAAUAUUUAUUUAAUUUAAUAGUCGGUAGAUCAUAAAUAAGAUUAGAAUAUUUAAUGGACAAUCUAAUUGCUACUACAAUUGUUAUCAUUUUUUUAAGGUAAGGGAUUAGACAAUACUCAAAUUUAUUUUUUAACCCCUUACUCCCUAAAGAUUCGAAUUUAACUAACUAAUUAAAUAAGACUGCUUAAAAACCACUCAACCACAUCUUUUGGGGACCAAUUAAUAUCGAUGUUUAAACUGAGGUUUAUUAUUAAAUUUUUUAAGUUUCAAGUUUCAACCGCUAACAACAUUAUCAUCGAUUAAUGAUAAAUAUAAUAAUAUUUCAUCAAAAAACCAUUUAACACAUCCAUCCAUAUUAAACAUAAGUAAAAAAUUUAUCAUGCAUUUCAAAUAUAUUUUUCAUCCUAAAAGUUAUGGAGAAAAUCUUGAUAUCAAAACUUACAAUGUAAUUAUGGGAUGUAAUUUUGCAUUUGAGGUCAGCACAACUUAAAAAUUACUAUGAAUGAAAAUUUAUAAUAAGCAGACACCACAAAAAAAAAUUAUUUAUAAGUAUUACAAUCAUGCAGUUUUAUUUAAGUAUUUAACCAAGUCAUUCAAUUUCUAAUUAAGACGGUAUAAAUUAGAUUUGGGCUGCCUAAGACCAAAAGUCAAAAAAAAAAAAAGAAUAUUCCUAAUAAGCAGCCUACCGCGGUCACGCGCCUUAAGAAACGCUUGGACUUAGCACACGAUUUUAAUCCAAAAUGUAUAAAAAAGGAAAAAUUUAUGAGGUGUAUAAUUAUCUUGAGUUGUUAUAUUUUGAAGAAACAAUGAAGAAAGUUGGUGGCCGAAGUUGAUCCGGGGCGAAUGGUGGUGGGCCCACGUUGUUGCAUUAUAAUUGGAGUUAUUGUAAUUUUUCUUAUAAUUAAUAAACUCCAUUUUUCAAAGAAAAUAAAUAAAUAAAUACACUCCCGAUUACGAAAAUAUCAUUUCAUGAGUGUCAAAGUUAGAGCUGGCAAAAUUUGACACGACCCGAUUACCUGACACGAACACGACAUAAAUAAAUAAGUAUGGAUCGUCAAAUUUAACACGAUUAUUAAAUGGGUCGGGUCUGGGUCAACACAAUUUUUUUCCGUGUCGGGUUUGGGUUAAAAUUCUUGACCCAUUUACCCGAUCAAUGACCCGAUUAUAUUUUCUAUUUUAAAAUAAUUUACAUAUUCUUAUAAUUAAAACUCAAAUAUUAGAGAUAUUUUUUUUAUUCUUUAAAAUGGUGAAUAUAAACACAGUGUUUUAUUUAUAAAAUUUUACAUACAUUUAGAGCUUCAAUAGUGUAAAUGUGUAAAAAUUGAUAGACAUGUAUAUUUUAUAAUAUUGAUAUAUAAUAUUAUAUAUAUAUAUAUAUAAUUAAAACCUCAAUAGUGUACAUGUGUAAUAUAUUGGUAGAUAUGUAUAUUUUAUAAUAUCGAUAAAUUAUGUAUGUAUGUAUUUAUGUACAUACGUAUGUAUGUAUUUAUGUAUAUACGUAUGUAUGUAUUUAUGUACAUACGUAUGUAUGAUAGUGUGUAAAUAUUUUAUGUAACUUUUGUUCAAUAUAUAGAUAUUAAACGGGUUAUUGGGUAACCCGAUUGUUUUUCCGUGUCGGGUUUGGGUCUCAAUAUUUUGACACGAUUAUUAAAUGGGUCGGGUUUGGGUCGACCUAAAUUUGACACGACACGACACGAACACGACCCGAUGACCCGUUUUGCCAGCUCUAGUCAAAGUGACCGUCACCUACGCAUCGCGUUUGUUGGGCGGGGUGGGUAAGGUGGGGCGAGGAGUUUGUUUGAUCGUCUGAUUACUUUGAUUUUGAUGAAACGUAUGGACGACGGCGAUGGCUUGCCAGCAAGUGGGUUUAUCAUGAUUUUGAUUGUAUUCGGGGAGAUGCUUAUGUAUAUCCUCAAAACUUCUUGGAAAUGAAAACCGCUGGGGUGGCAAAUCUUGACCAAUAAAGUGUGCGUGAUGUUGCGUUUAUAAAUUUCAAUAAUACUAUUGGCCGAUUGAGAUUAUUUUUAAAAAGUUUAAAAAUAAUUUUUAAAGGUUAAAUGUUAAUUUUAAUAUUGAAUAAAUUUUUAAAAAUUAUUUUUGAUAAAAUCAUUUUAUCCUCCAAUAAAUUUUAAAAAAUAGCGAUACAGUAAUUUUUUAAAAUCUAAUUUUAAUAAUCAAAACUAUUUUUUUAUAUAAUUUUAUAGAUAUCCGCAUAUAUAUAUUAUAAAAAUUCGAAAUCAUUAUUAUUAAUUAGGAAAUAAAAUCAUUAACUUUUAAGAAAUUAUUAUUAUUACCAAUUAUACUGACAUAACAAAAUAAAAAAUUAAUUAAUAUUAUAAAUAUUUAUUUCAGUUAUCAACUAUUAUAUAUACACAAUAAAAAAUAUUUUAUAUACAUAUUUAUAAAUGUAUAAAUAAUUUUUAUUCAAUAUUAUAUCGAAUUAAUCAUUUACAUUCUUGCAACAAGUUAACAAUAAAAUUUACCAAACACAUACGAUUGUUUUUAAAACUCAUAUUAUUUUUUUAAAAAAAAAUUACUAAACCUUUAACUGAUUCUCUUACAACUGAUUAUUUCUACAGUACAAUUAACAACAAUUAUUUUAAAAACUAUAACAUUUUCAAACUAGCCCCAUGACAAUAUUGUUAUUGUUGUUUUUCUUACUCUUAUCAAUAAAACUACGUUGCACAUAAGUGCAUAAAAAUUCACACAAAAUAAACUAUUUAACUUUAGGGUAUUAAUUGAAAAAAAAAAUCAGAUUAAGGUGAAUAAAUAUCAGAAAAUAACAAAUAGAUAAACUCUCACACUCUUUAAAAAAAUUAAUUUUAUAAUUUUAUUUAAAACCAACAGAUAUUACCAAACUUAACGGAUCAAUGUUCCAAUGUUUUCUUUUUAAUUUCAAAACCAACAGAUAUUCUUUGUUCAUUAUAUGACCUCCAAACAAAUAAUUUCAUUAAUAAAAUAAUAAUGAAAAGUAUCGUGGUGAGUACAGAGUAAUUCGGUGGCUAAUAAAAGUCUCUAUUUUUCGUCUCUGUUUUUCAUUUUAACUCUUGGGGUUGGUGCCACUUCGGCCUUGGUCGGAGUGGUGGGCUGCUGCCCUCACAAGUAUUGUGAGGACAGUGGUUCAAGCCCCCACAAAUAUUUUUGUGGGGGCUAACGUACUUAUUUAUUUAAUAUUUCAAAAAUUUCUUCUCCCUCGUGCAAUACGAGUGGAGUAUGGACAUCCCUCCUCUAUAAGGGAUUAUUUGUCUGGGCAUGUACUUCACAGAAUUCAAUGUAAUAAUAUAAGUCUCAAUCAUAUAUUUUUGAUUGUAAAUAUCAAUAUAAUAUAUCUGCUAUAAUAGCAGUUGUAAAUAUCUGUGUAAUGCAAUAAUAUGAUAAUUAAUCAUUAUUCAAAAAAAAAACUCUUGGGGUUGGUAGGCUCGUGAAUGGUCCACGUAACCUCUGGACGUAACACUCAAACAAAGACAGCACAAGGCACAUGAAAAAUGCCUAAAAACCGUAAAACCGUGACGUGUUCAACAUAUUAAUAAAUUUAUACUGUGUUUUCUUUUUUUUUUUAAUACUGUGUUGAUAAAGCACUUACGAUGGAACGACCAAUUCUAUUACUUGCAAAACUAAUUAAUAUUUCACUCUAUCAUCUAACUAAUGGAAGGCCAUCUUAAUUGAGGUUGCAAUAGUUAGAAAGUAGCGGGAAGGGUGGCCAAUGCUCCAUAUUAAUUUGCAUCAAUCCCUUUCUGGUGAAGAAGUACGGGUGAAGUAGAGGUCAAAGUUAGAAGAUGAAGGGUGUGUUUGGGAAUUGAGAGUGAGGUGCUGUAGUUUUUUAGCUGCAGUUGCUGUGAAAUAAAAGUUAUAACUGUGGAAUAGAAGUUGAGAAAAAAAAUUUGUUAAGCUGCCAAAGCCCAGUUACAAAUGUUACCAAACACCUUAGUAGCUAGGCUUUGGCAGCCCAUCUACCCCAUCACACUCCCAAACGGAUUAGAAGGGGACCGGGAUUGCUUUGUCAUAUUUGAAAAUGAUUUUGAAAAAAUAAAAAUUAAGUUCAGAAUUUGGUAAAUUCCUUUAAAAUUUCUUUUAGCAAAAUCACUCUCUCCUUUAGAUUUUGAAAAGUAUGGAAUGAGUAGUUUUUUAAAAUUUAAUUUUGAAAUUCGGAUUCAUAUUUAAUAUAAUACCAUAUAUCAUAACAUGUAUUAUAAAAAUCUAAAAUUAUCCUUAUUCAAUCAAUUAAGAAGUAAAAUCUUACAUUUAAAGAUAUUAUCAUUAUCAAUUAUAUUUAGAUAAUAAAAAAUACAAUUAAUAAAAUAAAAAUAUUUAUUUUAGUUAUCAAUUAUUAUAUAUAUACAUAAAAUGUAAUUAUAUAAACAUAUUUAUAAAUGUAUGUGUAAAUUAAAUUUGUAGAUUUAUGUUUAUAUAGAUCAUUUGCAUUCUUAUCACAUUUUAAAAGUGAGAUUUAUUAAAUAUAUAUAUGAUUAUUUUUAAAAUUUACAGCACUUUUUAAAACAAAAGUAUCAAAAGUUUAAUUGAUUCCUUAUUUUUACUGUACAACUAACAGUAAGAUGUGUUUGGUUCAAGUAUAAAAUGAUGGGAUUGGACAAUUUUAAGAUUAAAUAAUCCUAAUGCAAUGUUUGGUACCAAAAAUAAUUGUGGGAUAAAAAUAGUGGACCCCACCAUUUAAUCCAACACAAUGUCAAAAUUUUAUCACAAAGGGGGGUGUGGGAUAAGCUAAAACUUAAACGUAGGAUAACAAAAAAAAAGCCCAAAAUUUUAUACAACACAGUGAUUUUUUUUUUUUUUUGAGUAUGUCAUCAUCCAAUGAUAGUAUAUAUGCCAGAACACUCUUUUGACGUUAAUGAUAUGUAAUAUUUUCAUAUAUACAGCUAGUGACAUUGUUAUGUAAUUUCUUUUUCAUUUAUAGAUUUAUAUUAUUAUUAUAUUUGUUGAUGAUAUUCUUGUUAUGUUUAUAAUUAUAUUAUUUAGUAAUUUAUAAGUUUAAAAACUAUAACAUGUUAAAUAUAAGAAAAACUUUAAGCGAAGAUUUUGUAUUUUUUAACAAAUUUACCAAUAAUUUUUUAUUUAAGUUAGAUUAUAUUCCAUGUCAUUUUAAAAUAAAUCUAAGAUAAUUUUGAUAAAUUAAUAAAUAAGACAUAUUAUUAGUUACUAACCAAUUUCAUGGCAUACCAAACAUGAGAUAUGAUUAUUUACAGUCUAAUCCAACAUUGCACCAAACGUAAUAGAGUAUUAUAUAUAAUCCAAUGUUAUCAAAUCCAAUCAUAUCUUAUCCAAUCCGAUCCGAUCCAGUCUAAUCCAAUUUGACAUACCAAACAAGCCCUAAUUAUGUUAAAAACUACAUCAUUACCAAACUGACCCUUAAUACAAUCUCAUACAUACAUACAUAUAUAUAUAUAUAUUAAAAAUUAAAAAUUAUCUUUAUUUAGUUAGGAAAUAAAACCAUUAUAUUUAAAUAGAUUAAUAUUAUUACUAAUUAUAUUCAGAUAACAAAAUUAAUAAAAUAAAAAUAUUUGUUUGAUUUAUCAAUUAUUAUACACACAUAUUUAUAAAUGCAUGCGUAAAUAAAAUUUUAUAGAUUUAGGCCAAGGCGGAUGUACGGUACAGCAGUAUCUUUAUUUAGUUAGGAAAUAAAACCAUUAUAUUUAAAUAGAUUAAUAUUAUUACUAAUUAUAUUCAGAUAACAAAAUUAAUAAAAUAAAAAUAUUUGUUUGAUUUAUCAAUUAUUAUACACACAUAUUUAUAAAUGCAUGCGUAAAUAAAAUUUUAUAGAUUUAUGUCUAUUUAAAUCAUUUGCAUUCUUAUAACAUUUUAAAAAAAGAAAAGAAAAGUGAUUUACCAAAUACAUGUAAUUGUUCUUCAAACUUACAACACUUUUAAAAUAGAAUUUAAUAAAUGUUUAAUUAAUUUUUUCACAGCUGAUUAUUUUUAUGGUAUAACUAACAAUAAUCUAUAAACUUAUGGUAAAUAUUUGUGUGAAUGUUGGUCCAUGUAAAGAAGUAAAAACAACGCAUAUAUCAAGCAAUAAGAUAUCAAAACUCUUAGUAAAAUACAUAUACUAAUGAAAGAAUGACAGCAAUGCAAUAAAUAAGAUUAUAAUAUAAAUUAUUAAAAUUGUAUAUUAAAAAUUGAUGUAUGAAAUUCUUUUUAUUUUAGUGAUAGAUAAUGUGAUAUAUUUGAAUAAUUUGAUUAAAUGAAAAGAAAAAUAACAAGUAUGGUUGUGGAGGAAAUAAACCAUUGAACUGUGGAAUGUUAUUAAUUAUUGCUAUUUCAUUAUGUAACGUCCUGAUAAUAAGUACAGUGUUAUAGUAUAUUGAUGGGUGGUGAUAUUGUCACCCCUUAAAUUGUGUAAAGUCAACCUCAUUUACAAAUUUUUUGAUAUAAAUUAAAAAGUACAUUAGUUUUAAUAAAUUAUAUAUUUAUUGAAUAAACUAGAACCGUUAGGGAGCUGUAAUGUUAGCACUGUUUUAACUUAUUAUAAAAAAAAAAGUUAUGAUUUGAUCAUAACUCUAAUUUAGAAAAGAAAAAAGAGUUGAAUUGCUAACAUACUUAAAAAUAAAAUAAAAACAUUAUUAUUAGAUGAAAAAUUGUAAAACUUAAGGGGGCAUUUGCAAGUCCGCCACUACUCAAUAGAGCAUUAUUCAGUACUCGUUAAUAUAUCUCGAACUUUUAGGUUUUUUUAAUAUAUUUUUAAUACAUUUUCUAGAACAUUUAGAUAAAAAGAGUCAGUACUCCAAUUGAGUUGUGAAUAAACAUUUAGAUAAAAAGAGUCAAUACUCCAAUUGAGUUGUGAAUAAACUCAUGUUAAAAAAAAAAAAACUCAUUUUCACACUUGAAACGAUUAGUAAAUGGGUGAUACGAAUUUAACUUGGUCAAUAAUAUAUACCAUCUUAAGUUAACUUCAACUCAUUGAUCUUCUAUAGGGUUGAUCAGCCUGCCACAAGGCCCACAAAUUAUCACCUCUAAUGCUUUUGCAACAGUCGUUAUAAAUGCUGACAAAAUGAAACUUCUAUAUAUUUUGGUUUUUUUUUAUUUCUAUGAAAUAUAAGGCCCUUAUGGCAAAUUUCCAUCCAGCGUGAAAUUUGCUAGUUUGGCCUUGGUACUGUGGCACAUGCGUCAUGCAUGCGUGGCUGAGAUGCUUCUAAAACUAAUAAAUUAUGAAGAAUUCCAAAUUCGUACCAAAAAUAAGAGAAUAGGAGCUUGUCAUAGGUGUCCGCGGAUCGGAUUUUAUGGGUUAAACAUUAAUUCAUAUUUGAUUCGUGAUUUUGUAGAUUAUAAAUUUUUAAUUUAAUUCAAUUUAUGGAUUAGUGAAACUCAAUACAAAUUCAAUCCAUAUAUAUGCAAAUUAGAUGCGGAUUUAACCCAAUGCAUAUUCAAUCCAUCAUUUGGCGGAUUGAUUUGCAAAUUAAAAGUUUUUAAUUUUGUCCAAUCUAAAAAGUAAUUAAAUUAAAAAAAUCUAAUAUAUAAAUAAUUGAUUAAAUAAAAAAAUCUAAUGUAAAAAUAAUUUUACUACCAAUUAAAUUCAAAAUUGAACAAGAUUUAAAUAAAUUUAGAAUAAUACAUUCAAAAUUUUAAAAUAUAACACACCGAAAAAAAAAUUCAUUUAUUUAGAUCAAUACAUGAAAAUUAACUAAAAUUAUGAAUUUAAAUGUUGAAACUUGAAAGCUUGGAUGUAACAGGAAGAAUUUAAGAAACUUGAAGAGCUUGAAAAGAAAGUAAGAAAUUAAGUUUAAUUACCUCAAGUGGUGAAGUGAAACAGUGAUUGGCUUGUGCGUGCGGUGGGAUAGAGAUUUGGUGUUAUAUGUCAAAAUAUUUUGUUUGGCUUGGGGUUUUUGUUUUGCUUUAGAAAUUUUAAUGUUUAGGAAACUAUAUUUGCUUAUUUAAUUAUUUCUUAUUUUAUAUUGUUAUCGAAUAAAAUAUAAUAUUUUGUUAAUUUAGCUAUAAUUUUAUGCUGAAUAUAUUUAUUUAAAACGAUUUUAUUAAAUAAAUGUGCAUAUUUAACGAAGGUCUCUGAAAUUUCAACCUGCCUGCUAAUGAUAGCCAAUACGGCACGACCCACCAAAUGUCGGCCCACGCGGGCUUGUGGGCCAUGACGACUUUUUUUGUAAGGGCCCGGCACGGCCCACGGCACGAGUCCGUGCCCAAAAAAAGCCCACCUACCUUUUUUUUUUUUGUCCACAUGUUCAGCGUGCCUAAAAAAACCCACGUGCCUGACGUGCUUUUUUAAGCCCACCAGCCUAAUAGUAACAACAACAACAACAAUAAUAAUAAUUUCAUAGAAAUAAUUAAUGAAAAAUAAAAUAACAAUUCUAGAAUAACAAUUACAUCUAAUUUUAUUUGAACAACUAAUAUUAUAAUUGCACAUAAACUCUAUUGAAUGAAAAUGUAAUUUUUAAUUUAUUAUAAAAAUAUUUUGUUCAUAAUUUUAUUUUUUUGUGCGUAAAUAUGAAAAAUAUUUCAUUCACAAAUGAAACAUAUCUCCAUUAACUAUUAACUAAGUUAUGAUUUCAUAAAUGAAAUAUUAAUGUCGUAAAAUUUUUUAUUUAUCAUUUAUAAAAUCAUGAUAUUUAUUUAUCCAUUUAAUAAAUUAUAAACAUAAAAAAAUUAGAAUACUUAUUUAAACUAGGACUUAAAUUAAUUUUAAAAAGCCUAUACUAAAAAAAUAUAUUAAAAUUUUUAAUUUCAAGGUAUUUAUAAAAUCAUGAUAUUUUAUAUUUAUUUUUCAUUAAAAAAUUUUAUUUUGAUAUACUUUGGCCCACGUGCUAUUGGUGGCCCACGGGCCGCGUGCUUAGCCCACCAAUAAAGUGUGCUUAUUACAUGCCUUUUCGCGUGCCGUGUUUUGCCCCAUCUCUAAUCAUACCGUGCUUUUAAGGCCUGCGUGCCUAAAAUUCUAGGCCCGCCAGCCGUGCCGUGCCGUGCCGUGCCUCGUGCCGCCUGGCCCAUUGGCCAUCCCUACUGCCCGCCAACCACAUUUGUCCAAGAUCAAUUUGUAGGAAAAAAAUUUGAAAAUCAAUAAUUUAUUUAAUUAAUUGUUAAUGUAGGCAUUUGAAUCCCCACAAAAUCUGGGUGUCAGUUCUAGACUUCUGGUGAUAUAUUUUUCUAAUUAAGGAAUAAAAUAUUUUUGUCAUUUUUUUAAUAUUUUAAUUUACCAGGCAUAUCAACUAAUUAAUUUUUCUACUUAGACUAUUAAUUCAUUACGUGCGCAAUCUGUAGCCCGGCGCUCCAAUCCCAUGCAUGUUACACACAACUCAAUCAUUAUUUAUUUAUUUAUUUAUUUUGACCAACAACUCAAUGUUUUUUAUAGAGCUGUCAAAAUUUGACACGACCCGAUUACCCGACACGAACACGACAUAAAUAAAUGGGUAUGGGUCGUCAAAUUUAACACGAUUAUUAAAUGGGUCGGGUCCGGGUCAACACGAUUUUUUUCCGUGUCGGGUUUUGGGUUAAAAUUCUUGACCCAUUUACCCGAUCAAUGACCCGAUUAUAUUUUCUAUUUUAAAAUAAUUUACAUAUUCUUAUAAUUAAAACUCAAAUAUUAGAGAUGAUUUUCUUUUUUUUUAUUCUUUAAAAGGGUGAUAUAUUUUAUAAUAUCGAUAAAUUAUGUAUGUAUGUAUUUAUGUACAUACGUAUGUAUGAUAGUGUGGAAAUAUUUUAUGUAACUUUUGUUCAAUAUAUAGAUAUUAAACGGGUUAUUGGGUAACCCGAUUAUUUUUCCGUGUCGGGUUUGGGUCUCAAUAUUUUGACACGAUUAUUAAAUGGGUCGGGUUUGGGUCGACCUAAAUUUGACACGACACGAAACUGACACGACAUGAACACGACCCGAUGACCCGUUUUGCCAGCUCUAGUUUUUUAAUAUGAAAAGGUAUUGGUUAGCUUUGUCUUUAGUUUUUUCAACUUAUAAUAAGUUUGUAUUAAGGCUCCCUUUGGUACAGAUUUUCAAGUAAAACUUAUUUAGGGUUAUUUUUAGGGACCUCCCCUGAGGUUUGGUGUAUUAACAAUCUGAUAGAAAGUAUUCACGUAAUUACAAAGACCUCCCCUGACAUUUGUAUUAUGUUAAGUGGACUGUUAUUGACUAUUGAAAAUCCAAAAAUACCCUUCCUGCCAAAAUAUUUCUUUAUUCACUGAUGAACUGAUGGGUAAUUCGUGCCAAAAUCACAAAUUACUUAAGAAGAUGAAAAUAUCCAUUGGAUAAAAAAAAUGAAAUUGCUUAAUAAAAAAAUUGACAUUGCAUAAUAAUAAAAAAAAUUGAAAUAAUGUGCGGCGGCAUAGCUGCAUCUUGCAUGCAUAUUAUUAUUGUGAUUUUUUUAUUACAAACUCCAUCCUGCAUGCUUAUUAUUAUUGUGAUUUUUUUUAUUACAAACUACUUCAUAACUAAUACAUGCCACAAGAGCAGAGCUAUUAAAAGAAAUGAUUUUCAUAUUGUAAACUUGAUAGUACAGGUGUUGGCACCGACCAUAAAACCCUUAUGAUACCAAUCUUUGCUCCAUCCAUAUUUAAAUCCAGAUCAAGUAAAUAUUAAAUUGGAUUUCAGGUCCUGAAAAUCCCACUCUAUAAUUGAUAUCUUCGAGUUUUGUUGGUGCCUCAAACCUGGAUCUAGAGCAUCAUCUCUGUCAUACUCGGAACACCUAAACUAAUGGACUUGCUGCAGCUGCUUAUUCUUCUUCUGAAAUGAUGCACGCAGAUAGAUUACAGACUUUGAAAUAAGAAAUACAAUAAACAACAUGUAAUCGAACUUAAGAUUUCGGCAAACUUGUUUGAAAAUUAGAAUCAAACAAGGAAAAUGGCAAGUCAAUAUUUUUUAAUCUAGAAAAAGGGCAAUUUCAAAGUUUAUCACAUGCCAAAUUCAUAGUCUUGCAUCCACUAUUUUCUAGUUUGAAUAACAAACAAAAGCCUUAGACAAAAACACAGAGAACAUCUCACAUGGGAGCAAAAAUUGUGUGUAGAACAAUAUACUUAAGUUACAUGUGAUUACAAUCACAUUAUUUAGCAAAUACAAAAUUACCUUCUCAAAAAAAAAAAAAAAAAAAAAAACACCACCAAAUUAUUGAAGGUAUUACAACAAUAAGGCAAAAGAACACCAAAGGCAUGCACAAACCGAAACUAACACACAACUCAAUUAGUGUCAUGACCCCAAACUGAACAAUCAUAUAAACCAUUGUGGGCUCUCUAAAAGAUUAUCACAUUAUAAGCAAACAGAAACCUAUAUUUGAUGAACUACAUCUAGUACUUACACAACUCUUAAAUCAUUAGGAAAUUGCUCUUAUCAGUCAUUACCCAAUAGUUUUUUUCAACUCAACACUAACAACCCCAAAGAGAAACAACAUCCAGCACCAUUUUCAUUAAUUAAAACAGACCCAUUGUUAUUUUUAAUCAAUAAAAUAACAACAAUAUCGUGUAAGCCACUGAUUCAAGCAUUCAAGCUGUGUUUUCGAAGACUGACCUCUUCUUGCUAUCUAAUUCCAGUCACGAUAGACGCUAGAUGCCGGCAAUACUCGCUUCUUGGAAGCUCUGGACCACCGCACGACGUCAUCUUGUGCAGUAGAUGAAAAUAAAUCAAUGAUUUCAGAAAUUAUUUGUGAGUUGCAGACGCUUCUUCUCCAUGGAUGAAAAUGAUGGUGGGUUUUGUUCAAGUGUAAGCUGUGUUUACGAGGAGAAGUACACUUUGUGAAAAAAUCAUUUUCUUUCAUCUACUGGAUAAUGACUUUGGACUGGGUAAUGGUGUGUUUAAGUCUCUAUUUCACGGACAUUGAAGCAUAUUUUGCUUGAAUUUUGAUUUUGUUUAAAUUUCAAGUUUACUUUUACUUGUUUACCCUUUUAUACUGACGCUUAUGUAUUUUUAUACUAACGUUAAGGGAGGUCUUUGUAAUUAUAUGAAUACUUUCUAUCAGACUGUUAAUACAACAAACCUCAGGGGAGGUCCCUAAAAAUAACCCAACUUAUUUAAAUAGAACUUUUACAAAAAAAAAUUUAGUUAUUUGGUUGUCAAUAAACUUUUCAAGUAUACUUUGUUUGGUACAGCUUUUCAAGUAAAACUUAUUUAAGUAGAGCUUUUACAAAAAAAAAAAAAUUAGUUGUUUGGUUGUCAAUAAAAAUUUUUAUUAAAAAAAAUAUGAAAUUACUUUAUUAGUCAAGUUUUUUUAAAGUUAUGCUAUGAAAAGAAUAAAAUAAGAUUGUCAAAUAAAUAGAAAAUAUUUUAAAUAUUUUAACAUUUAAAAAAACUUUUUAACCUUUAUUUUCAAAAAUCUAAAAUUUAAACUUUUACUAGUAAAGGCAAAAUAAUUUAUUUAAACUUCAAAAGCUUUAUUAGAAAAAUAAUCAAACAAUAACAAAAAUUAUUAUAAAAGCUUAUCGAAUUAAAUAAGUACUUAUAGUUAUUAAAGAAGUUAUAUCUAACAGACACUAAUGCCGAAAGCCCCUUCUAAUUGUGGGUGUAAAAGUUUGAAUUAUGCAUACGGUUAAGGAGUUAAGGUGUGUUUGGCAACUGCAUUAAGUGGAAAUUUUUAUUUUGUUUCGAAUAAAAAUACAGCAAGCUCGUGUUCGGCUCAAAAUAAUGGAACGUUUAAUUUGCAACCGUCGGCGGACGAAGCACACCGUUCACGGCCCUUCGUAUAAAAUUGCAUAUGUAAACGUAAAUAGGUCCGGAUUCAGAUUCGUUGCUGUAGAGAGUGGCACGCACGAUCGGGCUGCUGUCGGUGGUAGGUUGGCAUUGGAAUUCUCAUCACGCGCUUCCCCAGGCGCCUACUUAUGGCAAAUUGACACGUGACGCGUGUGGAUUGAAUGGACAGAGUCCCGGGCAGUGUGUCCAAAGCUGCCAACCGUGCUCUGAUUUUUGUCAUCCAUAAUGGCUAACGACUAACGAGGGAGAUUUCCGGGCAGAAAGAAAUUGUUGUCGUUUCUGAAGGGGAAAAAAAAGUUAUUUAAUUUGUUGUUGAAGACAAAAUGAAGAUCUAAAUAAAUAAUGGCUAAUUUUGAGUGUAAAGCAACGGUAAAUGCAUUAUUAAAUUAGAUUUAGGGUCUGAUUGAGAUUAUUUUUAGAUUUAAAAUUAAUUUUGAAAAGUUAAAAUUAAUUUUGAUGUUUAUUAAUUUUUAUUAAAAAUUAUUUUUGUCAAAAUCUCUCAUCCUCCAGCAUAUUAUAAAAAAUAAGGAAGAAAUAAUUUUUUAAAAUUUAAUUUUAAGAAUCAGUUUUAUACUUAAUAUAAUCCACAUAUAUCCUCGUAAAUAUUAUAAAAAUUUAAAAUUAUUCUUAUUUAUUUAGGAUAUAAAAUUAUUAAAUUCAAACAUAUUAUUAUUAUUAUUAUUAUUGUUAUUAUUAUUAUUAUUAUUAUAAAUUCACACACGCACACACAUACUUAUAAAUUUAUAAAUAAACUUUAUUUAACAUUUUGUUCACUUAAAUCAUUUAUAUUCUUAUAGCAGUUUAACAUUAUGAUUUACCAAACACAGAUAAUUAUUUUUAAAAUCCAUAAUAUUUUUUAAAAUAAAUUUUAAUAAAUGUUUAACUUAUUAUUCUGACAACUGAUUUUUUUUGUAAGGUAUAACCAUUAAUAAUAAAUAUUUUAAAAGUUACAGUAUCCCCAAAUUGGCCCUUACUAAUACUCUGCGUUGCCAACUAAAUACUAAUUGUAACAUUAAACAUCUGGAAUAUUUUUCUCUAACGAAACAACACAAUUAAUUUCCCUCUAAAAAAGAAAAAGAAAAAGAAAAAAUAAACUACCAACCCCACCCCUUUAGACAGCAGAGUUUUAGCUGAGGCGGCUUGCUUGCAUAAGCAUUAAGGCUGCUCUUCACCAACCAUUGAACAUUCUUUCCAUUUGAUUGUUACACUUUACUUCGCCAUCUCAUGUCCAUGUACAUUGUUUUGAAAUGAAGACUUUGCGUACAACUAAUCUUUUUCAAUUCAUAAUAAAAACUCUUUUAAUUAGUUAAUAGCUAUAGCUUCCAAUUGAGACUAUAUAUAAAAAUCCAUAUUGACUGACCAAACCAAUAAUUUUUAAUUGGCUUGAGCAUUGUCUUACUUACUUCAAAAUCGUCACUCUCUUUGAAAAGAACAUGAGAGAGUUCACCUCCAUCUCAACCCUUAACCCUAUAUCUCAGUCAAGAGAUUAUUCAUGGAAAAUUCAGAAAAAAGAAAUGUUGCAAUAUUUACGAAACUCACGUCACGUGAGGUAAGAUAAAUUAUUCCUUUCUGCUUUAAUUCAUGUACAUAAUCAUGAGAAUAACUUUAAUUAUAGUUUAUUUCUCCGUUUUAAGAUUUUUCCUUUUUUUUUUUUAAUUAAUUAAUUAUAGUUCAUUCAUUAAUCCCAUAAGAAAUUAACACCUUUGCCGGUAAAGUCACACAUACAACAAUAUUUUAGAACAAAAGGGAAGAUCAUGCACGAUCAUGAUGUUUUAUUAUAUCUCUAGCAAUAUAAUUAUCUUAUAAUUAAUUAAAAACAAAACAGGUAAUUAAGCCAAAGUGGAUGGCAUGCAUCAAUCAUCAUGCAGAACACCUCCCCUUGUUUUAAAUAUAAAUAAAAGAAAUUUGUGCCCAGAAGACUUAAUUAAUACUUCUCGUUUCUGAAGUGCUCACAUGAUAUAUAGUCGGACGCAUUAUAUUUAAUUUCAUGAAUUAAUCGUACGGUUGUAUUUUGAGAGAGAGAGAGAGAGAGAGAGUGACUGAGUAAGAUAUGGCUUAAUUUAACCAAAUCUACGUAUAAAAUUUUAAAAUGAAUUUUUGAGUUUUAACUUAGGAAUUGUCUAUGAAUAAAAGUGUUAAUCAAAUAUUUCGUGUAAAAACAGUCAGCUGUAACAUUUUCGGUUGCUUUAACAAAACUGUAUAUUUCUGUAAUUUCCUAUAUGGGCCAAAAGGAACAUUUUUCUCAGAAAUUAAAAACUUAUGGUGAAAAAGAUAAGAAAACCAACAGGUUCAAAGGUGCGAGUAAACUGGGCUCUGGUGCGCCCAACUCCCUCUUUUGAUUUUGAGACUCUAUUGACCAUUGAGUUUGAGGCCCCAACGGCCCAGUUUAAAACUGUUAUGAAAAGAAAAAAAAUAUAACUAUAAAAUUAAAAUUAAUAAUGUUUGAUAAAUAUAAUUUUUAAAUAAUAAUUUGACAAAAAUAAUAUAGGGUCUUGUGUAUAUUUUUAUUUGGCAUUUCAAUUAAUCUGCUUAUAUAUAUAUAUAUAUAAGUUAAUCUAUAUUUCUUGCAAGAAGAUAGUAUUUCUUUAAUUAAAGUCAUAACUAAUAUAUAAAUUAUCAACUAACCAUCAAACAUUUAUCUCAUUUUAUCUCCACCACGAUCAUCACCAUUCAUCCUGUCACGAUCUUUAUGUAACUACAAUUAUUUUUUCUUUAAUAAUGUCAACCCACCAACCCCAUAACAAUAUCUCCAAACAUCUCAUCUCAAAAUUCCUAAUAACAUAAGUGUUUAUGUAUGAAAGAAAAUGUGAAAUAUAUAAUCAAAAAGUAGUUUAAUAAUAUAAUGUUUAAAAAUUAUGGUAAAAAUAAGUGAGAGUUUGGCAUGGCAAGUUAAUAAAAAGAUAAAAGCUCGGACACUUGAUGCAUCAAAGUAGCAAUGUCUGUCCAUCAUUAUCAUCAUGCGGGUUUAGGUGCUUCUCAUGAUAGCAUUAGCUGGUAAGACCAUCAUGCAUCGUACUUUCAUUGUUAUACAUUUUGAAGGUAAGAAUGGUUAUGUUACGUCCCUCCGAUUAGGUGUAUUUUUCUUCUUCUUCUUCUUCUUUUUCUUCUUCUUGUACGUAAUAAUUUCUCUUUCUUCCAUGAAGAUUUCUUUCUCUCUUUCUUUUUUUUUUUUUUAUUAUAAAUAAAAUGAUAAGAACUAAUUUCCUUACUAAUUGGUAGGGUCGUUUAAUGGUUCAGAUCCAUUAGAUUUUGUCAAAUUCAAGUCCAAUCCAUCAUAUAUUCCAUUUUAUAUUCCGGAUCCGAUCACUAAUAGAAAUCCAUUAUAAUUUAAAACAAUAAAACGUCGAAUCCAAUUUAAUUCGAUAUGAUCAAUCCAAUUAAAAUAAAAAUUUACAAAUAAAAAUCAUUAGUUGCUCUCUCCAGUUAUAAUUCUUAACAAUUAAAAAAAAUACAAAAUAUCAACUCCUUUAAUAUUUCAUGAUUCAUGUACUUUAUUAUCAUAUGGUUGGAAAAAAAAGUUGAAAUUUGAAUAUUAAAAGCAAAUGUUGGUUGCGACCUGCUGUUUGUAUUCUAUAUUGUUAUAGUAUAUUUAUAGUUAUUUUUUUAGCAAGUUAAAUAUAAAAGUGACAUAUAGUUUUUUUUUAUAAAAAAAAAUAAAUAAAGAAAAUAAAAAAUUAAUUGGUUGGAUUGGUUUAUAUUGGAUUUGAACAUAUAGAUCCAUAGACCAAUCUAAUAACAUUAUAUUUUUUAUUUUGCAAUCUUAUCCAAUCCAAUCAAAAUGUCAAUAUGACAAAAGUUGGAUUGGUUUUGAUCAGAUCGAUUGGUUUGAUUGGAUUGAAUUGAAUUAGAUCUUGAACAUCCUACCAAUUAGACUUUCCGUGAUUUUUUUUUUUCCAAAUUUAAUAAAGAGACUUCCCAUGAAUGUUAAAUGCAGUUUUAUUGAUGAAUUCUGCAAUUUUAAGAAAUGUUUGAUACACGAAUAAUGCAUCUCAUCAACCAAGUAACUGCGUCCCCUGCAGCAGCCGCGGCUUCAACUGGAAUACUGCAGCCACACCGGUCUUGAGACUCAACAUUCGGCCGAAACUCAAGCAAAAGUUGAACAAUAUCAGGCCUGCUUUGAGCUAUAGCAAUAUGAAGCAAUGUUUGUCCCUGCGCACCAGCAGAAUCAGCUGGGUGGGUUCCAAGCAGGGUCACUCUGUUCAAGAACCUCUCUUAUCUCAUCCAUUUCACCAUCCUUAACUAGCUGAACCACAACAUGGGACCCAACAAACAUGAUCUUGAUUCCUAUUGAUGAACGCUGGCUUCUUCCUUCUUGUGAACCAGUCACCAGGAACCGAAUCAAGCAUCAAUGUUGCAUCUUUAAUUGCAGCUGCAGGAACGACAACGCUAUGCAAGAGGAAGGAAUCAUCACAGUGAGGGAAAGUAUGAAGGAGAACUGAUCCUGGAGGAAGAUGAUACGCAAUCUCUAUGCUUACUGUUCCGAGUGGUUGCAUUGACCUGAAUAGUUCGAUCUAUUUCUCGUGUAUCUACUUGCGCUGCACUUUCACUCGAAGAACCUACAAAAUUAUUCAUAACCCGGCAUAAAAAAGACGUAAAGUUUUCAGCGCGAGCAUGGUAACUUCAAAACCCGUUUCAUACCUAUCAUAUUUCAUUCGUCCCGCACCCUCAUUUAAAAGACUAGAGCUUAUAAAAACUAGAAGUACCUUACCCAGAACAUAAAAGCAGACAAAACCCAGUCGAGUAUAAAUAUAACGUUGAAUAACACCUACCAUUUACCAUUUCAUUCAAGAACACCACACAAUUAACGAAACCAACAUCGGUAUGUUUUCAGCCGUUGUACUUUCAACUUAAUUUUGAAAGCGCGGCAGCUAAAGCCUAAACUGUUGUUUGAUAAAAGUCCACCCACUGACUGCUACCUGGCGGCUACCGAUUCCAUUCAAUAGCAGUCAUAAAAUAAAAAGUACAAAACAAACCUAUGUACAAAAAAGGCAAUGAAGCAGCCAUGGAUUCAGUUAUUUGCAUGUUUGGGAUUGUGGUUGAUUCCAAAUUGAGAAUAUACUGCGAAAUUAUGUUUGAUAAGCAUUUAUCUGAUGAUUGCUACUUUAUUGAGUGCCUGUUUGGUAUGGCUUAUUUAAAAGCCAUAAGUGCUUAUUUAAUCGUAUAAGCACUUUUUUAAAAUUUUUAUGGUGUUUGGUUAUUUUUUUAGUAGAGUUUUUUUAGCUUAAAUAAGCUAAUUUACCUCUACUAGCAAAAGCCCAAAAUUUGAGCUUUUGGGAGUAGAGGUUAAAGAGCUUAUCUAAAAAAUAUAUAAUAAAAAAAAUAUCAUACAGUUUAAUGAUUCAAAAGUGUUUUUUUUAUUGACAACCAAACACCCAAUGACUUUUUGUCCAAAAACUCUAUUGGUAUAAGCUCUACUGCUAUAAGCUCUAUUGUUAUAAGCUCUAUUUAAUAAGCUGUACCAAACGGAGCCUAAAGCAUUCAUUUUUUUUUUUCGCGUUUGGCCUCUUCACUUUUUAAAAAAUUUUAUGGUGUUUGGUUAUUUUUUUAGUAGAGUUUUUUUAGCUUAAAUAAGCUAAUUUACCUCUACUAGCAAAAGCCCAAAAUUUGAGCUUUUGGGAGUAGAGGUUAAAGAGCUUAUCUAAAAAAUAUAUAAUAAAAAAAAUAUCAUACAGUUUAAUGAUUCAAAAGUGUUUUUUUUAUUGACAACCAAACACCCAAUGACUUUUUGUCCAAAAACUCUAUUGGUAUAAGCUCUAUUGUUAUAAGCUCUAUUUAAUAAGCUGUACCAAACGGAGCCUGAGUCUUCAAAGAAAAACUCAAUCAACUAAUGCUCGAUUUUUUUUUUUAAAUGACAAAUCAAAAAGUAUUUUGGAGUAGAUUCUCAAAAGAGUGAUUAUUUGAUAAUCCACCAUAAUCCCACUUAGUUAUCAGAAAUAAAUUAAAAUCCGACGAAUGUUACUUAAGCCAAACAGCAUUAUUUUAUUUUGACCACAAGGACCACAACCCUCAAGCUGUCAAGCAACCGUUACCGUUAACGACCAAUCUUUCACCUCUCCGAAUCUUUGCAAGUCACUAUCAAGCAACCGUUACUAAUAUUUAAUCAAUUAUUAGGAUUAUUGGAUUUCUCAAAUACCUUAUGUACUUUGGUUCACUUUCUACUAAAAUAAAUAUUACAGGAGCUUUCAAAGUCUAGGCUAAGGUUGUUGUAAACAUAGAGAGAUUCAGAGAUAUAACAGCUUGUAAUUACAUACCACAAAGCAUAACUUUGUUCGAAUGAUAAUGAUCAUAAUCCAGAUUAUAGACGUAGAGAGAGGAGAAGUCGUACUUGAGGGGCAAAACGCGGCGUUUUGGCUCGUGGAUGAGGUGCUGCUCCUGAUCGUCGUAGAUUGAAGGGAGGAGAGGUCGGUCGAGGAAGUUUAGGAGACGGUGGAGGCUGAAUUGGUGAAUUUCGAUGAAGACUGACGAAUCCAAUGGGGCUUGAGGGUUUGAUUUGCAAAGAUGAAAGAUAAGAGCAUUGUUUUGGUUUCUGUGCAAAAAAAAAAAAAAAAAACAUGACAAGCGUUGUUUUGGUUUUGGUUCUAAAAAGAUGAAAAUUUGACUGCAAUGGAUCCAUACGCAGUCGGUGUCAAAUAAGAGGAGAAACAAAUAUGUUAAUCACUCGCUCAAUCACUCAUGCGAAGUGCCUUUUUUUUCGUUGCUUUGGCUUCUGAGAAAUAUAUGCAUCAGAUAUUACAACUCUCGAGGAUAAUGCAUUUUGUUCCGGUUUUGACUGAUAUUUAGUGGCAUUUGAUAAACUGAUACCUCAGAACCUGGUAGAGAGUUUAUUAAAUACAAAGAGAACAAAAAUAUAUGACUAUAUAAGCUUUUACACGGUUGAAGAUCCGGUCAAAUUGGCUUUAGUUAGCAAGAUCAUUUAAAACUUUCAAAAAACGAAUGGUAUCAAAAAGCUCUGAGAAAAAGCGGAAAAAAGGCACCACAAAGAUCUUGCAAUUAUUAUCACAGCUUGAUAAGACAUGGAAAUGUAUCUUACAAAUUGGCCUUCCAAGCAUCAAAGAAUUGGGUGGCGACAACUCCCAUUCCUAGCUGCUACCGUGGCCAGUCCCUUCUAACUAAAAUGGGACAGGACCAAAAGCAAGGUCUCUCCCACUCUCCUUAUGUAUAUAAAAUUCCCUACAUUCGAAUAAAACUACAGAAAAAGAUUUGCACAUCAUCUUCUUUCACCUUAUUUUGCAAUCUUCAAGAGUUUGGAAGAUUUCAAAGCACUUGUUAGAAUGUAGCACUCCAUUAAGCAUUCUCACCUUCCCCACACCCCAAUGGACCUCCUUAAUCCUAUCGGCAGACCUACAAAUUCUGCUGCAACUCCAAUCAAAUAAAGCAACACAAUUGUUGCCUGCCUAAGCCUUCCACUCACAGCCUGCAAUGACAAGUUCAUGAUACAAAAUCAGAAACAUUAAUAAACAAAAAGAUAUUACCAUUACUUGCAGAGGGGGAUUUGUUGCAAUUAGUAAAUGCCAUACUUAUCACUUUCAUUGCAGAUAUCAUCAUCAUCAUAAUACUAGCAAUCCAGCACUAAUAGUCAGAAUAAUAAUAAUAGUAGCAUGAAUAAAGAAUUUCUGCAGAGUAAGCUCUAAAGAUGCCGAAAGUGUCAUCUAUUAUGUUAAUAAUAAAAAAGUCUAUCAAGAAUUCAAGGAAAGAAAACUCAUUAACAAAGAACUAAACUUUUUAAUAAUGUUUAAUAAACUACGUACCUAUGAUUUUCUAUUAUUAACAUAAAUGACACUACGUACAACUGAUUUUCGCUUUCUAAUGUUUCAAAUCAUACCGAGAAAUAUAACAAUUACCAAGUCAGUAAGUAGCACAAUUACUUAAUAAGACUUUGACUUGUCUAACCCAAAAUUGUACCCAAUUCUAUACUCUACCAUGAAAAGCUUAUGAAGCCGAACUUACUUUGACCAAACAGUACUAUUAGCUCAGUUAAAGGAAACCACAAUUGAACAAAGUUCAGCUGAAAUAACUGAACUAAAAAAACUUGAUAAAAUUAAAAGUAACUUAUAACAGUUUAGUAAAGAAGCAUACAAAACAUGAAGAUAAAUAAACAUAGGUCUAUUUUCUUGACACUACCAGGUCCUUUCCUUUUUUUUUUUUCAGAUAAGAUCUCGAUACUACCAAGUUUUGGAUUCAAAAUCACCAUAUUACAAUAAUAGUUGUGAUUCAUGGGAUACAAUAUGUAGCAGCUUAUAUGUCGGCAAUUAUAGUCAAAGAUGGUUGUCAAACAUCAUCGCAAAUCAAGAAGCUAAUAAAGACCAUGUCACACUACAUUAACAUAUAUCAGUUCUUUGAUACAAAGAUAUUGAAUGUUAUACAUUUCUAAUCCCAAGUCCUGAAAUACAAAACAAAAGUUCACUUCACACAGUCAUAAAGCUAGACUGCUAGAUAAAUGGACAAUAGGCAUUGGAUAUGGGUCAAUAAACUAUUAAGCUAAUUAAUGCACACGAAGGAAUCCGUUAGAGCUAGUAAAAUAGCCCUUACCAGAGAACUCGCAGAAGCAUUCAAUUUCCUCAAAGGAGAUAACUUACAACAUAAACAUUUUGAUAAGCAGCAACACACAUAAAAUAGCUUCACUCACUAGCAACAGAGCAACUUCUUCAACACAUUAAUAAAUCCAUUUUCAUUUUUAAACAACAAAAUAAUGCCCAGUUUCUCCAGCACAAAUAGGGUAAGCAGUAAUAGAAAAACAUGAUACAUAGGAAUUACCGGCCUCAAGAAAUCUCCAAGCUUUCUGUCCUCUGCUUCAAUUGCUCAAUCAAGAAUGCCCCAGACGUUGCGCUAGCGUGGUGGUGGAGCGUCGCGAAGCGUGUGGCGGCGGUGUCGGCGAAGGCAGGUCAUGAAGAUAGUUGGUGUCGCGCAGCGAAGGCAGUGCAGCUGGUGUCAUGCGGCGAAGGCAAAUCGCGUGGUGGUGGAGUUGGGGUCGCGCGGCAGUGGCGGUGCGGUGCUGAGGCAUAAUAGUGGCGGUGGCGUUGUGCGACAGUGGCAGUGUGGAGGCAGAUUGCGUGGAGCUGGCGGUGUUGAGGCAGAUCGCGUGGAGGCAGAUGCCGCGGUGGUGGAGUUGCUGUCGCGAUCAACGCCUGUGAAAGGGAAUGAAAGUGAAGGAGAUACCUACAAAAGAAAGAACGAGUGAAAUUUUUUUUUUUGUUCAAGGGUUUCAAACCCACAUAAACCCGACUCUCACACGGGUUCAGUAAGUUUAUGCGGGUUUGACUGCAUUACAAAUUGGUAUGACCACAACAACAGUACAAUGAUUGGUAAUUACCAAACAUGCUAUUUAUGUUGGUAUUAAAUUAAUUUAAUACAAUGAGGAGUGGUAAUAUCAUACAAUGAGGACUGUUAAAUAUGGUGUGUUUAAUAUGUUGUAUUGUAUUAUAUUAUUUUAAUACAAAUAUAUUAUAUUAUCUUGUAUUAUAAUAUAAAAUAAUGAAAAAUAUCGAAUUUCAAUAUAUAAAAAAAAAAUAAAUAUAUUUUGUUAUAUUCGAUCUGCUGUACGGCCAAGGCGGAUGUACGGUACAGCAGAUAAGAAUUUAAAUACAUACACUUAUAAUACAACUUAGUUUUUCCACAUUGUCGAGGGAUCAAAACAACCCAUCAUUGGAGUCCAAUAAGUUAUGUGGCGACACAAAAAAGUAAUUCUAUAUUUUUUACGUCAUAAAUAUGUAAAAAAAAUUGUAUUAUAUCUUAUUAUUAUUAGUUUUUUUUCUUCAGUUUUGACAAGUAUAGUUUUCUUGUUGAGUGGCUCAACAAGGCUGGUUACAAUUUCGAAAUAAUGUUCCAUCUGUAUCUGUUUUCCUUUUGUUUUUGAUUUUGUAGUAUAGUUAAUUUGUACGAAUUUGUUGCCUGGUUGGUUUUUAUGCUGAAAAGUCAGUUCAUUGGAAAUGACAGAAAAUUGUUUUUCUUUUUCAUUUUUACAGAAAGAGAUUUGCAACGUUAUAAAAGUAAGAGAUCCUAAGAGAUCCCUGAAUCAUAUUAAAUAUUAAACUUAAGAUACAGUCAAGGCUUUUAUUAUGUUACUAAUCAUGUAACGAAUAUAAUUAUGUAGCAGUCGUUAAAUACAAAUUUAACAGUUAUAAAAAUAACAUGAUUUUAUUAUCUUAUAUUUCUAUAAUCGUUGAAUUUUUAUCUGCUGUACCGUACAUCCGCCUUGGCCGUACAGCAGUAUUGAAUUUUAAAAAUUUAAUAUUAUUUUUUUAAUAUAAAUAUUAAAAAAUAUCAUAAUUCUUCAUAGAAAUCGAAGUUCAUGGCAUUAAAUUUUUAACGCCGCAUACAUAAUAAAAAAUUUGAUUCUCUAGUGCCAAUAUAAUAGAAUACAUAAAAACGAGACUGAGAAACUACGAAUAAAGCUCAUCAUCAAGGACUCCACAACAUUAUAAGAAGUACUAUGUAACAUUUGCCAAAUUACAACACCACAUCAAGACAUAUCACAAUGUAAAAUUUUUCCUAGAGAUUUGGUAAUUGAAAAACACAAUUCAAGUUGAAAACUGAUAGUCGACUUGAAAAGUUUUAACAUAUCCCAUAAAAGAAAUGUGCCAUGCCAAAAAUCCUAACCCUUGGCUCUUUGACGAUAAGAAAAUAUUGAAAAUUCCAAAGUACAGUGCAAUGGGAGAAAGAAUGCCUAUAAAGCUAGUAAAGAUAUUCUUAAACUACUAUUGGGAUGUUGGGCUGGUUGGUAGCAAAACCCAAACCCUGCUGCUGAUUUCCGAUACCACCAUCUUGGAUAAGCCGCUCUCCCUCCUCUUCCUAACUCCUAAGCCCAAUAUCUUUCCAAAACCUUCACAACCCACUCAUAAAUCUCAUUGUUGUCGUGGAUAUGCAAAUUCUCAAUCUUUUCUACUCCAUCACACUCAUCAAUCAUUUGGGUAUAAACAUUAACCCAAUUAUCCAUUCCUAUUUCCUUGUUAACCUCACCCACCUUGAAAAUGUUCUCAAGACCCUAUAGACAAACUGUGACGAUCCUUUGGUCCAGACAAACCAGAAGAUCACAGAGCGGUUUGAUGCAACCUUGGCUCACCAGGAAUCUGCAGGACCAUGGUACCAUAAGUGAUUCUAUCACAUGAACAUCAUUAGAUUAAAAAAAGAAAAAAAAAAGAAACAUCUAUCGUAUGAACAUUGCUGAGUGAAUAAAAGAAACAUACUGAAUAUGUUCAUGAGAUCCUCCAUAUGUGGCAUUUAAGACAGGCCAUGCAGCCUCCUUGAUUUCAAGUUCUGCAUGUUGAAGAAGAGGUGCACAAAAGGAAGGAUAAGGAAGGAUGAUAUUGGCCUCCAUAACAGCCUGUUGAACAAAAAUUCGACAAAUUAUAAUUAUGAGUAUAUUUAAGUAGCAAUUUUGUCAGAAUUAACUAGACUUGACUAUUGAGGAAGUCACAUUCAAAAAUAGAAAAGACGAGCAAGCAAUUGUAUUCAUGCUAUCGGGACCAAAAUACUAUGAUGCAAGCAAGAAAGAAAAACAUACAUACAUAUAAAACACUAUCUUUGAGUUGGGUAUUUUCUUUCAAUUUUGAUAAUGGCAACUUUGGAUUCUUCUGCUGAAUUACCACCACCACCACACCAUUGUAGUUUCACAUACUAAGAAAAGGCAGGUUCAGCUCCCGUGCAUGCCCAUAAGAAUAUGAUGUAUUAAUUAGAAGUAAAAUUAAUCUGUUCAAUUAAGUUCUCUCAUAUAUUUGUGUGCGUGUGUGUGUUAAUUAGUUUGCUUUCAAAUCUUUUCUCCCUUCUUAAUGAUAUAUAUUUUAAGCAUGAUAUCAACCACGAUGAAUUUAUUAGCCGAUUUUUAAUUAUACAUUCAGCAUGAUAUCACAAACCAAGAGCUUAAGUUAGCCUAAUUCUUCAUAAAUCUAAUAAUUGCAAUCAAUAAUAAUGCUGAAAAUACGAGUUUGAAUUAAGCUAGCAACUGGUUCUUAAAUUAUGCAAUAUGUAAUCAUAGGUUUACUUAAAGAUUAAAGCAUUUCUGCAAUCCAUUGUGCAAAAAGAUUAAAAAAAAAAAAAAUAGUUGCCAAAUUUUAUCUAAAUAAAAAUUCCUUUAGUGGUUAGUACUUGUGAAUUAUAGAAAUUAUUAUUAGUACUUGCUCAGCGCUUUUUAGAUUUGUACAGGUAGAUUACGCCAUUUCAAACCCGACCAUCCAUUUAGACAUACAAAUCCCCCCAAUUCCCUGUCCUCCGCCUUUACGCGACUCUCCACUGUAUGUGCCAACUAAUUAAUUUUUUAAUUACUUGUUUAACUAAUUAAUUCAUUUUCUCAAAAGCAAGAUUAAUCUAUUUGUUCAAAUCUGAAGGAGAUUAAGUUAAUUGAUUUUAUUGUAUGUAAAAAUAUACAAAGAACUCAUGAAGCCAACUAGAAAAAAAAAAAAAGACAAAAAAAAAAUCAAACCCAGAAAUAAAAAGACAUGCUUCGACAGAAAAUUAAUGAAAAUUAUACUGAUUGUGGUUCAAUUUGAUCAAACCCAAAUAAUAACCGGUUUGAUUGAUGACUCAGCGGCAAAGUGCAGGCGCAUCAGUGGUUGCACAGAUGAGUGUUCUCGUGCGGCACGACAAAGCAAUUGUCGGCGAUUGUGAUUGGUGAUGACAUCGAGCGAUGGGGGUAAUGGCAUCGGUCGUGACUUUGUGAUGGAGAAACGAAUGUUAGAUUCGUUCGAAGAUUCGUGUUUUGAUUGAAUAACAAAGAGAGAUUUUAUGAGUUUUAAUUAUCUAAUACGAUACCGCAUAAACCCGACUCGUACGUGGGUUUAUUUUAUGCGGGUUUCGGUGUACUAAAGCAGUAAAUUUAUGUGGUGCAAUUCAAACUGAUUUCACCGCCAAAAGAUCGUGUAAAUUUAAUAUUAUACAGGGUUUUAAUACUAUGUAAUCCAAUACACCAAACAUGCCCUUAAAAACGGAUAGCAAUCCGGGGCCUUUAAAAACGGAAAAUACAAGCAGAGAAAAAGAAAAGCCAAUUGUUCAAAAGUGCCUAAUAUGCCCACGGAAAAUUUUCGUCACGACCCACAGUUACUCGAAUAGGUAAUAAGACAGGAAUGCCUUUGUUUGUUCGAAUAUAGAAGCACAAUGGCUCAGAAAGGAUCCCUCCAAUCUCCUUGGCACUGUCAGCUGGGUGCGGAGUAGCUUGGUGGCAGCAACCAUGUUUGAGAGGGCUGGCUUCACCUCAGUGUACUUGCGAGUCUUGAGACCACAGUCAGGGUUAACCCACAAAAUGUUGGUUUCUAGCACAGUACGCAUCUCGUAGAUUCUGUCAACAAUUUCUUCGGUUGAUGGUAUUCUUGGAGAGUGGAUGUCAUAGACGCCAGGGCCAAUUGCAGCAUCAUACUGGACUCCCUCACGGAAGACUGACAGGAGAUUCUCAUUAGAACGAGAGUUCUCAAUGGUGAUCACAUCAGCAUCCAUGUCGAUAAUUGAGUGGAUAAUGUCGUUGAAGUUGGAGUAGCACAUGUGGGUGUGGAUCUGUCAAUCAAUAAACAAUAGAAUGAGAUACAAAAUCAACAGCUAAAUUAAAGAGAUGAGAUUGGAGAUUAAAAGGGUAACUGACCUGGGUAGUGUCCUGGAUGCCACAGUUGGUGAUUCUGAAGGAGUGGACUGCCCAGUCCAAGUAGAAAGCAUGCUCAGAUUUCCUGAGAGGCAAUCCUUCCCUCAAGGCAGCCUCAUCAAUUUGAAUAACGUUAAUGCCUGCCUUCUCAAGAUCCUCGACUUCGUCCUUGAUGGCCAAAGCAAUCUGGUAGCAGGUUUCAUGUCUGCAAAAUUGGCAGCGAUUGAUGUUAAACAAUGUUUCCAUUCCAAAAGGUUAACCAAUAGUGAACCAGUUCUCAUUUAUAUACCUGGGCUGGUCAUUUCUGACAAAGGACCAGUUGAGAAUGGUGACAGGGCCAGUAAGCAUUCCCUUCAUUGGGCGAGCAGUCAUGCUCUGAGCCCAGGAGGACCAGAAGACGGUCAUAGCCUUGGGACGGCUCACAUCACCAUAGAUGAUGGGUGGCUUCACACAGCGAGAUCCAUAGGAUUGCACCCACCCAUUGGCAGUGAAGGCGAAACCUGAUAACUGCUCUCCAAAGUACUCAACCAUGUCGUUUCUCUACAAAAACAAAUGUCCGAAUUCAAUUUGAGAUCCAGCAUACUUCGUAUGCAAUUAGAAAUGCAGAAACAAAAAUGUAUAAAAUUUUAUGUAAUUCAAAACCAGGAGACAUUGCUUUGCUUCCAUUGGGCAUUGCGAGACUCACCUCAGGCUCUCCAUGGACAAGGACAUCAAUAUCAAGCUCUUCUUGGAGUUUGACAACCUUGUUGAUUUCCUCCUUGAUGGAAGCAACAUAUUCUUCCUCAGAAAUCCUAAAAAGGACAAAUAGUCACGGCACAGUUAAUACAGUAGUUGCAGUAAUUUCACACAUGGCAUUGAAUGAAGAAACACCUCAGAUUGACUCACUUCUUAGCCUUGUAUUCACGGCGGACUCUCCUAAGUUCAAUGGUUUGUGGGAAGGAUCCAAUUGUGGUGGUUGGGAGGAUUGGAAGAUUGAGCUUCUUCUGUUGAGCAUCUAAUCUAGCACUAACGUUUGUAGCACGUCUGUGGUCUGAUCCCCUCAAAGCAGCAGCCUAAUAGACCAAGAGGAAGGAAUCACUGUUAGCAAAAAAGGAAAUUCUAAGGGACAGCCACAUCAUAAAAAUGGAAAACAAAUCAAUCAUGCCACUUACAGCCUUUUGAACUGCCUCAUUGGUCACUCUCGGGGAGGACUUUCUUGAAGCCUGAGCUGCAGCAUUGGCAGAGAAGAAUCCCUGGAAACAAAUGAUAAGGAGAACCAAAGUUAGUCUCAUUCAUAUCAUUUUAAAAAGAAGAUACAUAUGCAAUUAGUGGGCUGAUUGUGAGAGAAAAAGUCCCCAAAACUUUAAUCAAACACCAAAUGCCCAAGUUGCCAAAUGAUGUUUAAUUCGGAAAAAUAUAUUUAAAAACAUUCAAAUAUAAUUUCCCCUUCUAAAUUUUCAUUUUCAACAACAUAUUUUACAAGCCAAGCUCAACGUCAGGCCAAGAUUUUGUGCUCCUAUAAUUAUAUUUUACCAUAAAACUAGGUCCUUGAAAGGCUAAGAUUUUCUGACUCUUGUGACUAGUCAAAGCCUAAGAUUCUUUCAAUUCAUCCGUAGUAAAAGUAUACCUCAUCCUUUUGGCCAGCCAAAGCCUUGGCCAAUGCAUUGACUUCAACAACUUUCUGGGCAGCAAAUGCCAGCCAUGACUUGAUUUCGUCGUCGAGUUUGUUCUCAUUAACAAGAUCAACAGCAGUGUGAAGAAGUGAGCAGGAGGUGGAGACCACAAGCUUGUCUGCAAAGAAAAGUAAUAAAUUAUACAACAAAUCCCAUAAUAGAAUAAGAAAUAUUUAUCACAAAGAAAAAUGCAAGCAAAGGAUGUAUACCUUUGCCAACAACACCCUCAAGCCCCCGGAGAACACUAAGAGAAGCAGCAAGAUCAUUGGCCCAAAUGUUCCUUCCAUCAACCACUCCAGCAAAGAGGUACUUGCCAGCAGGGAAUCCACUCUUGAUCAAUUCAAGGGUCUUGGUUCCACGAACCAAAUCAAAUCCAUAAGCGGUGACACCCUUCAAAGAAGUGAGGGUCUGGAAUGCCUCAGCUGGAACAUCAGCAAAGUAGGUCUCAACAAGAACAUUCAAGCCAGACAGAGUUGACUCUAGUUCCGCGUAAGCCUCACUGAAUGCUUGCAAUUUGUGUGAGUCAAGAUCCGUAACAAGCAAUGGCUCAUCAAACUGAAUCCAGGAAGCACCAGCAGCCUUAAGCUCAGAAACAACUUCCCUGCAGAAGUGUUAAUUGGUACGACACGGAUUAAUGAUGCCACACGAUACACACACACACACACACACACACACACACACACACACACACACACACACACACACACACACACACACACACACACACACACACACACACACACACACACACACACACACACACACACAGACAGAGUUAUUUAGCACAUACACGUUUAUAAAUCUGUAAAUAGGUGAUAAUUCUUACUUGUAGAUCGGAAGGAUUUUGGGAAGAAGAGAGAGAACAGAAAAGGUCUUCUCAACCCCCCAGGCAGGCUUAGACAGCAACAAGUAUGACACAGGGCCAAUAAGCACUGGGACAGUUUCAACUCCAUGCUGCAGCAUUAGACAAGUGGUAGAUAUUAGCAUCUCACAAACUUGAUCUGACUGAUAGAAAGUUACAAGCAAGUUAAGAAUAUGUUUGAUGAAAUUUCAAUGAAAAAUCUUCAGGGUCCACAACAUGUUGACUAUACCCUUUUUAAGUAAUUUAUCUUAAGACUAUUUUGCAAACAGUAUUGCUUCCCUUUACAGAUCAAAUAAAUCAUACAACAUCUGAACGCAUUUCCUGAGCCAAAUAUAAGUUCAAAGCUCUAUAAUAAAUGUCAAUGACUCUAUAGUAAAUUCCAUCACAUUCUGAGCUAUGGAUGAGCAUAUCAUAUGCCAAUUUCAAGUUGAACGUAACCCAAUUUCAACAUAUUGUAGAUUCAAGUAUCAAACGAAAAAAAAAAUAUUGUAAAUAUAGACAGAACUGAGAACAAACACUCACCCCCUUAGCCUCCUUGUACUCAGUCACAGCCUUGUGGGAAGCGUAGGAGAACUUAACAUCGGGUCCCAAUUCAGGAACAAUGAAAUGACUGCAUCAACACGAAGCCAAACACACGUCAGCAUUCAGUACAAAACCAUUACACCAUAACUAACUUGAAAUGCCGCUCUUCCAAGUAGUGAAUACUUACUAGUUGGUGUCGAACCACUUGGUCAUUUCCAUUGCGAGAACAGAGGCGUUUCCUCUGGCCAUGGAGAAGUAAACAUCGAAUCCAAUCUCGCCGCCGUUCCAGUUAAACCUCGGGGGCACGGCACCGAGCAUUGCGGUGGUGUCGAGCACUUGGUCGUAGUAGGAGAAAGUGUUGCUGGGAAUGUAUUUGAUCCCGGCCUCGGACAUCUGUUUCCAGAUGGAGGAUCUGAGAUCAGCGGACACCUUUUGCAAAUCCUCGGCGCUGCUCUUGCCAUCCCAGAAGGAUUCCAACGCGAACUUGAGCUCCCUCUUGGGGCCCAUGCGUGGGUAACCAACGAUGUGAGAUGCCAUUUUACUGUCAUAAUCACGUCAUCAAUGAAUCGAAAAUCAGUCCCUUCCAUUAAAUCAAGAAAUUAUUAAUUCAAAUGAAUGGAUCACAUUGUAUAUAUAUGGGAUAAAUAUAAUUAUGAACAAAAGCGUCUAAUCAAUCACAAAAAGCAAGCGACUGCAUCAAAUUUAGGGAUCCGACCCGACCCGACCCGAUCUGUAAAUUCCGGUUUCAAUCGGAUUAAGAUGAAACCUCUAACCCGAUAUAGUUGGAUUUUGGCCAACUCGAUCGGAUCAGAUCGGAUCGGAUUAAACUUAGUCCAAUCCGAAAAAUUCAAAAAAUCAAAACUACAAUAAGUAUAAAUCUAAAUUUUCAAUUCAAUUUGAUCUAAUCUGAAUAUAUUCGAAUCGGAUCAAAUACUAUGCUCUGCUUAAACUUGGAUUAUAUUUUUUUCAAUUUGAUUAACCUAAAAUUCGAUUGGAUAGAUCCAAAACUGAAUUUAUCUACCCCUCAGUCAUCAAUCAAUUACAAAACCUAAAAUCCGAUUGGAUAGAUCCGAAACUGAAUUUAUCCACCCUUAAGUCAUCAAUCAAUUACAAAGGCGACUGAUGUUUAUACAAUGGACAAUUAUUAAGUUACAGCUCUUGUAAUUUACAACUUAUACAAAAAUAUGUGAAAAAUUGUGAUAGGCAGUACAGUGUCAUGAUUUUAUACAAAAAUAUGUAAACAAUUGUGAUAGACGGUAGAACCUCAUGAUUUUAUAAAAAAUACGUAAAAAGUUGGGAUAAGUAAUGGAGCCCGCAUAAUUUUUUAUCAGCUGCAAGUUGCAAGUUACAGCAACUGUAACUUAGCGACCCCGACUUCAAUGUAAAAUGAGAAAGUACUCCUCCGCAUAGUACCUGAUGCUCAAAAGUCAAAUCACACGAAAUGCAAAUAGACUUAUCAGAGCAUAAAACCUUAUAUUACUUUUUGAAAAACGAUUUGAAACAAGGGCAAAAUUACAGUGUAACCGUACUUAGUCAUUGAAUUCAGCUCACAAUUAUCAUUAUAGUUAGAUCUAAUAACUAGAUCCAACUGUAUCCACAGUUAUAUUGUAGUUAGAUCUGAUAACUAAAUCCAGAUCCAGCUGUCCCCACAAUUGUCAUUAUAGUUAGAUCUAAUAAUUAGAUUCGGCUGAUUCAGCUGUGAUGUAGUACCCUGUAGUGCCAUAACUGGACAAAGAAACAAACUGAUAUAUUUUCUUUUUUGAAACAAACUGAUACUAAUCCAAGAGUUUCAGAUGAUCGGUUUUUUUUUUUUUUUCUAUAGUCACAUCAAUAAUUAAGUACUUUCAGUCAUUUUCGAAGGAUUAAAACGAAAACUCUAAAAAAAUUCUGAGAAUGAAGAAUCCGAAAAUAGAUUCAGAAAUAGUAACACAAGUAGAGGUCAGAUUGUUUUUUGGAAAAGAUUAAUUGCAGAUCUGAUGAACUCAAGUCUAGAUCUAGCAAAAUCACGGCAGCCAAACACUAGAUCUAAGACUAACAGUCACUCACCAGUCGAUCAGAAAGUGAAAUCAAGUUCAAAAUUCUUUUUUUUUAAUAGAUCCAAAAGCUAAUAUACAUAUAUAUAUGGCAAAAUAUAUAUACCGUACCCGAGAAGGACGAGCAGAGAAAUUAAGCUUUUUUCGAGAGAACGAGAAAGAAGAGAGACGAGACUGUUAGAAAUUGCUGUCAGUUUAAUUUUUAUUUAUAGCCAAAAACCUAACCUUGUUUAGUGGUUACUGGUUACCGUCUUCGGCGGUGUUGAUCUGAGAUUUAUCAUUUUAAUUUCUUUCUCUUACUUAUUUAUUUAAUUUGGGUCCAACUACGGUGAAACUGUAGUACCGUGCUACAGUUAUUUUCAACCGUUUGAUUCACUUGGAUGGUGGGAUCCAAUAAAAUCCAAUAACUGGGUGCAACCGUAGCACGGUGCCGCAGUUGCACCACAGUUUUUCCCAUUUAUUUAUUAUGCUUUCAGUGCAGUUGGCAAAAACAUGGAGCUUACGCGCGCUUUUCUGAUGUGGCGCGUGAAUUGGAAAUGUGGUAGAUCUUUGUGGAUCCGCCGGUGCAGUGAAGAGUGAAGGAAAAAAGAGAAAAGUUAUCAUGCCAGAUCAUUUGAAGAGAGCCGCAAUUAGUAAUUACACCACAAUAUAUUUCUGAUUAUUUGCUUACUUUGAUGAUGUUUUUACUGAUUAGUAAUUGGAAUAUGUUAGAAUCUAAAUAUAGUAGAAUCAUAAUAGAGUUGAAUCAAAAUAGACUAUAAUUAGAAUGGAUAAUGGGAAUUAGAAGAAUUAUUUGCUUUAGUUGUGAGAAUCCAAAUUGGAAUGAACUAUAUUGUCGUUGAUAUGUUUACUUUAUCAUAGAAUAUGAAUGAAUUAUUACAAGUUACUAAACAGACCUUAAGUUGAUUAUUGUCAUUAUUUAUUUAUUUAUUAUUAUUAUUAUUAUUAUCAUCAUCAUCAUCAUCAAAAUUAUUAAUCUUAUUAUUAAUGUUAAUUAUAAUAAUUAAUAAUUAUAAUAGUAUUAUAAUAAUAAUAAUAAUAAAAGCAAUCAUAAAAUGAGAAUUUCAAGAUUUAAGUAGAGAUAAUAUAAUUAUUUUAGAAAAUGAGAAUUUCCAUGAGAAUGUGAACUCUAUUAAUCAUUCCCAAUUUGAAGUGGGGCCUGCCAUUUUGAUUCAAUCUCUCAUUUAAGCAAGUAAAUACGACAUUUAUUCUCAUUCCCUCAUUCCCACUCUCAGGUAGCGUUUGUUUUUUAACUUAAUGACUUAAAGUGACUUAACUUAAUUAAUUAAGUUAAUUAGAGGUGUUUAUUUUUAUAACUUAAUGAGACUUUUUAGAUAAUUUUGACUUAAUAAAAUGAGCCAAUUUUUUUUGGCUUUUUACUUAAUGGAGAAAUUUGAAUUUAGUCAAUUACUUACUAAUGUCAAAAAUAUCUAUGUUUUAUAAUUUAUUUUUCAUGUCUAUCCCAAAACUCACCCAUAGACAUUUACCCCACAUAAAAAUAUCCCUAUUUUUUCUUUCUUAUAUUAUAUACGAUAAAAUUUGAAAUUUAUGGUAUUUUAUAUAUUAAAAUUCUAAAAUAAUUAUGUAUUCACUUGAAUAUAGUUUUACUUAUAACUGUUAAAAUAUUGUGGUAUUUAAUAUAUUAUUUAUUUGACAUUAAAAUUUAAUAAGGAUACAAAUGUAAAAGUACAUAUUUUCAGUUUUUUCAGUUAAAAAAAAAGCAACUUAAUACUUAUUUUUCGAGAUUCAGACGAAAAAAUAAACAUAUUAUUCAUAUUCAGACAUUUAGAUAUAUUCAGAAUUCAAACUAAUUCAGGUCUAUUCAGAUUUUAGACAAAAAAAACAAACGCCACCUCAAUCAAUAAACACACCAUAAAUGUAGAGUUGUUACUAUUAGAAUACAUUAUAAUUCAUCACAAUUAUGAUAGGUAUAUACGUGUGUAAUAAUUUAUAUAAGAUGCUAAAUUUUGAAAAUAAUAAAAAAUCAUUUAUACAUAUUUAAAAAAAUCAUUAAUACAUUAAAAUGUGCAUCACAUAUACAUUUACAUAAUAGCAAUGACCAUAGUAUAAAAAAAACUCCUAAAAGAGAACGACUUCGUUAUUUAUGUUAUUUUAUAUAUUUUUAAUUGAUUAUUAAAAGGAUCAAUUGUUAAUUAUUAUUCUCCAAACAUAAUCACCGUUAAACAUUUAUUCAAUUUAACAAUAGGUAGAUGUUAAAUAAUAUUGGAAUAUUUAAUGAACAAUAUAAUCACUAUUGCAGUUGUUUUUUUUUUUUAGUAAUGGAUUAUUCGAAACUCAAAUUCAUUUUUUAGCCCCCUUACCUCUCUUAAAAUUCAAAUUUAAGUGACUAAACAAAUAAAACUGCUUAAAAUCUAUACGACUACAUCUUUGGGGACCAAUUAAUAUGGAUGUUUAAAUCUUGAUUUAUUAUUAAAUCUUUGAGUUUCAACCACUAAUAACAUCAUCAUCGAUUAAUGACAAAUAAAAUAAUACAUCAUCAAAACCAUUAAACACGUCCAUCAAUAUCAAAAACAAGUAAAAAGUUUAGCAUGUAUUUCAAAUAUACUUUUCAUCCCAAAAGUUGUAGAGAAAGUCUCGAUAUCAAUGUCACUAUGAGACGUAAUUUUAUAUUUAAAGUCAGCGCAACUUAAAAAUUACUAUGAAUGAAUAAUACACCAUAAAAAAAUUAUUUAUAAGUAUUUUCAUCAUGUAUUUUUAUUUAACAAUGGUGACAUUUAUUUUUUAACUUAAUGACUUAAAGUGGCUUAACUUAAUUAAUUAAGUUAAUUUUAGGUGUUUGUUUUUAUAACUUAAUAGGACAUUUUAGAUAAUUUUGACUUAAUAAAAUAGGCCAAUUUUUUUUAACUUUUUACUUAAUAGAGAAAUUUGAAUUAAGUCAGUUACUUUCUAAUGUAAAAAAAUAUUCCUACUUUAUAAUUUAUUUUUCAUGCAUAUUCAAAAACUCACCCAUAGAUAUUUACCCCACAUAAUCUCAUCUUUAUUUUCUUCCAGCCGUCAUGGAAUCCCUCCUCACUUUGCUUCUCUCCUCUAGUUCUUGAAUCUCCCUUUAAUUUCUCGCUAGGCAAAGCACUUGAAUUGGGCUUUUUUUUUUUCCUUUUCAAUUACGUUUUCCAACAUUCACUUAUAUAAUAAUCAACUAGUUGCUACUCUUUUUAGUGAUAAAAUUUGAAAUAUGGUAUUUUAUAUAUUAAAUUUUCAAAAUUAUGUAUUCACUUAAAUGUAGUUUUACUUAUAAAUAUUAAAAUAUUAUGUUAUUUAAUAUAUUAUUUAUUUGACAUUCAAAUUUAAUAAGGAUAUAAAUGUAAAAGUACAUAUUUUUAAUUUUUUAAGUUGAAAAAAUAACUUAAUAUUUAUUUUCAGAUAUUCAAAUAAAAAAUAUAUUAUUUAAAUUCAAAAAUUUAAAUCUAUUCAAAAUUUAAAGUAAUUCAGGUCUAUGCAUAUUUCAAUCAUAAAAACAAAUGCCACAUGAGUCAUUCAAUUUCUAAUUAAGAGGAUAAAAAAUAGAUUUGGACUAUCCUAAGACAAAAACAAAAAAAAAAACAAAAAUAAGAUUUCCUAAUAAGUGUACUAACGUGGUCACGCGCCUUGAGAAACGCUUGGACCUAACACACUAUUUUAAUCCGAUAUGCAAAAAAAGAAAAAAAAAAAAAAGGAAAAAUUAUGAGAUGUAUAAGUUUCUAGAGACGUGUUAAAUUUUGAUGAAACAAUGAAGAAAGUCGGUGGCCGAAGUUGGUAUGGGGCAAUGCGAAUGGUGGUUGGCCCACGUUGCCCUGUAAUUGGAGUUGUUAUAAUUUUUCUUAUAAUUAAUAGGACUUGACACAGACUGCAGCAUCAGCCGUUGGAUGUGGAGGGAGAAACUAAACAAUAGAAAACCGUAUGGUGGGAUGACGGUAGAUGUUUGUUACAGAAACUGUACCAUAGACAGGUCCUAAUUAAUAAGCUCUACGUUUUGAAACAAUAAAUAAACUCCAGAUGACCAAAAUAUCAUUUCAUACUGCUACCUAGACAUCUUGGCGAGGGUGGGUAAUGUGGGGCCCGGAGCUUGUUUGAUCGUCAAUUAUUCUCUGGUUUGGUGAAACGAAUGGACGGACGAUGGUGAUGGCUUUUAGGAGAUUAGUAUUAUUAUUAUUAUUAUUAUUAUUACAUUGAGAUCGUAAAACAAAAAAUUCAAUUAAUAAUAUAAAAUAUUUAUUUAAUUUAUUAAUUAUUAUAUAUACACAAUAAAAAAAUUUAUAUACAUAUUUAUAAAUGUGUAAAUAAAUUUCAUUCAAUAUUAUAUCCAAUUAAUCAUUUAUAUUUUUCUGCUGUACCGUACAUCCGCCUUGGCCGUACAGCAGUAAAGCUGCUGAUGCUUUAUCGCGAAUUCAUGAGGAAAAUGUGAUUGAAGAACCCAAACCAACAACUCUUUGUUUGUCGUUAGACAUUUACCCCACAUAAAAAUAUCCCUAUUUUUUCUUUCUUAUAUUAUAUACGAUAAAAUUUGAAAUUUAUGGUAUUUUAUAUAUUAAAAUUCUAAAAUAAUUAUGUAUUCACUUGAAUAUAGUUUUACUUAUAACUGUUAAAAUAUUGUGGUAUUUAAUAUAUUAUUUAUUUGACAUUAAAAUUUAAUAAGGAUACAAAUGUAAAAGUACAUAUUUUCAGUUUUUUCAGUUAAAAAAAAAGCAACUUAAUACUUAUUUUUCGAGAUUCAGACGAAAAAAUAAACAUAUUAUUCAUAUUCAGACAUUUAGAUAUAUUCAGAAUUCAAACUAAUUCAGGUCUAUUCAGAUUUUAGACAAAAAAAACAAACGCCACCUCAAUCAAUAAACACACCAUAAAUGUAGAGUUGUUACUAUUAGAAUACAUUAUAAUUCAUCACAAUUAUGAUAGGUAUAUACGUGUGUAAUAAUUUAUAUAAGAUGCUAAAUUUUGAAAAUAAUAAAAAAUCAUUUAUACAUAUUUAAAAAAAUCAUUAAUACAUUAAAAUGUGCAUCACAUAUACAUUUACAUAAUAGCAAUGACCAUAGUAUAAAAAAAACUCCUAAAAGAGAACGACUUCGUUAUUUAUGUUAUUUUAUAUAUUUUUAAUUGAUUAUUAAAAGGAUCAAUUGUUAAUUAUUAUUCUCCAAACAUAAUCACCGUUAAACAUUUAUUCAAUUUAACAAUAGGUAGAUGUUAAAUAAUAUUGGAAUAUUUAAUGAACAAUAUAAUCACUAUUGCAGUUGUUUUUUUUUUUUAGUAAUGGAUUAUUCGAAACUCAAAUUCAUUUUUUAGCCCCCUUACCUCUCUUAAAAUUCAAAUUUAAGUGACUAAACAAAUAAAACUGCUUAAAAUCUAUACGACUACAUCUUUGGGGACCAAUUAAUAUGGAUGUUUAAAUCUUGAUUUAUUAUUAAAUCUUUGAGUUUCAACCACUAAUAACAUCAUCAUCGAUUAAUGACAAAUAAAAUAAUACAUCAUCAAAACCAUUAAACACGUCCAUCAAUAUCAAAAACAAGUAAAAAGUUUAGCAUGUAUUUCAAAUAUACUUUUCAUCCCAAAAGUUGUAGAGAAAGUCUCGAUAUCAAUGUCACUAUGAGACGUAAUUUUAUAUUUAAAGUCAGCGCAACUUAAAAAUUACUAUGAAUGAAUAAUACACCAUAAAAAAAUUAUUUAUAAGUAUUUUCAUCAUGUAUUUUUAUUUAACAAUGGUGACAUUUAUUUUUUAACUUAAUGACUUAAAGUGGCUUAACUUAAUUAAUUAAGUUAAUUUUAGGUGUUUGUUUUUAUAACUUAAUAGGACAUUUUAGAUAAUUUUGACUUAAUAAAAUAGGCCAAUUUUUUUUAACUUUUUACUUAAUAGAGAAAUUUGAAUUAAGUCAGUUACUUUCUAAUGUAAAAAAAUAUUCCUACUUUAUAAUUUAUUUUUCAUGCAUAUUCAAAAACUCACCCAUAGAUAUUUACCCCACAUAAUCUCAUCUUUAUUUUCUUCCAGCCGUCAUGGAAUCCCUCCUCACUUUGCUUCUCUCCUCUAGUUCUUGAAUCUCCCUUUAAUUUCUCGCUAGGCAAAGCACUUGAAUUGGGCUUUUUUUUUUUUCCUUUUCAAUUACGUUUUCCAACAUUCACUUAUAUAAUAAUCAACUAGUUGCUACUCUUUUUAGUGAUAAAAUUUGAAAUAUGGUAUUUUAUAUAUUAAAUUUUCAAAAUUAUGUAUUCACUUAAAUGUAGUUUUACUUAUAAAUAUUAAAAUAUUAUGUUAUUUAAUAUAUUAUUUAUUUGACAUUCAAAUUUAAUAAGGAUAUAAAUGUAAAAGUACAUAUUUUUAAUUUUUUAAGUUGAAAAAAUAACUUAAUAUUUAUUUUCAGAUAUUCAAAUAAAAAAUAUAUUAUUUAAAUUCAAAAAUUUAAAUCUAUUCAAAAUUUAAAGUAAUUCAGGUCUAUGCAUAUUUCAAUCAUAAAAACAAAUGCCACAUGAGUCAUUCAAUUUCUAAUUAAGAGGAUAAAAAAUAGAUUUGGACUAUCCUAAGACAAAAACAAAAAAAAAAACAAAAAUAAGAUUUCCUAAUAAGUGUACUAACGUGGUCACGCGCCUUGAGAAACGCUUGGACCUAACACACUAUUUUAAUCCGAUAUGCAAAAAAAGAAAAAAAAAAAAAAGGAAAAAUUAUGAGAUGUAUAAGUUUCUAGAGACGUGUUAAAUUUUGAUGAAACAAUGAAGAAAGUCGGUGGCCGAAGUUGGUAUGGGGCAAUGCGAAUGGUGGUUGGCCCACGUUGCCCUGUAAUUGGAGUUGUUAUAAUUUUUCUUAUAAUUAAUAGGACUUGACACAGACUGCAGCAUCAGCCGUUGGAUGUGGAGGGAGAAACUAAACAAUAGAAAACCGUAUGGUGGGAUGACGGUAGAUGUUUGUUACAGAAACUGUACCAUAGACAGGUCCUAAUUAAUAAGCUCUACGUUUUGAAACAAUAAAUAAACUCCAGAUGACCAAAAUAUCAUUUCAUACUGCUACCUAGACAUCUUGGCGAGGGUGGGUAAUGUGGGGCCCGGAGCUUGUUUGAUCGUCAAUUAUUCUCUGGUUUGGUGAAACGAAUGGACGGACGAUGGUGAUGGCUUUUAGGAGAUUAGUAUUAUUAUUAUUAUUAUUAUUAUUACAUUGAGAUCGUAAAACAAAAAAUUCAAUUAAUAAUAUAAAAUAUUUAUUUAAUUUAUUAAUUAUUAUAUAUACACAAUAAAAAAAUUUAUAUACAUAUUUAUAAAUGUGUAAAUAAAUUUCAUUCAAUAUUAUAUCCAAUUAAUCAUUUAUAUUUUUACAGCGGUUUAAUAAUAAUAUUUACUAAAUACAUAUGAUUAUUUUUAAAAUUCACAGUAUUUUUAAAAAUAAAUUUUAUAAAAUUUUUAACUAAUUUUCUUUACAACUAACUAUUGAACGGUUUAACUAAUAGUAAUUAUUUUUAAAAUUAUAGUAUUAUCAAAUUAGUCCUAUGUCAAAUUUGUUAUUGCUGUUUUUUUUUUAAUUAAAAAAUUACAUAGUGCAUACGUGCAUAAUAUGCCCAACUCAAAAAUUCACACAAAAUAUACUAUUUAACUUUAAGGCUUUAAUUGAAAAAAAAAAUUAAGAUUAAGAUGAAUAAAUACUAGAACAUAACAAAUAGAUAAACUCUCCCAUUCUUUAAAAAGAUUAAUUUUAUUUUAAACUUACACUUCGAAUUCAAAGUAGACAUUGAUUGAUAAAAUUAUACAAACGGAUCAAUAUUCCUACAUUUUCUUUUUAAUUUCAAAACCAACAGAUAUUGUUUGUUCAUUAUAUGACCUCCAAACAAAUAAUUUCAUUAAUAAAAUAAUAAUGAAAAGUGUCGUGAUGGGUAUAGAGUAAUUAGGUGGCUAAGUUUCUACUUUUCAUUCUAACUCUUGAGGUUGGUAGGCGCGUGGGUGGUCCACAAAACCCGUGGACGGUAGCAUUCAAACAAAGACUGGAGGCACCAGAAAAAUGUCCAAAAAGUGUGAAACCGUGACGUGUUCAACAUGUUAAUAAAUUUAGGCAAAUGUUAAAGUUACGGAGCUGGCUACGUUACAGAAACUGUACGUAACAGCCAUGCAUUUUUUAUUCGUUGGAUCUAGAGACUGAAAUUGGAUGGUUGGGAUUAAAGGCCAGAAUAGAAAUUAAUCACGGGCAACCGUUUUUAACAUUUAGAAGGGUUUAUUUUCAUGCACACCCAAAUAUUUUGACAAAUAUCAAUAUGCACCCAGUAACUUUUUAUGUAAAACCACAUAACCGACCCGUUAACUUUUCUACUAUUGAAUUAAAAAACUAUCAUGCCUCAAUUGAAUUAAAUUGAUCAGGUAAAAUAUCUUUUAUAACUUGUCAAUUUUUACAGUGAAAUAUACGAGUAUUUAGUAAAAUCAAAUUUAUUUUUUAUUCAGUAAUCAAAUUUUUUUAUUUAGUGAAAUCAAAAUUAUUUUUCUUUAGUUGUAAGAUUUUUUUAACAAAAAAAUUCUAAAAUCAGAUUUAACUCAUUUACUAUUUUAAAAAAUGAACUUUUUACUAACCAAACUAGAGUUUAUCUUUAGUCAACAUAUUUUUUUCUCUAAAAUAACCUUUGAUAGAAUUACUUAUAUAAACAUGUCAGUAUCAAAAUUACUUCAUAUUUUACCAUCCAUCAAUUUAAACUAGUGUGAAAUUUUUUUAGUUUGAUAUUGAAAAUAUGAUAGUUGAUGAGAGAAAUCUAAUUCAAAUUUACAGAUAGAAUAGUUUCUUAUAAUUGCGUACAUGGUAUAUCAAAAAUAUUUUUUUGUGAGUUUUUAAAAAAAUUGUGUCACAAGAUGAAAUUAUCUCUUGAUUUUUCAAUUCCUGGAAUUUAUGUAAAACAAUAAACACAAGUAAAUCUUUUGGUUUGUGACUUCUUGAAGGAAUGUUUGGGAACGCACAAGUUCCUCUCUCCUUCAAAAAGAAUGAUAAGUGCAAAUACCAACCUAGAAAAUUGAUUUAUAAUUCAAAGAAGAUUUGAUUGAAGAUGAUUAAUUGAAAUUUAUCUUUGCAUGAUGUCAAACAUUUUUCAAAAUGACUAAGUCAAGUCUCUUUGUUAAUUCAAAUCAAGAAAAAUUAGAAAAAUAUUAAUGCAUAGAAAUUCUACUAAGAGUUAUUUAUGAAAUUCUCAAACGAAUAGAAAUUAAAUUAACAUUUUUAAAUUUUAGUUAUGGGUUUAUUUUAAAAAUGGGUUUAGAAAGAAAUUUGAGGGGUUUAAAGAACCCCGCCCUUUCUUUAAUUAUUCGGUGAAUUUGAAAUAUAUUAAUAAGGUAUAAGAAUAUGUUAUUCUAAUCUUCUUAUGCAAAAUCUAUGCAAUUAAAAAAAAAUUCACCAAACGGUAUUUGUCUUUUUAUUGACAUUUAAUAAUAUUGAUGGCAAAUAUAUACAAUUAUCAAUCAAUUGUUAUCAACUAUUCAAGAUAACUGAAAAACUAAUUGCGUGAAGUUGGAGUAAUGAUUGUUUGAAUUGCCAAGAGUUUUUUUUUAAUAGAAACUAUUGCAAUUCAUAUCAUUAAAAAACUUAAAGACUACAAGUCGAAUAAAAAAUCUUUCCUUAUAAAAGAAUUUGACCAACUCAAAGUACAGUGUUAAAUCCUUGAGAUACAAUGAACCUAAAAAUCCUACUUUGACACACCACAAAUAAUGAAUCUAACUUAACAAUCAAUGGAGAUAAAUCAAUUUUACUAGCAAAAUAUAAGCCAAAACACAAGGCAACGUCUUCACCAAAAUCAAUAUCAUUCAAAUAAUUCCCCUUGUGAACGCCUGAAGCUAUCAUAAAAACAACAAAAAAUAAAAAAAUAAAAACAAGUAGACAAGCAAAAAAAUUCCCCAAUAACAAGUUACCCUACAAAACUUUUCCUUGUAGAACAUACACAGAAACCGCAGCUAUAGGGCUAUCGAAAGUAGGGAUGGCAAUGGGGAGGGGAGGGGAGGGGACCAAUCUCCCCAUACCCAUCCCCGAUAUUUUGCGUAUGUCCCCGUCCCCGUCAGAAUUGCUUGAGAGAAUCUCCAUCCCCUCCCCGAAUAAUAACAGGGGAUCCCCGAGGGUCCCCGGUCUUUGGAAAAGCUAGGAAAGAAAAGGGACGUGAAAAACAAAGGGGGUAGAUUUUUUGAAGGGGAAAGAAAAAGAAACCCUAGAUCUAAAUUUUUCUCUUCUCUCUAUGAAGAACUAAACCUAUUAUUCUGGUUGAAGAUUAAUAAAGCUUUGGUUCAUCAUUACUGUGAGAUCUUUCUUAUGCUUUAAUUGUUUUAUUGCUUUUUGGGUAUUUGUUUAUUCUCUAAAUUAUUGUCAUGAUUAUAUUUGUUAAUUAGAUAAUUGGCCACUAUUUAAUUAUCAACUUAAUCUAUUGUCAAUUAAAAGAUUCAUCGUAUGAAGAUUUUAAUAUUUGUGACAAAUAGCAUAGCAGUGCGUUGUGUUAUGAGAAUAAACAAUCUAAUUUAAAUGAACCAUCGUAUGCGUUUGUUGAUUAGGAUUUGGGUCUCUCUGAUUUUUCAGGUUGUCAAUUAAUUAAAUCCUAUGAUUGUAUCUAGGGUUAUCUAUUAAUUAGGGAAAUAACCAAUGGUCGUACCUUAGUUAUCGACUAGUUAAAGAGAGAUUGGCUAUUAAAGGGUCUCAGUAGCUAGGGAUGGCAAAAAUCCCCACGGGGACGGGCACCCUCGGGGAUUUUCCCCAUUCGGGGAGGGUACGGGGAUAAUUUUAUACCCAAUUUUUUUUUCGGGGAGGGGACGGGGAAAAUUUUUUACCCAAUUUUUUAUUCGGGGAGGGGACGGGGAUGAGGUGGAAUCCCCAUCCCCUACCCAUUUCCCCAUUUUAAUUUUUAUUUUUUAUUUUUAAAAUUACUAAUAAAUAUAUAACAAAAUUAUAAAUAUUGGCAAGAUAUGAGUGGAAUUUUGGGUGUGACAUGUAUAUUUGAUCCAAGGUAUAAAAAGAAGUUCAUUGAAUAAUACUUUUCUUUUUAUUUUUAAAAUUACUAAUAAAUAAAUAACAAAAUUAUAAAUAUUGUUAAAAAUAAUAAAUAUCAAAAUAGUUGUAUGUUGGGAAAGUGGUCACCCCUUACCAGGAAUUAGUGGAAGAGUAUCAAUUGAAGUUUUCACCAAUUGUUUAUUGCUUUGAUUAUACUGGUUGUAGUUCUUCUAUUAGAUCUACAGGGGAUUCUUAUAAGAAAGCAACCAAAUGGAUGACAUGUUUUGAUGAUUAUGUAAACAAUGGAGAUUGUGCAGUUGUUGCAGAUGAAUUAGAUUCAUAUUUGGAUGAAAAAGUUAUACCCCGGAUGGAAGAUUUUAAUAUUUUGAGUUGGUGGAAGACAAAUGCUAAUAGGUAUCCUACAUUAGCUCGAAUUGCUACAGGACGAGCAGGAGGUAAAUAGUUUUAUUAAAAAUAUUAAUUAAGUAUCUACAUUUAUUUCAUUUAUUUUAUUGCCGAUGUAAAAAAUAUUUUUUUUUUCUUUUUAUUGUAGGAUUAUGAAGAUUGAGACAUUGAUAAAGAUAAUUAUUUUAAUAAUUUAUAUUUUGAAUGUGACUUUGUAAUGGAUCAAUAUUAAUGUAAGAUAUAUUUUAAACUUUAUUUUUAUCUGAAUUUUUUAUUUUAAUAUGAUUAAUUUAAAAUCAAAAAUAAAAAAAUGUAUUAGACUAUUAAUUAUUCGGAGACCGGGGACCCUCGGGGAUCCCCUGUUAUUAUUCGGGGAGGGGAUGGGGAUUCUCUCAAGCAAUUCUAACGGGGACGGGGAGGGGACGGGGACAUACGCAAAAUAUCGGGGAUGGGUAUGGGGAGAUUAGUCCCCUCCCCUCUCCUCCCCAUUGCCAUCCCUAGAUUUUUGCCAUCCCUAUCGAAACCUCUACCCACCACUAUUAGAGUUAAAAAAAUCUCUGAUAUGAGUGUAUUCUUCUAAUUUGAACUCUAACGUGAUUUUUUGAGAGAUUCAUUGGAAAAAAACCUUAAGGAGUUAAAGAAGAAAUUUAAAAAAAAAAUCAUAAAAAGAGGAAUGAAAAGAAAAAGAUGCUUUACCAAGAGUUGAUUGACAGUAAUUGGUAAAUUUGAGCAUGCAAUAAAAUUUACCCAUAUAUUCAUAUGACAUAAAAUAUAAUUUUAUUCAUUAAUUACACUACUAAUUUGUCUAAAUUUUAGUUUUUAAAAAAAUAAAUUUCUAUAUAUUUACAUAAAUCUUAGUUUUUAUAAAAAUAAAUUGAAAAAUAAAUUUAUGUUUUUAUAAAAAUAAAUUUAUGUUUAUUUUUUUACAUUGACCUGAAGAAAAGACUAGUACUACUAAGCUGCUGUACGGCCAAGGCGGAUGUACGGUACAGCAGCAAUUUGACUGUUUGGGGGUGGGGUUGAUGGCUUACAUCAAAGUUAGUGUGUGCUAAGGAUUAACAAUAAUAAUGGGGUAAAUAUGAAAUUAAUCCUUGCCCAAGCAUUAGAAGUUCGUCGGUUUUCUUUUAACCGGAUAAUUACCGGUGAAUAUGUCACGCGUUCCUACACGUGGCAGCAUCUAAUUUAUUCGCUUGUCAUUUCAGUUUCUGUUAGUUACAGUUUCUGUAACGUAGCUAGCUCCGUCAGGUACAGGCAUGUUGUAACUUACGUUUCUCGUAAAAAUCAUAUAAGUUCUAUUUCUACCGCUAGGGUGAGCAUGGGUUGAUUUGGAUUAAAUUUUAAGUUAAUUUAAAUUAAAUUAUAAAAAUUUGGGUGUAAUCUAAAUUAAUUUAAAUAUUUUUAACAUAACUCAUGGGUUGGUUAAAUCAAACUAUAAAAAUUUGGUCCAACUCAAAUUAACUCAAAUAUUUUCAACACAACCCAAAGCAACUCAGUUGGAUUUUAUUAAAAUUAUAAUAAUUAUUAAUUGUUUUUAAACCAACCAUUUUGAGUUUGGUUUGGAUUUUAUUAUCAAAAUAUAUUUUUUAUUUUGAGAAAUUUAAUUUUAUCAAAAUUAUAAUAAUUAUUAAUUGUUAUUACUUAUUAAAUUGAUAAUAACAUAUAAAAAUUAUAAUUCAUAAAAAUUAUAAAUAACAAAUUUUACAAUAACUUAAUCCUUAAAUUAAAGAAUACUAGAAAAUUAAAAUAAAGUUUAAUCACAAAAAUCAUUAUUUAUCAAUAAAUAAGAAAAUUCUAAUAAAAAACUUCUACAAGCACGAUAUCGACAAGUAAAUUCAAAGAAAGAAAGAAAGAAAGAAAAGACUAGUACUACUAAGUAUUAACCCUAUUACAACACAAACUCUAACAAUGUCCAUACAAAUAAAAAAAAAUAAGACAUUCUAACUCAAGUGUCAAAGCAAUCCAUCAUAAUCAUUUCCAUCCGUAGUACUUUAAUCGAGAGAUUCCACGAUUAACUGACAAAAUGUAUGACAAUGAUAAUUUACAUUGAUUAUGACAUAAUAGAGAUGGAUUUGUCAAAGCCAAAUCAUUUGCUGGAAAGGAAUUUAGUUGAAGUAGGAACCAAAAUUCAACUUAGAUGGAUCUAUAAAAUUGGUCAUUCAAUACAUAAGUACUUUAUCAACAGAUUCAACACAUUAUAAAUUUAUGGAUUCAACUAAGUUACAACCAGCUGCAACUUAUUCCUCUCACAUAAACAAUAAUACAGCGGUAGGCUAUAUUAUUUACAAAAAGUACUUAUGUAUUGAAUGACCAAUUUUAUUACCUGCAAAAUUAAUUAAUCUUUCACUCUAUCAUCUAACUAAUGGAAGGCAAUCUUAUUUUAGGUUGUAAUGAUUAGAAACUAGCAGGAAGUGGGGGCGAUGCUCCAUAUUAAUUUGGAUAAAUCCCUUUCUAGUGAAGAAGUUAAAAUUAUAAAAUAGAGAUCAAGAUAGAAAUUUAAAGGCCCCGAUUGUUUUUUACAGACUUAAAAAUGAUAUUGAAAAAUUAAAAGCUAAUUUUAGUAUUUAAAAAUUACUUUAAGAAAAAUCACCCUAUCUUCCUGUAAAUUUUGAAAAGCAUGAAAAGAGCAGUUUUUCAAAAAUUGAUUUCGAAAAUUAGUUUCAUACUUAAUACAAUUCCAUAUAUCCUAACAUUUAUUAUAAAAAUUCAAAUUAUCCUUAUUAAAUUAGGAAAUAAAGUCAGUACAUUUAAAUAAGAGUGAUGAUAUAGACACAAACUCUUGUACCAACUGACGUAGCAUUAAUUUAUUAGUUGAAUGAAAAUAUAAAAUAAUAUAAAUAAAUCAUGUGGGCCAAGAAAUAUUUAAUUUAACCAAUUUUAUCAUGUCACAUUAUAAGCAACUUAUAAACUCAUUGGAUUCGACUCUUUACUAAAAUAAAAAUAAAUUAAUAUAUAUAUAUAUAUAUAUAUAUAUUUACAUACAUAAAAUGUGAUUAUAUACACAUAUUUAUAAUUGAAUAUGUACAUAAAUUCUGUAGAUUUAUGUCUAUCUAUACAUUUGCAUUCUUACCACAUUUUAAAAGUGUGAUUUACCAAAUACAUGGGACUUAUUUGAAAUUUAUAGCACUUUUAUAAAUAAAAUUUAUCAAACGUUAAACAGAUUCUCUAUUUUCGCGUAUAUAUCCUCAUGUAAAUUAUAAAAAUUCAAAAUUAUCUUUAUUCAAUUAGGAAAUUAAAUCAUUAUUUUUAAAGAGAUUCUUAUUAUUACUAAUUAGAUUCAAAUAACCAAAAAAAUACAAUCAAUAAAAUAAAAAUAUUUAUUUUAGUUAUCAUUUAUUAUAUACACAUAUUUAUAAAUGCAUGUGUAAAUAAAAUUUUAUAGAUUUAUGUCUAUUUAAGUUAUUUGCAUUCUUACAACAUUUAAAAAAUGAGAUUUACUAAACACAUGUGAUUGUUUUUAAAAAAGUUACAACACUUUUAAAAAUAAAAUUUAACAAAUGUUUAAUUGACUCUCUCCAAAGGUAAUUGUUUUUACAGUAUAGCUAAAGUAAUUUAUAAAUUUAUGAUAAGUAUUUGUGAAUAUUGGUCUAUGUAAAGAAGUAAAAACAACAUAUAUAUUAAGCAGCAUGAUAUUAAAACUCUUAGUAAAAUACAUAUACUAAUAAAAGAAAGACAACAAUGCAAUAAAUAAGCUUAUAAUAUAAAUUAUUAAAAUUGUAUAUUAAAAAAUUAUGCAUGAAAUUCUUUUUCUAUUUUGGUGAUAGAGAAUGCGAUAUAAUUGAAUUAUUUGAUUUAAUAAAAAAAAAAUAUGACUGUGAAGGAAAUUAACAAUUGAAUUGUGGAAUGUUAUUAAUUGUUAUUGUAUCAUUUUGCAACGUUCUAAUAAUAUGGACAAUGUUACAGUAUAUUGAUGGGCGGUAAUAUUUUCACCUCUUAAAUUGUGUAAAGUCAGCUCCAUUUAAAAAAAUUAUAUAUAAAAAGCCCAUUAGUUUUAAUAGUUUCAAAUUAAGAUUAAAUGCAAAUAAUUAACCAAUUAAAUCCUUAUUAAUAAGAUCAUUGAGCUUUAAUUAAACUAAUAAAAUGCAUUUGAUAAAUGAAAUUUACGAUAUUUAAUUACAUGAAAUUUAUUGACUACAUGAAUAAUAUAAUUGUUCAGCUGUUUAAACUUUUUCCCUAUUUAAAUUUUAAAAAACAAUGUGAAAUUUUGUAAAUAGUUCUUUGAAAUGGGGUGGAUUUACACCAUUUGUGCAGUGCAAAUAUCCUAAUUCUAACAUUUUUUUUAAAAAAAAAGACCAAAUCAUAACAUUUUUUGUAUACUAAGUUAAAGUAGUACUAACAUUAUAGCCCCCUAAUGAUUUCAAUUCAUUCAAUGAAUAUAUAAUUUAAGCAUGUUAUAAACUAAGUCUCUAAAUCGAAUUAAAAAAAGAAAAAAGAGCUUAAUUGCUGACAUAGUUGAAAAUAAAAUAAAAAAUUUUAUUAUUAGAUGAAAAAUUAUGAAACUUAAGGGGUAUAAGCGAGUCGGCAGCUGCUCACCAGGGCAUAUGUAAUAUUUGUUAAUACAUUUCAAAAUUUUAGGUUUUUUAAUAAUAUUUUCAAUACAUUUUCUAGAAGGUUUAGAAAAAAAAAAUGACUCAAUACUUUAAUCGAGCUAUGAAUAAACUCAUGUGUUAAAAAAUUUCAUAUUUACACCCAAUAAGAUUAAUUAAUGGGUGAUACAAAUUUAAGAUAGUUAAUAAUAAUAUAUAUCAUCUUAAGUUAACUUCAACUCAUUAACCUUGUAUAAGGUUUGAUGGGUCGUGCCGCAAAUUAUCACCUCUAAUCCUUUUUGCAACAGGCAUGAUGAAUGCUAACAAAAUGAAACUUCUAUAUAUUUAGUUGUUAUUCUUUUUAAUGAAAUAAUAAGGAGCUUUGCUGCAAAUUUCCAUCCAGCAUGGCAUGGACGCACGUGAAAUUUGCUAGUAUGGUCCUGGACAUGCGUGGCUGAGAUGCUUCUAAAGGCAAAGAAUUCCAAGUUCAUACCAAAUAUAACUUUCUGAUAUUUUUGUGGUAUCAAGUUUGUUUUUCACAAACUAAGGUGUCGGCGUAAAGUUGUUGUCCAUGCAAUGAAGUUUUAUACAUAAAUAUAUUAACCUAAAUUGUUACUAAAGUUCCAUAAUUAGCAGUUCCUGAGAGUUUUUACUAUAUAUUUUUUUGUUUUAAUUCAACAUAUGUUUAUUUAAUACGAUUUUAUUAAAUAAAUGUGCAUAUUUACCAUAUUUGUCUACGAUCAAUUAGUUGGAAAAAAAAAAGAAAAUUAAUAAAUUUAUUUAUUUGAUUGUUAAUGGUUUAGGCAUUUGAAUUCCCACAAAGUCAGGGUGUCAGCUCUGGACUUCUGGUGAUGUAUUUUUCUAAUAAAGAAAUAAAAUAUUGUUGUCAUUUUUUUAAUAUUCUAAUUUACCAAGCCUACCAACCAAUUAAUUUUUCUAAUUAGAUCAUUAAUUCAUUACACGUGCAUUCGCUGGCCCAGUGCUCCAAUCCCAUGCAUGCUGCACAACUCAAUGUGUUUUAAUAAGAAAAGGUUUGGUUAGCCUGUGCUGAUGCCAGAAGCCCCUUAAGGAGUUCAGGUAAACGUAAAUAUGUCCAGAUUUAGAUUUGAAUAUGUAAACGUAAAUAGGUCCAGAUUCAGAUUCGUUGCGCUAGAGAGGGGCACGCACGAUCGGGCUGCUGUCAGGUGGUACGUUGGCGUGGCAAUUCUCAACACGCGCUUCUCCUGGUGCAUACUUACGGCAAGUUGACACGUGACCCGUGUGGAUUGAGUGGACAGAGUCACGGGCACUGAUUUUUGUCAUCCAUAACGACUAACGUCGGAGACUUCGAGAAGAAAGAAAUUGUUGUCGUUUCUAAGGGGAAAAAAAUAUUUAAUUUGUUGAAGACAAAUUAACGUCGGAGAUUUUUUUUAUUUUUUAUUUUUAAUUUUGCAAUCUAAACCAGUCUAAUCAAAAUGUCAAUUUGACAAAAGUUGGACUGAUUUAGAUUAGUUCUAUUAGUUUGAUUGGAUUAAAUUGAAUUAGAUCUUGAACAUCCUAACACUUUUCAUGAAUGUUUUCCUUUUUUUUUGAAAAAAAUUAAUAAGGAGAAUUCCCAUGAAUGUUAAUUUUAUUGAUAAACUUGGCAAUUUUAAGAAAUGUUUUGACGCACGAAUAAUGCAAUUCAUCAACCCACAUAGAUAUGGAUAUAGGAAGCAGAGACCAGAUCGAUCUUGACAUAACGAAAACUUGUAUGUGUAUAUGUAUGUUACAGACCAGAUCGAUCUGUAGCAUAGACUUCUCCUAUAUGUAGGUUAUAUUCAAAUUACAAAAUGAACACAUGUUAAGGAUCUACAACUUCUUCUUUAAUCUAAUAAGCUCCCUCAACUUUAUUCCAAAACAAAAAAGAAUCAAAUUUUUGUUGGAAAUAUUUAUGAAUGAAGAAGCAAAAAGCGCUUGUAUCAAGGAUCUAAUUAAAGAACUGCCAGAGGCAUAGAUCUAUCAAAGCUCCCUCGCAUGACUCUUGGUCUCGGUGGCUUCUUCUUCUUCAUUCCGAAUUUUCCCUCCAUCUGAUCUCUUCCAACCUUUCCAUUUCCAAAUUGAAUUGAAACUUGCCUCAUAUUCGUUUGUUGAAUCCCAUCUUUUGUUGCACCACCAUGCAUCAAAAUCCUUGAAAUCCCAGCAUAAUGCAAGGACUCAGCUAUUUGCAAUGGGGUCACGUUCUUACUUGUCCUUGCCUCAACAUCAGCUCCCUUCUUCACAAGCAAUUCAGUCACAUCUGUGUGGCCAGAUUCCACCGCACAAUGCAAAGCUGUGUACCCAUCUUCAUCUUUAGCAUCAACAUCAAUCCCUUUAUCAAUCAGAAUCCUCACAACCUCAAUCUUUCCCUUAAACGAAGCCCUAUGCAAAGCAGUCCAUCCAUGUAGGUCUUUCCCAUUGAUCGCGGCGCCUGCUUCGAUCAACCUCUGCAUUGUCCUCACUUCCCCUUUCCUAGCGGCAAUACACAGGCUGUCACCAAGCUUCAACGCGUCAAAGAGACGGGAGUGACCGCACUCAGCAGCAACAUCAUAAGCGGUCUUUCCGCUCUUGUUUCUAAUAUAUUUAUUAGCACCCUUCUGCAAUAACAGCUUCACCAUUUGCUCAUAUCCCAAGCUUGCGGCGAUAUGCAAAGGCGUGUCACCGUCUCUAGCGUUGCGUAUAUCAGGCCUUGCUCCGUUUGCUAACAGAAGUCUCGCGCAAUCUCUUCUUCUGUCUUCAACCGCGAGAUGCAGAGCUGUGUUACCAUCUUUUGUUAAAGCAUUGACAUUAGCACCUUUGAUUAAGAGAAGCUUUAGUACUUCCAAAUGGCCGCCUCGUAAGGCCAAGUGUAUGGGCCCCCAUGUUGAUGUUCCUGAUCUUUCUGUGCUGGCUUUCCUCGCCAACAAGAGCUCAACAAUAAGUGCUUCCCCUGCAGCCGCCGCGGCUUCAAGUGGAGUACUGCAGCCACACCUGCCUUGAGACUCAACAUCCGGCCCAAACUCAAGCAAAAGUUGAACAAUAUCAGGCCUCCUUUGAGCUAUAGCAAUAUGAAGCAACGUUUGUCCCUGCGCAUCGGCAGAAUCAGCCGGGUUCCAAGCCGGGUCACUCCGCUCAAGAACCUCUCUUAAAUCAUCCAUUUCACCAUCCUUAACAAGCAGAACCAAAACAGGAGACCCAACGAACAUGAUCUUGAUUCCGCUGUCGAUGAACACUUGCUUCUUCCUCGUUGUGAACCAGUCACUGGGGACGGAAUCAAGCGUCGACGUUGCAUCUUUAAUUCCAGCUCCAGGAACAACAACGCUGUGCAAGAGGAAGGAAUCAUCACAGUGAGGGAAAGAAUCAGGAAGAACCGAUCCUGGAGGGAGAUGAUACGCAAUCUCUACGCUUAGUGUUGCGAGUGGUGAUAUGAUUCCUGAUUGCGGCUUCACAGUAUAACGAGCCUUGUUUGUAGGCUGAAUCCUGAAAGCAACAGGCAUCGUGUGCAUGACAUUGCGGAGAGUCAGCUCCCCGGAACAUUUCUGCCCUGGUUCAAUUCUGAUAGCUACAAGGUUCGACGGCUCCAAGCUUACAAGCCUAUCCAUUGAUUAAUUUUCUCUCCGUUUCCCAAGGACUGCUGAAAGGGGUUCUUUGAACUUUUUGAUUCAGGCUUAUUUUCUUCACUUUUGGUGGCAUGGGGAGGAAUUAGAGGAGUAACUGUAAGAGCUGCAAGUGUUGGUGUAAUCAACUGUAAUAUAAGGAGAAGAGAGGGCCGGCUCUAAUGGGAGACUGCCACGUGGUGGUGUUAAAAACAAUGAGACUUGUUCUGUUCGGCGUCCGGAGUGUAUAUACAGUUGUGUUAGUGGUGAAAGUUAAAGAAAUCCUGAAGUUAUUUUCGGAGUGGCUUCUGCAAAGUCACUUUCAGGAUUGUAUUGUAUCAUUAAAAAACAAAGCCAGUUUUUGUUGUUCUAGUAAAAGGCGAAUCAUUGGACAAACUCGUAAGAAUAUGUUGCCAAAUGUAUAAAAUAUGAAAUUCAAACAAUGAUUACAAUGUGAAAUUGGACAAUGGACAUGGCCUGUGUGAAUUGUUUUGUGGGCUUACUAAUUAAAUUAAUUCACUAAAAAUAAUGUCACUUUUGUGUCUGUGAAGAAGCCGAAAUGGCACAGUCAUUUACGUGGCCAACUACGGUGACUACUUCGUCAGUAGCUGCUCGAGCACUUGGUCAGCACAAGUUGCUUUCUUUCUUGGCGGGAUUAGUUUUUCUUCAUUGCUUUAAGUGGUGCAUUUCUGCAGUUUCAUUUUGCUUUGCUUAUGCCAUUGGAUUUGUGCCCCAUAAAUAAAUAUAUAAUUAAGCGGAAAAGUAUCAAAUUUUGAAAAAGCUUAGGUUUUGUGUGUGUGUGUGUGUGUGUGUGUGUGUGUGUUUUAAGCCGAAUUACUCGGCUAAAAAUUAAUCCGAUUAUUAUUGUUUUGGUGCUUAAGAUGUGACUCUAACCUAAAGCUCAUUUGAACUCUCUUGAUGCUCAUAUGGUAUUUUUUGUGUUGUGUCGUGCUGGCCCUUACACAUCUCGGCUCAUAUUUUUCAUGUUACUAAGUUCUAAUAUGUACAAAAGAAAUAGAGCAAUGUCCGGUGGUAGAUCCAAACACUCAAUUUGGGGUGCUUAUUUUUCAGUCUCAAAUUCGAUUAUUUUCUUUUAAAAUAUUAAAAUAAUAGUAAUAAAAUACUUAUUUUAAAUACUGAGCUCAUUACAACCACAUAUGUAAAAGUAUCAUUUAUAUUUUUUUUCUAAAUAAUCUUCACAAAAUAUUUUAAAAAAUAAAAUUAUGUGACUAUGGGGAUUUGAACCAAGUCUCUCAAACUACUAAAUAACACUUUUACCACUAAAUUACAAAUCUUUUAACAUAUUAAAAGUGCAUCCAAAUUAUUAUUAUUAUUUAAUUAUUUCAUAAGAGAUUUGGGGCACAUUUAAAAGAAAAAAAAUUAAUGGUGCAUAAAGGACUAAAGCCUCUCUUGAGUCCUUGACCUUAACUAGGUCCACCCAUGGUAAUGUCAGUGAUACCCAACUUGAAAAAUAUACAAGAAACUUGGAAAUUUAAAUUAAUGAAUAAAUAAAUAAAUAAAAGGAAACUUAGUGAUUGUAGCUGUUGUAUUGUAUUGUGGAUCAAAGAAUUACAAGUUCUUGGUUUCUCGGUAUUGGCUAAUUUUGAAGUUAAAUGAAGUUCGAAAAUAUUUACAAGCAAUAAAAUUAUCAACUGAAUGAGACAAGGAAAGAGUAUAAAGACCUUAGCAAAUUAGCAAUCCUUCUUUAAUUUAGUAACAGUGACGCUUAUAAAGUUAGAAGACGUAUCAAAUCUAAUUUAGAUUUUGCCCCAUAAAACUAACUUAACUUAUAGUGCGUCUUUGUUUAAUUAGUAAAUAUUCCACAAAAACUGAUCAGCACUUUAUAGGAAAUUCCAAACACGUUUAUAUUCACAAGGAAUAUGUCAAGGAGAAAUGAGAAUAAAAAAAUGUAAAAACUAAUAAAGCUUCAUUAAUUAGAAUUUAUAACCAUAUGUGCUCCUAUACUACUUUUAUUAUUAAGAAUUUGAAGUAGAAGGUAGUUGAUUAUCAUGAAAUUACAAAAUUGUAAACGGAUUUGUUCUUUUGGAAAAAGAAAAAAAAAAAAAAAGGAAGGAUAGUUGAUUACUUGAUUAGUGAGAAAUCAUACGUAUAAAGGACAAAUUGAAAAAUGGGACCUGAAUUGCAACAAAGCUUCAUUGGAAUUAACUGCCGAUAAAAUUAAAUUAGUAUCACCCUACCCUUUCAUCUUAAUAUAUUCGAAAUUUCACCGAUCAAAGUUUCUAGCUUCGAUUUUUACGAUCUCUCAUCCUAAUAACACCAAAAGCAUAUUCAUUCGUUUGUAAGAUUAUGUAACAAAAUAUAGUAAAUAGCCUAUAAUUUUUUUGUUUUACUACUAACCUGUUAUCAUUCUUUUCUAAUAAUACAUGUUAAAAUAUUCACAGAAAAAAUUUAUCCCUAUUACACCCAACCACCUUUUUUUGUGUUUUUUUUGUUCAAAUUUUAGCAUUAAAGGGACAAUAAUGUCCUAUGAAAUAUGCAGAAAGACAGUUAAUAAUAUUCAAAAAUGUAAGUGGAGGUAUCUUACGCCACACACACAAAUUACACGACUCUCAUUAAUGUGUUGUUGUUGUUAUGUGUGGCGUAAGUUACAGUUGAAUGUCAUAUUCAAAAAAGUAAGUGGAGGUAUCAAUCUCCCUAAAUAAAUAAUUUAUGGAAGGUUGUUAGCUGUUGUACUUUUAGUUAAUUUUAAAAUCACAAUAAUAUGGUUAAUGUUAAGUUACAUGCAUGUAACUUAGGAGGAUCCCAAUAAUAUACCAUAUUUUAUUAAUAUGUACAGUAUUUAUAAUAUUUAAAAAUUAAGGAAUUAAUGUACGCAUGUAAAAGCUGCAUUGGAGCCAGUUGGAAAUCUUACUGUCUUGAUAUAUGCAACGAUUGUAGCAGCUAAAAAGGCAUGAUAUUUACUUAAUAUUAUUUCAAACAAUAAUUAUUUAUUUAAAGCAAAUAAUAAUAAUGAGGGCAGAAGGACUAUUCUAGGAUCAAUAUGGUGACAGUAUAAAUAAAUAAUAUUAAUUAUUAAUGCAUUGAUGAGUAUUGUUAAAAUGACAUAAUAGGUUUGUUUCAUUGAAUUGAACCUUUUCUCUUAAAAUAGCUAUAAUUUGUUCUCUCUCUCUCUGUGUUUUUGUUUUUGUUUUUCACUUUAGUUUUACUUCUCUUAAAAAACCAAAAAAAAAAAAACAAAAUUAAUGGAAACUGAUGAUGGGAAGACGGACAAUUUUCUAUAUUGUUAAAUAGAAAUGGGCACAAAUGUGAGUUUUUUGGGGCAAAAAAAUAUAGUCAAUGUACGUAGCGUUUGUCUAUUUGAAAACCCGUCAAUAUAAAAACAGGACGUAAAGCUUUCAGACAAAGUACUCUUAUGGCCGUACUUUCCAUAAACCAAAUCAAAAGAAGGAAAAUAUUUGUGUCUGGCUUCGAUGCGACUGUUAACAUUCACAAAUAAACACCUUUGCAUGGUCAGAAAAAUUAACAAGAAAUUAGAAGGCGAUGUUGCGUUCUACUUAGUUCUCUAGGAUUUGUGUCAUUUGUUUAUGCUACGGUUCGUUCCCAUUUGCAUUGCGUGGAAUAAUUGGCCGAAUAUUAUUAAUCUCAAUCUUAAUCUCUCAACUCUUGUCCCUUUAAUUUUUGUUUGUAUCUUUUUCUUUUUUUUUUUAAAUAUCACAUACAAUGCUUUUAAUAAAUAACUUCAUAGAAAUAUUUAAUAAAAUCCAACAUAUAUAAGUUCAAGAAACUCAAAAAAUAAAAGAAAAUAAACUCACGUUGUCACUGGAGAGACUCAAACAUGCUACCUUAAAAUUAAGUAGAGGGUGCAACUACUUGCACUUUAAAAAAAGAAAAGAAAAAAAAAGGGGCUUUGAACGCUCGUGAUAAUUUGCAAGUUAUGGAGGAUAAUCAUUGUACAAUGGGGAGAACUCUUAUGGAACAAUAUUCAAACUGAUAUUGAAAGCAUAUAAGAAUUUGGCUUGGGUGUUUUGGUGCCAUGAAUGAGUGCAGAAACAAAGAGGAAGCUUUGUCCCUUUAAUUUGAUCUGCUGUAUUAUAAUUAUUGAGAUUAAUCAAAUAAAUAACCGAAACAUGGUUACAGUUUUAUAGUGUAUUGCAAGUCUUUGGAGAUACUAUGUACCUCAAAAAAAAAUAUCGUAUAAAAGAGUGUUUUGUUUCACAGGGGUUCAAUGAGAUUUGAGAUGGCUGUAAUGAAAGUGAUGUAAAUUUUUUGGACUCUAAUGAGGUGUUUUUAGAUGGAGGGGGAUUUACAAGUAUUUUAUAGGGGUGAUAAAUGACUGUAUACCCACCAAAAAGGCCCAUUGUUCGAGUCCAUGAGCAUUACAGUUUUUUUUUUUUUUUUUUUUGAAAUUCAGAACAUGCAGUUUGUUUGAUUCAACUUCCGAAUUACAAAAUUAGAAUAAGAAAAAAAAAUGUGGAUGUUUUUUCUUUAAUUUACAUAAUAAUACAUGGUGUGGACGAUGUCUAUUGAGGGAUAAAAGAGGAAUGGGGGCACUGUGAAGUUUGUGUUUUUGUUUUUUUUAAAUUAUCAUAUUCAUACUGUCUAUAAAAAUAUGCAAGUUAAAAAAUUACUCAUGAUAUUGUUGUUUUUGUUUCAUAUAAUACUACUUAUGCACAUCGCCUCAUGCAAACAUUUCUUAGUUAUGCUUAAAAAAAUGAGAUUCUCACCAUGGGUCACUGUAAAAAUCCACAGAAGCCGUGGAUCACAGUAGGAAGCCCACUUGAACAGAAGAAGCUACCGAAAGCUUCGACAUUGUAUUUAUGAAAUGCUUAGUAAAUUUUGUUUUAUUUUGAAUUUAUAUUAUAAAUGGUGUGUUGCUAAAUUAAAAAAUAAAAAAGAAAUGCAAUGUGUCAAAAUACAAGAAUCUUACGGACAUUUUUGUCACAAUAUAUGUAAAUAAUUCAUAUCUUAUUCAUAUCCUAUGUAAGCUUCACUUGUUUAACACAAUGGUGGUUGAAUCUUCAAAAAUUCAUAAUCUUAAACAACCAAAUUUGGAAUUAAUUAAGCAAAUUGCCUCUAUAAAUUGAUUACAACAACCAACGACGUGUGAAGCCACAUGUCAAUUUCCCUAGACAGCCCAAAUAUUGAGGCGCUGUGAGGGAGCAAGGUGCAAUCGGAUGGGGGAAAGAGAGAGAGCCAAUGGUGAGAAUGGAUCGUGGUGAGGGAGAACCAACUGGUGGUGAGAUUUGUGGCUUCAAUGAGGUGAGUUUCGUGGCGCUGUGAGUGAAGUGAGAUUUGGCAUGAGUGUGAGGGAGAAUGCGUGUGUUGUGUGAGUGAGGUAAGCUGUGUCUGUUGUGUGCAUGGAGACUCUCACCACAAUUAGAAUUUAUAGUUAGCACAGAACGAAACACAAUAUUCUACGCUAACUGUGGAGUUAACCAUGGUGAGAAUAUCAUUAUUGUUUAUUAUAACACUUUUUUUUUUAAUUUGUUUUGACAAUAAAAUAAAGAACCUUGUAAGAAAACCUCAAUAACUCAAUUAAAAAACCAACUCAACCGAUGAUAGGUAAAUUGAGAAAUUUUCAACUAAAAAUUAUUAAGAUUGGUUUUAACUUCAAAUCAUAGUCACAUAGUUUUGUCCUUAUAAAGAUCAAAAUAAUGAAUUCUAACUCCGAAGUUUUUAGAUUUAUGUGACGAACUGACGAUAGUAUAUUGAAAUCGAUUGAAAUGAAAAAUUUAAUUAAAUGCAAUUCAAGAUGUAGUAUCAAAUUCAAACGAUUCGGAUUGUUUUAAAAAUUUCAAUGCUUUAAUCUAAAUCGAUUAAUCAAUUACACUCUUGCAAUUAUAUACCGUUAAAACUAAAAUAUGUAAAAUUUAGGGUGCAUUUAUUACCAUUUUCAAUUUGUUGUUUUUCGUUUUAUGAAAAGGAAAAUACAGAAAACUUGUUUGGUGAGCUCAUAUUGGUGGAAAACUGUACAGUGAUUAAAAACAAAAAAAAAUUCAUUUUUCAAUGUUUACAAAGGAAACAAGAAAACGCUAUUACACUGGGUUCUCUAUUUUAUUUCACUUUUACUCUCUGCCAAGGCCCUACCAUCUUAACUUUUAUAACAUGGUGUAAUAAAUUACGUGGGCCCAUUUAAUAAAGAAAUAAUCUAAUAAAUAAAUUAUUAUAACAAAUAUUUAAAAAUAAUAGCAUUCCAUACCUUACAGCUUAAUUACUUAAUAUAUUACCCAAAUUAUUUUAAAUAAAAAGUGAUAUCAUAUAAUUAUUAUACUAAAUUAUUACAUUGUUCGACCAAUAUGCAGUUAUUUAAAAAUUACUACAAACUUUCUUACAUAUAUUAAUGAAAAUAUAUCAAUAAUAAAGUUACAUCUUGACAGUUAAUAUAAAUAAAUAUAUGAUAAUUAUGAAAUAAUUAAAGAUUUUCUCAAUUAAUAUUAUCUUAUAACUACAAUUUAUUUACAUAAUUAAAAGUUUUUAAGAAAUUAUUAAAAUAUCUUCAAACCUAUAUGCAUUUAUAAUAAUAUAUAAUACAUCAUAAUAUAAUAACUAAAUAGAUAAAUUAUUUAUUAAUAUAAAAUAUAUGUUUAUAUUCAUUAUAUAAUAUUAUUCUUUCAUAGUAGUUUCAUUAAAUAAUUCUCUACUCUCUCUCUUUUUAUCUUUAUUUUUUCGGACAGACAAGUAACCAAACACCGCUUCACCUUUUUUUUAUUUUCAAAUACUAUUCUUAAAAUAAACUACCAAACAUAUUUUUAUUUUUAACAAAAACUAAUCAUUUUUAUUUUAUAAAACAAAUUGAAAAGUACUAUUUAAAAUAUAAUACCAAACUUACCCUUAAUAAUUUUAUAUUUGUCAAAAAGAUGAGAAGCUAAGUGGCACUAUCGUUUACCUAUUCAAACUAAACGUGGAGUCACAAUAUUGAAGACACUUUGGUGGCCACAACACUCUUUUCUUUAGUACGGAACAAUCUGGCUUACAUGACACUACAUAAAAAUAAAUAAUAAAAAAUCACCGAUUCCAACUGCCCCGGACAAAAAACAGGCCACACGUAAAAAGGCUUCUAUUUUUAUUUUUAUUUCUCCCCAUUUUAAAGAUGACGUCAUGGUGAUUAUGAAACCAGAAAAUAACAAAUUUUAGUUGUCUGAUUUUGUAGUUAUCCAGCGAAAACUAAAAAAACAGUGAACGCAGCAGCAGAUCUCCGUGUUUGUCGUCGUUCGAUGAGAGAUUCCGAUUCGUGAGCAUCGCAAGUGUUGAAAUGGAAUCAGACGAAAUGAGGAGUUAGCCUCUUAUUAUAUAAUAAUAAUAAUGAUAAUAAUAAUAAUAACUAAUCUCUUUUAUCAUAUAAUUGAUAAUGGAAAUUCACAUUGACAAAAGGCAAAUUACACACUGACUGGGCAGAAUAAAAAACAGUCUCUCUCAAAAGCAAUAAUUUAAACACUAACACCACCUUAAGGAGACACCCCAAAAAUAAAGCAGCAAGCUCUUACUGUGACCACACACACACACACACACCAAACUUUUAUUAUAGAAUAAAUCUAAGAUGAUGGAUGAUGGAUGCGUCACAUAAAAGUUAAUUAAUUUAAUCGCUGUCACUGCUGCUGCUGCUCUCGUGUCCGUCCUCGUGCUUCUUCUUCUUCUCCUUCUUUUUCUUCUUCUCUUCACCGUGGGCGGCGCCCUCGCCGCCGCCGACACCGGGGAUCUUCUGCUUGAUCUUGUCCACCAAGCCCUCCUUGUGUUCGCCCUCCUUGUGUUCCCCGCCGUGAUGCUGCUGCUGAUGGUGAACAUCAGUAGUGCCGACACCGGGGAUCUGCUGCUUGAUCUUGUCCACCAAGCCCUCCUUGUGUUCGCCGCCGUGAUACUGCUGCUGAUGGUGGACAUCAGUAGUGUGGUGGUCCCCACUAUGGUGCUCUCCCUUGUGCUUGUCCUCCUCCUUUUGCCCUCCUCCCAUGUGAAGGGCUUCUCCGAUCUUGUGAAUAACUCCUGACAUUUUCCCUUAAAAUGACUCUGUUCCUCUUCUUUUCUUUUCAAUGAAAAAUAGUUGUUUGCGAUCUUCUUCUGGUUGUUGUUGUUCUUGUUGGGUGAUCUUGGCUUGGUAUUUAUAGGCUCCAAAAGGAGGGACUAGAAUUAGGAUUAGAUUAUAGAUUAUUUUAAUACAUUUUAUGGCAAAUUCUGAUUUGGAAAGAUAAGAUUAUCCUUUUGGUUUUCCUUAUUUACCCUUUUGCACCCAUUACGUGUACGCGUCUUCGUGGGCUUUUUGGGUAUUUCAAUUAUAUCGCCAAUGCUAAAUCGACACGUUGCAUAUCAGCCGCGGUACUGCCGUAUGUAGUUGUCCAGAAAUCGAGUCGAUUCUCGAUCGUACAAUAAUUAAAUAAUAUUUCAUACGAAAUGAGUUUAGAUAUAUUUUGAAAAUUUAUUUUUAAUUUAAUUAUACGUGUUAUAUAUUUGUUAAUCGAAUAGAGGUCCCACGUAACAGAGUGUUUCUCUAAUCUUUCAUUGCUUUUAAUUAAUUUUACCCAAAUAAAAAAAAAAAGGAAAAUUUAGAGAGAGAGAGAGAGAUAGCGAAUUAGAAGUUGAUUGUAAUAUCGACACCUGUCAGACAAUCAAAUAUCGUUAGUUAAAAAUCAGUUGUCCAUAGUCAUGGUCAUAGAUGGCGAAAUUGAUACUUAUUUUAAAAAACAAAACAAAACAAAACGAAACGAAACUAAACUAACAGAUGUUGAAAUGCAGUUCCGUGUUAACAGUCUGUGAUGAAUCUUUAUCUUUGAGUAUACCAUUCAAGAAAUUAUCAUUCAAAAAUUUAUUUAAAGCAGCAGCAAAUCACCUUCUAAUUCCUGAAUCAAAUUAAUUCGAUUUUUUUCGAGUCGAUCAAUUCAUUAGAGAAUUAACGGGCUAAGUUAAAGUUUUGUUAGUUAUUUUUUUUUAUAUUCCUUUAGAUGAUAUGAUUGUCAUUGUCUUUCUUUCUCUGGGCAACAAUAAAUACAAGAUGUGCAAAAGCGUAGUGGAACAUAAUUCGAUUAUGGGUAAAGGGAUCAGUCCGCAUAAUGAGGAUAAAGUUUUUCUCUUUAAAAAAAUUUAACCCAAAGAAAAGGUCGUAGUUUGUAAUAGCCGACACGCAGAUAGAUCACAAAGCAUGGCGGUCCUGAUGGCAAUAACUAACUGAUAUCUUCUGCGAUGAGAGGAGAUCACGUGGUUCUGACACGUAUCGCCCCAUCAACUGAUGUUGUGGCUGCAAUCGCGGCCCAGUCUUUAGAGAGAAGAAAGAUCUGUUAUAACGGGACCUACUUUAGCAUCUAUUUACGACAAAGCCCCUAUUUACUCUACUUAGUAGUAAUAAUAGCAAGUGUCGGGCUUGGAUUCCGUGUUGCUUUAAAUAAAUAUCCGCGUAAAAAGAAAAUGCUUCUUUAAUCCCUUCCUUGUAAUUUUUCGACACGUGGAUGGUUGAAAUUAGCGUGCCGACAUCUUAGGAAUUUUAUCUUGGAGACGGGAACACUGCAGUAGGCAAUGCCAUUUUCUUCGGAUGGUGUGUGGUGACAACGCCUUGGAUUUUGACGUGCAAAGAAUUUAAAUUGAAAAAGAAAAAAAGAAAUUACCAGAAUAAGCAUAGAAGAGAUAUUUUUCUUUUUGUCCUUUUUGGAAUGGAAAAAGAGAUCAAGAGAUUGUUCCAGUAAGUAUUACACAUGUCACAGGCUUAUUCAUGCCCCAUUAUGGCAACUUUUAUGCCUCGCGGUGCCCUCGGUUCCAGCAUAAUAGCUAAGACUUCAAUUUUUCUAACAUAUUUUUGUUACAAAUAUGAACGGAGUAAAUGUAUAACUUUAAUCCUUUGAAUAAAGAAAUGGCGGUUCUCCUGCUCGUUAAUCUCACUUGAAUCCCACCCAGGCAAAAUUUCUUUAUUUUAUUUAACAACAAUUUAAAGAAAGAAACUUUUGCCAGGUUGAAUUUCAAGUGAGAUUCAUUCGUGGGAGAAGUGCCAUUUCUUUAUUCAAAAGAUUAUGGUAAUUACAACUUUCAAUUUCGACAUAAAUUAAAAUUAUAGGCUAUACAAUAAAAUUGCCCUAAAUUAGUCCUAAUCAAUUCAGAUUAUAAAUUUAGGUAUAUUUAUUAUUUUAAUAUAUUAAUGUUCUAUAUAUAUAUAUAUAUAUAUAUAUAUAUGUGUGUGUGUGUGUGUAUNNNNNNNNNNNNNNNNNNNNNNNNNNNNNNNNNNNNNNNNNNNNNNNNNNNNNNNNNNNNNNNNNNNNNNNNNNNNNNNNNNNNNNNNNNNNNNNNNNNNNNNNNNNNACAGCAGAAAAUAUUUGCUAUGGAUAAGGAGACAUGGUCCCACGUCCCACCGUCCCAAUGCAUAUUUUGUAUGUUUCCAUCUUUUCUGAAAUUUUAAUAAAUAAAGUUUUUUGACCACUUGGCCAAAGAACCUUACCCUUACACAACUUUGUGGUUGGAGUCCUGUGAUACAUGUAAGAACUUAUUUUUUUUCUUAAUUAUAAUAUUUUAGAAUAUAAUUAAGUGAAGUAGGUUUUUUUUUUAAAUAUGAGUAAAAUAGAUAUUUUUUAAAUAUUAAAGAGAGUAAAAUUUGAAUAAUAAUAUAUUAAAAUUAAUACAAACUAAUUUUAAUAAUUAUUUAAUUAUAAAUAUCAAUUAUAACAUCAUAUAAUAUCAAUUAUAAUAUCGUACAUCUCAAUUAAUUCAAUAAUAAUAAUAAUAAAUGUUUUUUGGGAUAAGUAAACAGUCGCAUGGCGACAAUAGUGGAUCUGGAUUAGAGUGAAGUGGUCCCAAGAGGCUGAGGCUGUGGCUGUGGAGUUCUAAAAGUCAAAAGCUCCACGCACUUUGUUUCAGUACCAUACACACUGAAAAAAUUUGCAUUUGCAAUGACGAAAACUUUUCACGAAAUCAAAACACCUCUAAACUAUUUUGUUAUCGAUAUUUAAUGGAGGGGUUUCCUACCUUUUUAACACUCGAUUCACGCCUUGACGCAUCUCACAGAAAACCUCAUGAUCCCAUUAAUCUUGCGUAACAUAUCUCAAAGCCAAUGCAAGUGAUCUUGUUGCCUACUUCCCUUUGACGAUUCAAAAUUGUUGAAAAUAAUUCUUUUUUUUUUUAACCUCAAGGAAGUGACAAAAUAUAAAAGAAUAUUUUCUACACAUUAAACAUCUAGAUUUUUUUUUCUUUUCUUUUUAGAGUACUUGCACAAACCGUUUCCAAGAGAGACCUUUUUUUUUUUUUUUUUUUUCCGGGCUUGGUUACUAAUUUGGUGUGAAUACUCUAUGGUGAAAAAGGAAUCACAAAGCUGUAAUCAAUUUUUUUGCAUCAUUUAGUUGUAACUUGAACAUUGGGAGGUUUAUAAAGAAUUAAAUUAAUUAUAAUGCCUCUACUAGGAAAAGUUCAGAGUAGCCCUUCACAACUUUUUAAAGGCUUAAUAAUUUUCGCUUUCUUCCUCUCAUAACAUAACAAAAAAUUAAGAGCUUUACUCGUACACGUCCUAUGGCUAUAUAGUAUUGGGUUCUCUACUUCAAUCGGCUAUCUCAAACCGAAGGUUAUUUGGACACACCAGCAGUCACGUUUGGAAACUCUCAAAUGCUUGGAUUGUAAUUCUUGUGGAUGAGAUCAUCUAAAUCUUGGGCCCAAGCCGGACAAUGGGUGGACAAAGAACCCUAAAAUACAGUAAAGCUUCUAACACCCCACUAAAACUCUUAAGAAAUCCUACCUUUUAUUUUUAUAUCUCUUUCUUUUAGAAAUUAUAGAGAAGACAUAGCAUUUUAAUUAUUUUCCCUGCCAUUGAAAAUAAAUUCUGUAAACAUAUUUUUUCAUAAUAAAAUUAUUGUUAUUAGAUAAUUUAUUUCUUCAUUGUUUCAAAAUUAUUAUAAUUUUAUCAACAAAAUUAGUUAUGUCAUAUAUUAGGAUUAAAAUUAAUUAGGAUCCAUAACUUGUAAAGACAUUUUAGUUUAAUUGAAUUCAUAUUUGUCAUUUUAUGUAAUUUUCAAUAAAAAUACGACUAUGAGUGCAAAAGUGGGAUGACAUAAUAUUAAAAGAGUGUGAAAUAAUCGGUAAUUGAAAUGGAUUGAAAUCAUAAUAGAGUAUGAAAAUCAGAAUAAAUUGUUUACUUUAGUUGUAGAAAUCAAAAUUAAAAUAAACCAUAUUAUCAUUGAUGUAUAUAUGUUUUCUUGUAAUCGAAAUGAAUUCUUAUAAGUUACUAUAAGACCCUUAUGGUGUGUUUACUAAUCAGAAAUCAGAAUGGAGUGGAAUUUGAAUAUAGAAUGGUAGGGGUAUUCGCGGAUCGGAUUUUACGGAUUGGACAUUAAUUCAUAUCCGAUCCAUAAUUUUACGGAUUAUAAAUUCUCAACACAAUCCAAAUCCAAUCUAUAUGUUUGCAGAUCGGAUGCGGAUUUGACUCAAUUCAUAUCCAAUCCACUAUUUGACGGAUUGAUUUUGGAAUUAAAAAUUUUUAAUUUUGUCCAAUCUAUGAGGUAAUUAAAUUUAAAAAUCUAAUAUAAAAAUAAUUUAUUAAAUAAAAAAUUAACGUAAAAAUAAUUUUACUACCAAUUAAAUUCAAAAUUGAACAAGAUUUAAAUAAAUUAAUUAUUUAAAUAAAACUAGAAUAAUUUAUUUAAAAUUUUUAAAUAUAACAUAUCGAAAAAAAAUUCAUUUGUUUAGAUUAAUAUAUGAAAAUUAACUAAAAUUAUGAAUUUAAAUGUUGAAAUUUGAGAGCUUGGAUGUAACAGGAAGAAAUUAAGAAACUUGAAGAACUUGAAAAGAAAGUAACAAAUUAAGCUUAACUACCUCUAAUGGUGAAGUGAAACAGUGAUGGUUUGUGCGUGCAAUGGGGUACAAAUUUGGCAUUAUAUGCCAAAAUAUUUUGUUUGGCUUUAGAAUUUUUAAUGUUUAGGAAGCUAUAUUUGUUUAUUUAAUUACUCAAAUAUUUAAUUAUUUUUUAUUUUAUGUUAUUAUUGAAUAAGAUAUAAUAUUGUGUUAAUUUAGCUAUACUUUAAUUAAUUAAUUAAUUUAUUAGUAAGUAGCAUUGCUACAUUUAUAAGUUUUAUUUUUUAUUAAAUAAAUACUUUUUUUUUUCAGAUUCACGAAUUUUUACGGAUUUACAGAAAUAAAUCCAUAUCUAAUCCAUCGACUGUGGUUUUUUAAAUUUUCAUUCCAAUCCGAUCUACCAAUCCACAAAUUAUAUUUUUACGGAUCGGACGAAUUGAGCGGAUCAAAUUGGGUUCUGAACACCCCUAGAGAAUGAGAAUCAAAAUAAAUUAUUUACUUUAGUUGUGUGAAUCGGAAUUGGAAUAAAUUGUACUGUCAUUGAUGUGUUUACUUUAUCUUGGAAUCAGAAUGAAUAAUUUCAAAUUACUAAACUGACCUUAAUUUUUUAUUGUAAUAAUAAUAGUAGUAGUAGUAGUAAUAGUAGUAAUUUUCUAUUAUUAUUAUUAUUUUCUCUCUCUUUUGUUUUUAUUUUUUUAUUUUUCUCUUCUUCUUCUCUUCCUCUUUUUUUAUUUUUCUCUAAUUCAUCGAUACUUCUUCUUCUUCUUUUUUCUUUCGUUUUUAUUUUUAAUUUUUCCCUUCUUUAUCGUUCCUUCUUCUCCGUCCAUUCUCUAUCUUCAAACUCUUUUUACUUUUUCUCUUAUUCUUCAUUACUUCUUCUCCCUUUUUUUUUUUUUUCUCUUCUUUAUUAAUUCUUCUUCUUCUGCGUCUAUUCUUCAUCUUCAAAUUAUCAAGUGAAAAAUACCCACGGUGCCUUACAAGAAGAAUUGGUUUUGUUUGCUUCAAUUAUUUUUUGUAUUUUGUACUUUUGAUUGUUUCAAAAGAGGAUAAACUUGUAAUAAUGCAAUUUAAGUAGGGAUGUUUUAGACAAUUUUGGGUAUGAGAGUCUAAUUCCCAACCCCCCACUCCCUCGUAGCAGACUCCCAUUCUUCAUUCCUAACUUGGUGUUGGACCUACUAAAAUAAAUCCCAUUCCCCUUCUUAUUUCAAGAAGCAAACACGAUUUUGAUUUCAAUUCCCCAAUCCGAAAGUAAACGCACAAAAAUUGUACCCAUAUGAGAUUGCUUAUCCUCGAGUUUUUAGAUUGAAAAAAAAAAAGGAAAAAAGAAUGGCCCCAUUAGGAAGGGAUUUUAAGUGUUAGAUAAAGCCGGUGUUAACCAUUAGAAGGUCUCCGACCUUCAACUGUAAUAUAUUAAACCCAGAUAAAUUUACAUAUAAAUCACACAAACCAACAUGCCAAUCAAAUAAAUUACAUCAACUAACAACAAUUGACACAUUAAUUUUCAUAAUACAGAGGAUGCAGAAAAUUAAAAUGUUUUAUCUUUUCUCCUUAUUUGUGAAUUGGAAAAUGAAAAUGUUAAACAUACAGAAGAGUGAAACAGGAUGGAUAUAUAUACACACACACACACACACAGCUUUGGAGUUCAAUGUCAUCGUAUUGCUCCAAGAAGAUUGGCGCCAUCAAGCUUUGCACCUUCCAGAUGCUGUUUAAUCAUCACCAUAACACCUUCAGUAGACAUUAAUACAUAAUAGAAACACAAAAUUCACAUGAUCUGAAUGUCUGGUCUAUUUUACUUACCGUAUCUCGAAGAUUUACGUGCCGUAAAUAAGCUCUUUGAAGGUUGGCACCCUUUAAAUUGGCAUUACGUAGCUUUGCACCCUGCCGCAUAAAUGUUCGAAGUUUCAACAAAUUAAAGUCUCCUGAGAAAUACAUGUCACGAAAAAGUAGGGCUGAAACUUGCAUCUAAUGUACAAGAUUCAAUCAGGGGUGCUUGUCCCACAGUGAAAGUGUAUGGGGGAAAGUGCACUUUCACAAACCAAAGGGGCAAGAUGUGAUUAUCACACGAUUACAAAAGGACUGUAGUCAAGAGAGAGAACUGAACAUGCAGCUUGUAUUGAGGCCAUGAAAAUUGAUGAAAAGCAGUAACAAGCAACCAUUUUGAAAACACUUCAUAUGGUCGAAUCAAUAAAUCAAAGCUAAAAUGAUGUUGACGAUCGAUAGCUUUUAGGUGAUAAGAGUCUUGGCACUACAGUUAAAAUUAUUAUCUAGGAGUGCACACAUUAAUAAAAAAAAACACAACCAAUAAGCAUGCACUCUUAAUCAGCAUAUAAAUUAACAAGUUAGUUGCACCUUAUGUUGUUCCACAAACAGAUUGCUCGAACAAUUCACAAUCUUACCUUCAAAUUAGCUCCUUCCAAAUUAGCUCCCUCUAGGUUGGCAUUAGUAAGAUCAGCAGUCUGAAAAGUCAAGAGGACAAACAGAUUGCAAUUUGAUUAAAAUCUCAAAGUAGCAACAUUCUGCAUGAAAGAAGAGCAGCACAAUUGGCAACAUACAUUUUAGAUUAAGAGGAUGGGAUAAAAGCAAAAUUACAAGGACAUGAAGCAAAUGAGCCAUGUUUAGUAUGGCAAUUUUGACCCAAUAAUUGUGGCAGGUCUUGGAGAUAACAUAGGCAUACACAUAAGGCAGAAGCAAAUACUGUCGCAAACUCCUAGCUAACUACAAAUGUUCCAUAUAGAAAAAAACACCUGCAAAAGUAAGGGAAAAAGCAACAGAUAAAGAACUCAAGAUGCUAGACCUGUAAGUGUGCAGAUCGCAGGUCUGCUCCACAGAAGCUGCAGUCUAUCAAGCAAGCAUCUGCAAUGAUUUAAGAUAAAUUUGAAUCCAAAUGACAUUUUACCGCAAGUAGUUCCAGCCAUUUUGGGAACAAACAAGAAAUGCUAUUUUGUAUUCAUUGUAAUUCCUUAAGCUAAAUAACAAUCAUGUGCUAUCUUAACCAAGGUACAGUUGCAAAUUCUGAAAUUGUGAUGCCAUAGGUUGUUCUUAAUCUUUUUGAACUGAAUAUUGAAAAAAUAUUCCUUCAAUCAUAAAUGUUAAAUAAUUAAAAGAACUGUGAGGGGGGNNNNNNNNNNNNNNNNNNNNNNNNNNNNNNNNNNNNNNNNNNNNNNNNNNNNNNNNNNNNNNNNNNNNNNNNNNNNNNNNNNNNNNNNNNNNNNNNNNNNNNNNNNNNNNNNNNGGGGGGGGGGGGGGGGGAAUGAAUAAGCGGAUGCAUACAGAAAAUUAUGGAAAAUCUGUUAUGGAAAUAAUAUGAAAAUGGGUAUGCAUAACUACAUACUGAAUCUUGACUAAUUUCAAUUUAAUUCAGAUAAGAAAUUCCAGUAUGGGAAUUGCCUUGUAAAUUUGCACUCUGAAGAUUUGCACCAGCUAGUAAAGCUCCACGAAGGUUUGCCCCAGCAAAUUCACAUCUUCCCUAGGCAAGAUAAAACCCUUAAAAGGCAAUUUUGAAAAAUACAUAUAAUUGGGAGAAUAUCCAGUAUUGCUUUGACUCUCUUACUCACGCAAAGUUGCAUUGUGAAAAAUGGAACCCUCAGCAUCCACAUCCUGUAUCAAGAACAGACAGAUUCAGUAUGAUUAAUAUAACUGGUUGCUGGAAGACAGGACAAAAUCGCAUCUUGUCACUGUCAACUUGCAUGUUAAGAAUUAAACACGAAAACUGCAUGCUGUCCAAUUAUAAGAAACCUAUAAAAUUCAAAUCAACAUCAAUACUGGCUUAAGGAAGAUAUAAAAAUAAAAAUUAUACCAACCCGAAAUUUCGCAGAUUGAAGAUUUGCACGUGAGAAGAAAACAUUUCUAAGACACGCAUAGCUGAAGUCCACAAGUGAAAGAUCCUGGCCAUUUUAAUAAGAUAGCAUCAGAGGAAACAAUAUCUAAUGAAUAUAUAAUGUUCUUUCUUGCUUAUCUGAGAAUACUAAUGAGAUUAUCAAAAAAACUCUAAGCUACUGCUAAGAAGUCUUGUGUUACAUGAGUAUGAAUUGAGGAGGUAAAGAAGACCCUUCUCCAAUAAGUUACCAUAGAAGCCACAUAAAACCCUAAAGCAGUUACAAACUUACAAUGACCAGAAUAAACCACCCCAACUAUCUAUUGGCAAGUAAAAUCACUUCUCUGGAUUUCUGAAAACUAGCAAAACAAAUGCAUAAAUUGGCAAAUUCGAUGAUUUCCUCUGAAAACCAAAUUAUAGCAGACAUAAAACUUGGAAGUAUUCAUAGAAUAAAAAUCUUUCAAGCACCUCAAUUCAGUAAUUAUUACCAGCUUAGAAAGAUCAAGGCCAGAAAGAUUAAGUCCUCGAAAUCUGACUUUUUCAGACUGUAUACACUUGAUGAUAUCAAUGCGUGUUAGCUCAGUAUCUAACUCAUUAUCUUCCUUUCUCUUAUUUAUGACAGCAUGGAUUCUCUCAAUUAGUCCCUGAAAUGAAACACAUUAGAUGCAAACUAUUAUUUGAAAAAAGAAAUACAUUUUAUCCACUAACACACAUGGAUUUCAACAGCAAUCAUACAAUAAUUGAGGAAGGACGGUCAUAUCAGACUCAUCUGCCAAGAUUCAAUAAGCACAUCAAACUUGUUUACAUGUAAUUUCCACAUUCCACGUGAAUUUAUAAGGUCUGCCUAAGCAAACCAAAGAAGGCUACACUCAGUACUGUGUGUAUACUGCCUUACCUUUGCUGUUCCCCAGAUACCGUCCUGCAAUCCAGAUACUUAGCUGUGAAGUUUCAAGCCAGCGAAACCAUUUUAAAAGUACACAUGGACACAGAUACCAUUAUCUGAAUCAUCUUCGAUAACAAAUUAAAAUGCCCUAGCGUUCAAAAAACUUAGGAUCUCUUUAAGUGAAGUUCCUUUAAAAAAGUAGAAAAAAACUGAACAACAAUGUCAUGCUAAUAAAAGGUAAAAAAAAUAAAAUAAAAUAAAGCAUAAGGACAGAAGUUCACCAGGAGCAUGCCAGUAUAAACCAAAACGACCACAAAUCUCAACCAUAAAAUUUAAAGUAGUAAAGUAAAUAAUCAAGGGCAUGCAGUUGGCACAGGUGCUUCCAAAUAAAAUGAUGAUUCUUUUCAAACAGAAAAAAGAAAUGGAUGUUAAUAAACUAGAAGAAACCAUGUCUUACAAGUAAUUGAUAAUAUUCUGCUUCCCGUAGAAGCUCUAAAAACUCUGACUCUGUUAAUGUGGGGACAGCCCCAUCCCUUAACCAAUUCAGAAUAUGCCGAAAAUGUUUUCCGUCCCUAUCAACAAAGAUAUAGCCCUGCAAUAAUUCAAUAUGCUCAAAGAUAAGAAUCUGAAUAAUAUACCCAAGAGAAGUGCUUUUCCCUGGAAUAAUAAAAAGAAAAUAAGUCAAAACGUUUUUCUUAAUGGAAGAACACAAAGGAACAGCUCUAUGACUAACAUGAAAACCAUAAAUCAGAAUAAGAACCCAAAACUGGUCAUUUGGAGUUUCACCAGAUCAAAAAGAUCACAUGGAAAUAAAAUUGUGAAAAUGGGAUUAUUUAUGCCGAGGUCAUGGCUAAACUGCAAUCAUUACUCCAUUUUUGGUAGAAGGAGAAGAAGAAAGAAGAGUAGGUGAGUCAUCAUUCUUUCAGGUGAGUCAUCAUUCUUUCUCUGUGAUUAAUUGAUAUGAUGGAAGUGUUGUAGAUAUUAAUUUGAUAGUGAUUCCUCCCUUCAAAAGAAUUCAUUCCUUUUUUUAUUAUUUCACAAAGUUUAACUAAGACUGAGUUUUCUCAAUUUGAAGGCAUCGUGCACUCUACCCCUUUCUUUUCCUCACAUUGCUUCUUCCCAAUCCCAAAGGGAAGAAAUCAAGAAACAAUUACAAUUUUUAACUAUUCACCAGCAAAAACAAGGCAAAGAAAGAUGCUGAGUGUAAGCAAAAAUAAGAGAGUUAUACACCUCAGAGUCUUGGCACACAGUAUGGCGACCGCUGAACAUAGCUGCAAGCAUAGAUUCAGGCUCACGACGAGUCAGAGUAUCAAUUGUUGUAUAAAAUUUCUUUCCCCCUGGAUAUUAAUACAUAAAAUAUAAAUUUGUUCACUUAAAAGCAUGAAUUGUGCAAAUUUGUCAAUAAUGUCAUUCUUUCACAAACGUUCACCGAAAUGUAUAACAAUAAGUGCAUCAUAACAUAACUAAACGGCUUAAGAACUGCGCAGAUAUUACAUACAGUAGAGAAACAAGAAAUAGAAAAUGAGAUUUGCCCUUUUUAAACAGAAAGCAAUCAAAGAGUAAACUAAAGAGCUAAUAAUUCACAAAAUUCAGUUGAUUAAACUCAUUUACAAGUAAUUAGCAACAAAAUCCAAGCUAAAUAAAAAUAAUGAAAAUUAGGUUCUUAUAACAUCCGUCAAUUCUAUGAAAGUUUACCACGAUCAGCAACAAAUAGAUAAAUCGCAAUAAAGAAAAACCGACGACAUGUCGGUUGUGUAGUGCAUAAGUAAAGGAAUUUGCAGAUGAUGUAAAGAGAAUGAGGGAUAGUAACUGACCGAUGUUGAGACGAACCAUUGAAGACGAAUCGGAGUCCUUCGCCAUUGUCGAGUGUAAUGACUUGUCGUCUUACUUGCGCUCAUAGGUAUUUAUAUCAUAGCUGACACUGUUCGAAGGACAGCAAGGAUUUGGUGGGCACAAAUGCAUUUUGGAAAUUGGGCUUCGGCCCAAGAAAUCGAAAAUCAGAGGCUUUUUUUUAAAAAAAAUUUAAAAGGAUUAGAAUGUCUAUAAAUUAAUAGGGCUGAGACCAUCUUAAAUCUAUUAAGUAAAAGAGAUAUUAAAUAUUUUAUUAAUUAAUAAUUUAUUAAUUUACAGAAUUAUUUAUAAUUCAAUUAACAUACAUUUAAUAACUAAACAUUCAAUGUACAUAAUUUCUGAUUACAAUUCAAAGCACUAACAAUACUUCAUAAUUUCUUAUUACAAUUCAAGAAUUCAACCUCAUAGCUUUUAGAUGCAAUAAGAAAAAUAAGAAAUAAGAUUCAGUUAUAUUUAAAUUUUAAGAAAAAAACAAUAAAAUCAUAUUUUAUGUAAUUAAAAUAUCAUAGUCAACUACAUUUGUAAUUUCAACAAAUUAUUACUCUAUGAUUUAAAUGAGACCACAAAGUUAUAUAAGAUUUUAUCGAAAUUAUUAAUUUAAUCCAUUAGUCCAUGUCAAGACCUUGAAAAUUUAAUAAUUAUAUAAUAGAGAUUAUUAAUUUAUCGAGUAUUAAUUUAUAGAAGUUCUGAUUGUAUAUUAUUUUAUAUUAAUAAAGAAUAAAGUAGCAUUCUUUUUUAAUUCCGAAGUAAUAAAAUUAUGGCUAAAUUAAGAGAGUAGAUAUAUUUUAUAACUUGGUUUAAUAACAUCACGCGCCUCCCUUGUAGUUUUGCAGCUUUGAAGCUUUAUAAUGAAUCCUAUUAGCUUUGGCUGGAAAGUUAUAUUGUUAAAGAGAGUUUAUAUAUUAAACAAGGUGAUCUAAUAUUUCCAAAACUAAAUUUGGGAUCAAAAAUAGAAAACAUUUGCAUGUUUUUACCUUUUGGAAGAAUUACUUGAUAAGUGCUUCACAGAAAAAUGCUUGCUAUUAUAGAGCACCCUAAAAAAAAUCCUUAAUAAUUGAGGGAUCAUAAUAAAGUUCAAUUCUAAAUCUGUCAGAUAGAUCGAAAGUAACAAACCAUAUAUAUUUAAAUCUAUUUAGUAAUCCAGGGUUACAAGCCAAGCGUGCAAUAGCCAAUUCUGAAAAUCAAAGCUCAGCCUAUGCUCUCUGAGCACAAAUAAGAUCUGAUAUAUACAUAUCGAAUCCUCCAUUAUGUGGAGUGAAAUUUCCAUCGUGUACGGUGUACCUAACAAUGAGAAAGCAUGGCAGCAUAAAUUCAUCUUCCAUGUUAUUCUACUUAUUAGUACUGGUUCCCUCAUAACUUCUCCAAAUCGGGGAGGUCUGCAAUGUGUAAAGCACGUAAUCAGAUAAAAGAAAGAGAGCCAAAAAAAAAAAAAAAGGUAACAGCCAAAAGAUUAAAUUUCUUUGAGAAAUAGAAAAUGGGAGCUUUUGGCAUAGGCACAGAAUAGAAAGUAACAGAGUCAUUUACAGUUGUUCAGAAUAUGCAAGCUGAAAACAACUUUGAAUGCAAUGGACAAUUCCUCCAACAAACAAUCGAAUUGGAUUGUGGAAGAGACAAAAGCUUAAUGAGGUUAUGGUUUUGGCUAGGUGAACUCAAAAUUCUUUUAUAGACCAAGUAGGUAAAAACAAAUCCCAUAUAGAUGGAUGAACCUCAUACCAUGAACAGUUAAUCGCGAACACUUGCAGGCUUAUGCACACGACUAUGAAGAUACUAAGGGUUUCACCGAUGGUAAGUGAAAAAUAUAUGAUGUAUAAUUUAAAUGGAAGCACAUAGUUUCGGAUUGAAUUCAAGGUUAAAGUUCCACAGACAGACAGAAGAGAUGAAGCUUAAAAACUUACAGAGCAUUCCUUCAUCAUCACUGCUUUCAUCAUUUUGGCCAACAUGCUGAAAAAAGAAUAUGAUUCAAGUUAAAUGAUUGAGCAACAAUAAAAAACGUGCAAAAUUAAUGCUCUCUCCACAAAAAUUUCAGUCUAUAUUGGUAAGAAGAAACAGGAAGAAAAAAUUACCUCAGCAUCAUCGUCAUUGGAAGCCAAAUCAGCUGUAAAGACCACAAAAUGUUUGGUUAGAACCAGUGGAAGUCUUACUCUAAAAUUUUUAAUUUUUGAAUUUCGAAAGAUCUCGUAAUGACAAAGAUUUUCAUAUCCAGUGACCAAGUUUUGAAAAUUAGAAUACGGAAUGACAUCAACUAAAUUCACUAAUAUAAGCUAGAGGAAUCCCUAGUAGAUAUAGCGCACAUGCACACAUGAUAUGCAUCCGAAUACACAAUAAUAAAUUAUCUCAAAGUCAAUAAGAAGCCAAAAUUAGAGAUAAACUUUUAGCCACUAUAAGGAAGACUGAUAUUUGCAGUGUGAUUACAAUAAACAAACAGAAACUUCACUACCCAUAAGUAAAACAAAAUAAAUAAAGGAUAAUAACUAACCAAGAAAUGGAAAAGCUCACAUUCUCUGAACACGCACCCCAAAAAGAAAGAAAGAAAUAAAUGUUCUCAUUGGAUCUGAAGCACAAGCAAUCCACUGACAUCCUUCUAUAAUUAGGUAAUUUAAAGGGGUUAAGCUCACAUCUUUUACGGAAGUAAGAAGAGAAUUAACAACCUUCCAGAGGAUUUAGGGAAAUACCACGAGGCAAGAAAAAAGAAAUAUCCUUCUUCAAUCUAGAUAUCCUGAUACUGCUCACCAUCUACAACAGUCUGUGGCUUAAAAAGCAGGUCACUGAUCUCUCCCUCCCUCUGGCACCAUUUUCUCUCAUGUCUCAUUUUUCCCUUCCUGCCAACUCCCACUACAGUAUUGAAACCUAUUCUAUCAACUCUUCCCCCUCCAAUAACAAGACCAAAACCAAUUUUACUCGCCGGUUAGCUAGGUAGUAAAUGGAAAUUUGUGAAUCUGUCAUUCAUCCGUAGAAACAAACCAGAACUGCAUAAAUUCUCUUCUCUCCCAACAGCUUCUUUUCUCCAGAAAUAGGCACAAGUAUUUGACAUGGAAACAGUUUAUCUAACAUGGCCACCUUUAAAGACAAAGACAUACUAAGGACGUGGUUUUAGAUACGGAUACAAGAAACAAUCACAAAAUGUAAAAUCUAUACAUAUGAUAUUAAUUUCCAAUGGAUACAGCAAUUCAUUCUUUGACAUAACUUCAUCAGAUUACUAGGUUUGAUUAGGUUAUACACACAUUUAUUCAUUUAUUGAAUCUACAUGCACUUAGAAUGAGAGGUACCUAUAAAAACAAGUUACCAGAAAACAAUACAGCUAGAAAACAUUAAUCUAAGUAGUUCUAUAGGUUUAACUAACUGCAGGAAAAAACCAUUGAUUUUGUCCGCCAGAUUAUCGAGAUCCUAAUUCUGGUAAAAAGAAAAUGAGAUAAUAGAAAAUCAAAAAUUAAAUAGACACAAAAUGAGAAAUCAAGAUCAUAUGGCAACUAAUAUAUAGCAUGGGCUGCAGCUAACAAGCAAUAUAAGCCAUGAUAUUAUGCCAGAUACAAAUUUUGAGAUCCAAGAGAGAUCAAGAAGCAUGAAUACCACUAAAAUAUCGAAAGAAGUGAGUGCAGAAGGAUAAGAAAUCAGGUUGAUAUUCUUCAUACUUUGGAUCAACACGUAGUGAUGCAAUAAACUUGUAAUUAGCUUCAAAUGUAUAGGCUACCAUGUCAACAUUUCCGAAAACACACAAGAUUGUGCUGGAUUCAUACAUAGUACAUAUAUAAAAAAACAAUCUGCUUCUAAACUUCAUGAGAACAUCGAAUAAUGAACUUACAAUUUGAUCCCUCAUCAUCUUCAUCGCACCAUUUGUUCCAAUCAACCUUAAUGUAAGGUGCUGGUUUCUCUUCUGACUUGAGUAGCCUUUUCCACCAACCUUUCUCUUCUUUUUGGACCGAGCAUAUUAUGUUCCUUAAGCCAACUUUAGUCUUACAUUUCUGCACCACCAGCAACAAAACUCAAAGCAUUACAAAAGAGGUAUAUUUAGCCGCUCUUGACUCGAGUGAGAGAACAGGAUAAAUAGCCUAGGUAUAUCCACAUCCAUGUUAUGAGAUUGAUUAUGCAACAGCUAACUUUAAUAUAAAGCUUUUGCUUCAACAAAGACUAAAAUGUUUGUAAUUGUUAUGCUUUUGGAGCUAAAAUGUUUGGCAAACACCCACUUUUACUCUGCACCUAAUAUCUACCACCCACCCACACACUAAGUCUCUCGUUUGGUACAGCUAUUUAUCAGUAGUGGCUUUAAGCCACAACAUUUAAAGCGAAUUUACCCUAAAAUUUUACAAUGAAAAACCUAUACUACCUUUAACAUUGUUGUCAAAAUUAUUAUUAUAAGUAAUAUUUACCAAACACUAUCAACUUCCAAUUCAUAUCAAAGAGCUUUCACUCCACAAUAGCCGUGUCUUCUUAAGCCAGAACAACACAAUACCAAAGGCCUUAAGCUAGUGAUUUGAUUUCACAACAACUGCAGAUCAAGCCUCAAUCCCAAACAUACAUAAAUCAAAUGCAGAAAGCAAAAAUUUAACAAUAUGUUUGGUAUACUAAAUGUCUUUCAUAGUUUCAUUUCACAGGGUAUUUAGACAUGCAAUGAUAAAUUGGAGCAAUUUCAAGAACCGAAUUGACCUCAGGUAAAAUUUUGCCAAAAAGUUCCAAGCUGAAGUCGUAAAGCUCGCCUUGGACUCCGACGGCCGAGAAGCCAAAAAUCCCCUGAGGCUCGCAUUUCACAGAAAUGUCUUUCGCAUCGGGUAAUGAAAUGGUAAGGUAUACUUUAUCGGAGCGCUGAGCCCAAAGAACCUCCGGAUGGCGACUGAACAUAAAAGAAAUAAUAAUAAUAAUAAUAUUAUUAUUUUUUAUUGUGACAAUUUUGAACUAAUAAUUAGAGACAUUUAACAACAAUAUUGAUUAAUAUUGGAGAAGAAAAAUAAGGUUACAAGAGAGAAUCAGAAAGAUUACCUCAUUCUGGUGGAUGAUUGAAAACGGUGGGUCGAUUGAUGAACAGAAGUGUAACUGUCUGGGAGUGAGAGUGACUCUGCUGUUUACUGGGUAGAGUGUGCUUACUCGAAGAAAUUGAAAGUGAUAAUCUCGGGCAAGCCAACACGUCGAUUUGGUCAACAGUGGUCCAACAAACCAGGAACUAGGUUUUUUUUUUUAAAUGAUUUUUUUUUUCAGUAUUAUAUUGCCCCGCCCGUGGGCUAUUACAUUUUGGCCCUUUUGGGGACCCCUCGUUCUCUUACAAGAAGGGAAUAUUCUUUUCCAUCCACCGGUUUGUAGGCAGAGUACAUAUACUCUUCGAAAUUAAGGACAAAUUUCUGAAUCGUGCCGCAUUAGAAUUAAAUUGAGUCUCAAAAGAAUUUUGGUUAUAAGUAUAUCGUUCAAACGGUAAUAUAUUAAAAAAAAUAAUAUUUACUACAAUGUAGACCUAUCGGGACUUUGAAGCCCAGACCAAUUCUUGAGUCUAGCCUAAUAACACCUCAACAGAUCAAAAUUGAAAUCCAACUUAAAUUUCAAUAUUGUGUAGGGAUCUGCCUUAAUUUAGAUAUGUCAAGACCUGCCUUAGGCAUCAAAGUGAUCUAUCUUAACAUAACUAAGACUUUCUUUAAACAUCACAAUGAUUUAUCUUAACGUAGUCAAAUCUAGCCUAAAAAAAUCUAAAGAAGGAAAAAAGAAAUUAUUUUCACGUAUUGAGAGACUUAAAUUCUUAACCUUAUUCAUAAGAAAAAAAAGUGUAUUACUUAACUAAAUCGUGACUAAAAAUUAUAAUUAUUAUUUUUUGUACAUUUAGCUUUAAAAAAUCAUUAUAUAUAUAUAUUCAUAUAAGUUUUGACAUAAUAUACAUACCACUUAUUUGUUUUUUAAAUUAUACGAGAAUGAAAAAACUCAAGCAUUAAACACCAACUUUUGUUUCAUGCUAUCAAUCAACUUGAGAAAUUUUAUAAUAUAUCGGAAGUUCUACGUCACAAUUUAAUACGAAGCCUUCGAUUAAUAAUAAUUAGACACAUGACAAUAGAUGCUAGAGAAAUUUUAAAUUCCCUCUUUUCAUUAUCCCUCCAAAUUUAGAAUUUCAAAAAAUUAGAGAAUAAAUGUUGCUUGCUCUCUUUGUUAUCUAAUUCUAAUUAUUAUUUUUUUCUCUCUCUCUCCAAUCAAGUUGCUAGCAUUUUUUAAAUCUAUUGAAGAAUAAGAAGAAGGUUUUUGUCGAUGAAAUGAUUUUGGCAGCCUUUUUUACCCAAAGCUAACAUGAUUGCUGCGACUACCAAUGAAGAAAAAGAUGUGUUUUGCUGGCGAAGAAGAUGAUUUUUGAAGCAUGAGUGGCUGCCGUUUAUUUUUUUCCUUCAUAUUUUUCGAUGUAGUGGCUGUCCUCAAGUUUUAUUCAUUUACUUUUCAGUUGGCCUACUAUUUAUUGGCAUAAUGAAAAAUUUUAUUUUAAUAAGCAUUUAUAGAUUAAUUUGAGGAGGUUUCUUUUGCAAUAUUAGUGUGGUUUCUGCAUUGGUAUGAUUUAAAUUACGAACUUGCUACAAUCUUUAAUUAAACUGUCAAAAGUAAUUUAAAAAAUCUUUAAUUAAACCGUCAAAAGUAAUUUAAAAACUGACAGUAGAUAGAUUAGAGAUAGGCUUGACAAUUUAGCCCGACUCUAUUUUUAGUCUGAUUGAUCCGAUCCUAAUUUUUAAGACUUUGGCCUGAAUUUUUUGAUUUCGGGUCGGGUUCGGGUCAAAAUUUUAAGGCCCGAACAAAUUUAGGGUCAGGGUCGGACUUAAAACCAACCCGACCCGACCCUAUUUAAAAAAAAAAAAACUAACACACGCACACAACACAUGACAGUUCACUCUCUCUAAAUCGUAAAUCACACACACAAAAUACACUUACACAAAUUCACAAAAACCCUAAGCCAGCCACCCAGCCUGCUGCCGUCCUAUCAGCCAACAUCGUGACCGUCCGCCGCACGCCAGCCAAUCAGCCGUCGUCUCGUCGUCGCAUGUCUCACCAAUCAGCCAUCGUGACCGUCUGCGACGCUGCGACAUGAACUUGAACCAGCCGCCCUUUGUCGCCGUCCUGCCGCAUCCGCCUGCCAGCCAACGAUCAAUGCACACAGUUGAAUUGUGGGGUGGGAAAUGGUUUCGAUAGGGUCGGGCUCGACCCGACCCUAACUAUAAAGAGGUAGGGCUUUUUUAGGGUCGGGUUUUAAUUUUUUGUUGAUCGGGUCGGGUCGGGUUUGGCCAAACCCGAGCCCGACCCGACGUUUUGCCAUCCCUAAUUAGAGAUGAAGAUUGGAGAGAGAGAAAAAUAUAAUUUGAAUGAGAUAAUAAAGAGAGAAGAAAUUCUAUAAUACAUCAUAAGUAAUAUAACUCAUUGAUGUAUGCAUGAUAUAUGUAAUUAACCUUAAUAUAACUAACACUUGUAUGGUGAUAUUUCAAAAUAAAUAUACAUAUGUUAUAAAAUCAUUUACUUAUUGUAUGACUGACAUUUUAUUUUUGAUGUAUUGUACAAUUUCUCAGAAGAGAGUAGUAUUUAUUAUCUCUAAUUUUUUGAAAUUCUAAAUUUUGGAAGGAUAAUAGAAAGAGAAAUUUUAAAAAUUUUUCAACGUAUAAUGCCAUGUAUCUAAUUAUUAUUAGUCGGUGUUCCACGUUAAAACGUAAUAUAGAACCUCUGGACCUUACUGUAUAAUGUACUGUAGAAUUUCCUGAUCACACACUUUCUCAGUUGCAAAAGAGGUGGGCAUAUGAGUUCCUUACGGGGAUUUAGUGUGAAUCCACGCAAAGCCCAUAUAGAUUUUUCCGGUUAACCGCUAUGGCAUCCUAGUUUUAAACUCAGUACUAAAUUUACAGAUCCAUUUAAACCCCCCAAAUCAGUCUCUCACCGUCUCAAGUCUCAAACAAAAAACCUGACCGGAACCCAAACCGCCAAAUCCGAUUCGAUGGUGGACUGUGCUAAAACCCCUAAAAUUCCAAGACUGACAUGCGGUAAAGGAGAUGGUGAUAGACUUAGCAAUCUUCCGGAGCACAUCAUUUAUCACAUAUUCUCGUUCAUGGAAACAGUUGAUGUUGUUAGAGCAAGCACUGUUUCGCGAAGAUGGAGGUACUUGUGGCUUUCCGUUCCUUAUUUGAACUUCGACUAUCACACAAUUUGGUCAGACCCGGAAAGUAGAUGGUCUCGUAGGAAAAUCAAUGAUAAGUUCAAAGAUUUUGUCAACUGGGUAAUAUUUUCUCAAAAUGGGUCUGUUAAUAUUCAAAGAUUUCGUCUUUGCUGCUGGGAUUAUUUAGCAAGUUACGAUAACGAUAGAACGAUUUACAGAUGGGUUUCUGCUAUGGCACGUCGAAACGUGCAAGUGCUUGAUCUGGCUAUAGCUUCACUAUACCCAUUUGAGUUUGACUUGCCACAUAGUCUUGUAACUUGUGAUUCAUUGGUGGAACUGAAGUUGAGUUUGAGCUUUCAUGUUCACCGAUGUUUUUUAAAGCUGCCUACUGCUGCUGGUUUUAUUGGGCUCAAGUCUCUUGAUUUACAAAGUGUUGCGUUGGAUGAUAAUUUGUUUCCUGAAUUUAUUUCAAAUCUUCCCCUGCUUGAGAAUUUGUGUAUGUUGUCAUGUGUUUUUCCUGAAUUGAAGGUUCUUGACAUUUCUUCCACUAAUUUGAAGAAUUUGGCUCUGGAAUCCAUUGUUGGCAAUGAUAAUGCUGGCAAUGAUGAUGCUGGCAAUGAUGAUGCUGGCAACUACAAGCUUAAGAUUGCUUGUCCAAAUCUUGUGUCUUUUAAUUAUAUAGCUUUAGCUCCAUGGUUACCUCACUUUGCUUUUGAGAGCUUAAACUCCUUGCAAAAUGCAUUCAUUGACCUGGAUGAUUAUAACGAGGAUGACAUGGAGAACGAAAGAUGUCAUGUUUUAUCUACAAUCUUCAAUGACUUUCGUGAAGUUAAAGUUUUGAAAUUAUCAGAAGCCAUUCUUCUCGAGGUAUGAUUUCAAAUACAUUCAUUGCACCAAAUCAUGAUUCUGCCAGAACUUGUCUACACUUUUUUAUUUUGACAUUAGAAAUGAAGCUUAAGUAAACUGAAUCUACUUUCUUUGUUUGGUAAAAUAAGAAUUCUAUUGAUUAUGGAACCUUCCUAAAUGCUAAUUUGUUCUUUAGACUGUGUAUAAGUCAUUGUGACAUUGUAUGAAGUCUCAUUUAUCUGAGUAAUCAAUUGUUAUUGAUGUCAAAGACUAGAACUCAUUGGUGACUUGAGUUUAUGUAUAUUAUCGUUUGUUAGAUUUUUUGUGUGAUUAUUGCACUUAACUUGACUAAUGUAUUCUCUUUCUUUUUGCCAUUGUUCCUCCAGGUUCUUGAUCCUGAUCCUGCUCACGAAGAACCAGCAUUUUUUUCCACUUCAUUCAAUAAUUUGAAGUCCUUAAUACUUUCUGCAGGUCCGGGUGUAUGUCUCAUGCCAUCAAUGCUUAGGUUGCUCAACUGCUCUCCAAAUCUAGAAGCUCUUGCAAUAUAUUCUCCUAAGGUAAUCUUAACACCAAAAACUAUUCCAUUUGUUAGAUACCGUCGCUUCUAUCCAUUUUUUUUAAAAAUCAUAUCUCCCAUUUAUGUGCUAAAAUUUUAAUUUUGUUAAAGUGCAACUGGGCUUUGCUUAAAUUAUCGCAAUAGAGUUGAAACCUGAAAGUAUUUGUGAUAUAUUAUGUUUACCGCUUAGAGCUUAAAGUAAAUGUUAAUCUUGUGGCCUCUUGGUUGUUCCCAUGCUAUUGCUUGUUGAGCAGAUGGUUGAAUUUAGAGUCAAUCAAUCGGUUGUGUUCUUCUGAGGUUUGUGCAAGUUUUGUAAAAGAGCAAAGUUUAGUAUUUGUUUAGUUUGUGAAAAUGAUAUAGCUUUUUCUAAUUCAUCUUACUCUAUUCUUUGCUUAAAAAUGAAUUCUCCUUUUGAUUUGAUUCCUUGACUGCAUUUCGGUCUGUUUUCUCUUGGCAGCAUCGGCGUGGAUAUAAUGCUUAUAGGAAAACACCGAACAAGGCUGCUAUUUCAUGUUUGACAAAUCAUCUCAAGACAGUUGAAAUAAAACAUUUUAGCGGUGAUAUGAAUCAACUUGAAAUUGUGAGGUUUCUUCUAAGGAAUGGACAUGUAUUGCAGAGAAUGAGUAUUAGAUGGGUGGCAGAUGUUAAGAAUCAAGGGAAGAUUAUCUCAAGGAUAAUGAAGUUUCGGAGAUCAUCUUCAAGUGUUGUGCUGAAAUUCCUAGAUCCUAAGCCAGCUGAUGAUUUUUCAGAUUAUUUAUUUGAUGAUGAGCAAAAGAACUAAAAUUAUGUUUAAAUUAAAAAAAAAAAAAGUGGUUUAAGUGUAUGUUCGAAUUAAAUAGUCUUUUGGAUUUGUAGAAACUGAAAGGAGUACAGUGCCAGUCACUGUGGCAGCCUUAUGUUUUGUUUGAAAAAAUUCGGAAGCUUCUAAAUUGUUAUAUACCUCAAUUCUGAAGUCGUUAGUAUGUAUAUUAUAAGCAAUACAUAUGUUCCAUUUGUCAUAUUUUAUUUUGGCAUUACGAUUGUUUUGUCUUGAUUAAUAUUGAUUAUAAUUUGUUUAACAUUUAUCUGGCAUAUGUAGAAUUAUACUUUAUCUGAGUAGAUGACGCUGCUGCGUACAUCUUCAGGACUCGGUCAUAAACUGUUUAUCUCUGCGUCUGUCUAGCAUCCAUCCACGUAUGACCUGUCGGCUUUUUGCCCGCAAGCAUACAGUUAGGGGUGGUAAAAAUAUCUGUCCGGUCUGGAUUCGGUUCGCACCCGGAUGUUUUAUCCGGCCCGGUCUUGGGCAUCAUUUGAUAAAUUCGGAACCCGAGUUUUAUUAAGCGCCUUGGCCGUACAGCAGUAUAUUAUUUUAAAUAUUUAUAUUUAUUUGACUCAUUUAUUACAUAUAUAUAAAGUUUUAGACACUUAAAGUUUAUAUUUUCAUGUCAAAUUUCAUUAAAAUAAAUUUAAAACUUAUAAAAUUACCAAAAAAUAAAAAAUAUAUACAUAUAUAAUAUUAAAAAAUAUAAAAUCUGGGUACCCAAAUUAAAACCCGGCACAAUCCGACCCAGGCAUCUAUGCAUCCGGGUCGGGUCCGGUCAUUACGAUACCCCGACCCAGCCCAGGGUUUUGCCAUCCCUACAUGCAGUGUAUAUGAAUUGCAGUUCUUGUACGGACAACAUGUCAUCCAUAAAACUCGAGUUAUGUUCUUUUUAAUCUUUAGUUUAGAUUACAUUUUGCAAAACUAAUAAACGAUAGAGCUCCUAGCAAGGUCAAUAGUUAACUGCGAAUCCAGAAGAUCGGAAUGCUAUACCUUUCAAACAUGCAUUUCAAAGCCAUCUGCGGAAAUGGAAAACAAGCAUUUCAAACUCGUUGUUAAAACAAUGAUAAAAGUAAUUUUAAUCCUAAUUUUUAAUUCCAGGCAUGAAGCUAACUCAUAUACAAAGAGAUAUCAAGUAAGCAGAGGCGAAAGCUAAAAGCUUUGGUUACAGGGGUCGGUGUGAAUAAUGUAUAUAUCGUUUAGACAUAUUUUUGAAUAUCUAUUUUAAUUUAGGGGAUAUUAUAUAUAUUUAAAAAAAAUUAAAAUUUUUACGGGAGCCAUGGCUUACUAUAGUCUCCAUUAAGAUUCACCCUCCCUACUUUUCGUACUUCAUUAAAGUAUAGGAUAAAUAUUUACAAUAUUAUAAAUAGAUUUUAUAAAAGCAGUCCAUAUAUGAAAGUCCUUCUGCACUCUGAAUUAAAUAAAAAUAACGUGAGACUAACAAUUUAAGAGUCUUUUUUGCAACGUAUAUCGUGCAGUGAUGUACUCUAUCGACGGAGGACUCUCUUCAUAUGCUUUUUAUUUUUCCAUGCCUGAUUAUAAAUAGGAUCACUCUAUGUUACAUUAAACGUAACGUACACACACUCACAACAACAGUAACAAGUCCCAUCAUUAGAACUGUUGCUGUGAGUGCGUGUAUGUUACGUUUAACGUAACAUAUCACUAGCCUUAUAAAUAACAUCACUUUUAAGGAUUUUUACAAAUUUUUAUUACAACCGUAACUUUUGUCCUCAUACAAUAACGGUGUCCAUUGUCCACAUAUAAAAAGUUCAUCAAUAAACAUAUAACCUAAUUAAAAUUCGUGACAAAAUCCAAAGGAAAGAAAGCGUGGAGUAAUAUAUAUAACAAAGGCAUUGAGCAUACACCAGGUGUAAUUUGCAUUGCAUGGCCACCCUUACGUGGCAGUUCCGCCGAUUAACACAUCUUUAAAAGUUAAAGCCCCCCUCUCUCCUUGUUAAGGGCGUUUCAACACAACACUCAUCAAUGCAAGCAAAGAGACAGUGAAGGAAAAAUUAAGAAACCAAUAUUGUCACUUGGAAGAAAGAAACAAUCAUUACAUAUAUAAUACGAUGGAUACUAAGAACAACAGGAAGCAUUUGUCCUGCAUUGCCAACGACGUCGUUCACAGAUGUGCACUGUACGUAUCUCUCUCUCUCUCUCUCUCUCCUUUUCUUUUUCUCCCCGAUCACUUUGUUUUCUUUAUAUAUACGAAUGUAUGUAGAACGUAGUAGGUUUUGUAUAAAUAUCUGUUGCACACAUUAUUUGAUGUGCAUUUAAAUAUAAUUAAUGGUAAUUGAGAUGACACACAAAGACAAUGCAAAAAAAGAAAAAAAAAGAGAGAGUAAAUUAAUGAAUUUGCCUUGAUCCAGUUAAUUUGUGUGCAUUUAGCUGACUGUAAGGUGGUUUCGAGUGUGUUUUUGUUUGGCAACUUUUCACACAAAAGCACUUUUGGGAAGCACUUUAUGUAAUGUAAGUGCCUCUAAAAACUGUUUUAUGUAUUACUGCCAAAUGCAGUGCAGAGGUUACAAUGGGAGGGUCGGUUUUAUACCUGUUCUUCGAGACUUAAUUUCAAUAGGAGAUUGAAAUAUUUAUGAGAAUUAUGUUGUUAGCAGACUUAAUUCUUUUGGAGGAAUUCAUUCCAUCGUAGACCACUCAAUGAAUUUGGUCGAUUGAGAUUAUUUGAGUGCAUGCUUCAAAACUGGAGCAUUAAUUCUUUGACAUAAAUGGGCUUUAACAUAAGGCGCGUUCGCUUAUUCCAUUUAUUCAAGAAGUUGGCACUCAAUUUUUUAUUACUAGCCUUUAGAUGGCCAGCAGCCUUUUGUAGCCCUUUCUAGUUUCUACUAAAGUGGUUAUGUGCAAUAGUUCUAUUCUGGGUUGCAAAAUUAUUGUGUCAGUAGAAUCCACAUACAUUAUGUACUUUUCUGUAUUUAAUUUCAAGAGGCUUAGUUAUAUCAUAGUUUUAGGAUUAUAAUAAGUCUGUCCGUUACCAUGUUAUUGGAAUUUUUUUUUUUUUCUAAAUUAGUUGGACACAUUAUUGGAUUGGUCAAUAAAGGAAAGCAUUUGGCAAGUACUUGGUUUGAUAUUAACAUAUAGUUGCAGUAAAGCACAUUAACUUGUGCAUCCUGAAAUUCUUGCAGGCAAGUAAAGGCUUCUGAGGAUUCAUUGGUGGAGGGGUUUGAAGCUGAAUGGAAGCCUGAAAUCGGACAGUAUUCGAAGAAAUUUGUGGAAUAUUGCAGCAUAAAGGCUCUUACUAACAUGUGCCAGAGCAUAGAAGAAAAGAUUAGUGAUGGAUCAUUUAGUCGACUCACAUUUGAUAUGAUGCUUGCCUGGGAAAUGCCUAGUGCCGCCGAUGAGGAGUCUCAUACUGUAAGCAAUCAUCAUAAUACUCAUAUCCUAUAUUUAUUUCAUGGUCCACCAAAUCAUUAUGAUAUUAUCCCAAUUUUGGUGUGCCUAUCUUCUCUUCAAGUUGCUUCUUCUAUUUCUUUUUCAUUAUACAUUCUCUGGUUCUCAUCAGUUUUCGCUCCAAUUAAAAGAAGCAUGAAUUCUUUCACUUAUCUGCUGAAUCUGUUCUAAUGAUUGGGCAAUAGAUUUUUAUUCCUCUCUGUGGUUACUACUAUUUUGAUCUUGUGCAGGAGUGCAUGGGAAAGGAGAAUGAGGAUAGAAAGGCUGUAAAAGUCACUUCAGAUCAUGAUGAAAUUCCUCUCUUCUAUACAGACAUCAUGCCUCUUCUAGUAAGAGCGUCUCUUUCUGAUCAUUUGAGUGCUAAUGUACCGACCAAGCAUUAGCCUUCACUGAAACUCGUAUAUGAUUUCAUGAACAUUGAUUAAUUGUUAUUUUUGCUAACUACUCUAUGAGAUCUGAUCAAAUUAGAUAUAUAAAUGUUGCGAUUGAUCUUGGAUUUGCUUUAUAUUUGGCCAUCAAUUAUAUUUUACUCUUCAUUUUUAUAUUUGUUUGGUUUGAUAAUUUACCCUCUGGCCCAUAUAUAUGAUGGUAGGUUAAUAAUGAACCGAGUGUUGGAGAAGAUGCAUUUGUAUGGAUGGGAUCCUUAGUUCCUCUAGUUUCAGAUGUUAUUAAUGGGAGAUUUACAUAUGAAAUUCUGACAGCGCCAACAGGAAACCGGCUCCAUUCUCCAGCAUAUGAUAUAUUUCUAAAGGAGAUGGACAAGUAAUUCUUCCAAUUCUUCCAUGCAGCAAUUUUACCACUCAGAAACUUUAAGUGCCGUUUGGUUUUGUGACAUGCAAAUUAUCAUGGAACACUCAAAAUGAGUUGUUCUUAACAAUUUCUAGAAUUUGCAAACUCACUAACCAUAUCUGAAAAUGCAGAAGCAUUAUUACCACUUAUUGAUAACAAUAUCUCUGCUCGACUUGUUUGGGUGCUUUCAGCCGUUUUUCAUUUUCUUUUGGAAAUCUUGAUUUCAUAGAUGCAUAAAACAUUUGCAAAAACAAGCAACUCCAAAGGGUGUUGAGCUGGCUGACGAUGAAUUUAUACUGCAUGUGGAGGGAACUGCAAGCACACAGAGAGUAGUGCGCCAUAUUGGGAAAACAAGUUGGCCUGGUAUGUCUUUAGUUUGAUGUCUUACAUCUUUUUAACUGCUGUAGAAAUUGUUACUUGGAUUUUACUAAUCAUAAUUGUUGUCUCUAGGUAGGCUCACACUGACAAAUUAUGCGCUCUACUUCGAGGCUUCGGGAGUAAUAACAUAUGAAGAUGCUCUAAAGAUUGACCUCUCAAAAGAUGCUGAACUAUCUGUUAAACCAACUGCCACAGGUCCAUGGGGUGCUCCGCUUUUUGACAAGGCAAUUGUAGUCGAGUCCCCUGAACAGUAAGCAUAGUUGCACUUAUAUGAAAUUACUGGAGCUAUUAGCAUCGUUAUUCUUAUUUUAAAAAUUGUUAAAUGCUUGGUAGUUAUCCCAUAAGCUAGAUUUUAAAUGCAUAACAUACAAGGCAGACAUCAGAAAGCAUUCUGAUUCGUUUAUUAAAGUUUGUCUUUUAUUAAGCUAAAGAUAUUAAUGCUGCUAGAUUUUUCUAAUUUGGUUGUAGAUAUUGGUUAGUUACACUGUCAAAUGAGCAAAUCUCGUGGAUAUUUCAUAGUGUGGUUAUGCAAUUGUUUUUUGCCCUUCACUUUUCUAGAUCUGAGGGAAUUGUCCUGGAGUUUCCAGAGAUAACUAGCUCGACAAGGCGUGAUCAUUGGCUGGCCCUCACAAAGGAGAUAAUGUUAAUGCACAAAUUCCUGUCAAAAUUCAAGGUGGAAUGUCCAAUACAAGCAUGGGAGAUGAAUGCAAGGACAAUACUUUGCAUCAUAAGACUCCAUGCAGCAAGAGAAAUGCUGAGGAUAUUGCCUCCAGAUCCCACAAAAUUCUUGAUUUUUGCUUUGUAUGAUGAGUUGCCAAAGGGAGACUACGUGCUAGAAGAGCUUGCUGAGAGUCUGAAGAAAGUUAAUUGUGGACAUCCUUCCAGUGCUAGCUCAAUUCUGAGAUGUAUGAACCUGUCAAUUGCCGCAAGUGGAGAAGUAAAAGAAGGAAAAGAACUGGAGGAACAUAAACAUAUAAGUGAUGAAAGCUGUUCAUCACUGGAAACUGCCAUCAAUCAAUCUAAAGAGCAAGCAAAGGCAAUUGAAAUUGCUAAGUCUACCACUGAGGGCCUGAAAGAUGAAGGGAUCAGUGAUAGUAUCCUUGUUCUCUUGGUAUGUUUUUACUUCCAAAUUGUUGUUUAUGCUGCUGAUUUUAUAUUGACAGAAUAAGUAAUGACAUCUCAACAAAUCAUGGUAUUGAGAGCUUGUUUGACAUUUAUCAAACACAGCAAAGAAAUUGAAUUUUAUGAAAUUCCUAUAGCACCCUAUAAUUUGUACCAAAAAAUCUCUGCACCUUUGGCAUGCUGUAUGGUAUGGAAGUAUAGCUGUCUCAGAGAGGUUACUGUUAUUUACUUUAUUUGGUUUUGUAGUAUUGAUGUUAAGUUUGAUUUAAUAAUGUAGGAGCUACUAAAGCCACUUAAAAGUGUUUUACCCUGGAUUCGAGAAGUUGUUUCAUGGGAAAAACCAGCAACCACCCUCACUGUGAUUGCAACAACUCUACUAAUAGUGUACAAGUAAGUCAGUGCUCCCUCGUAAUUUUCUUAUAUACGGAAAUUUUUUUGAAAGUGCAUGUUGAUCAAGAACCACUUCAUUACUUGGCCUAUUAAUGUGUAAACUUUGCAAAUGACUAGUAAACUAUAUAAUGGCAAUGUAGGGAGUGGGUAGGCCAGGCUAUAGCUGCUUGUUUGCUCACCAUCGUGGUGAAGAUGCUUCAGGCAAGAAAAAAAAGGUUGACAGACAAAUGCAAUGAGAUAGUAGUAUGCACUGCUUCAGAUCAGAGCACCGUGGAGAGCAUUGUGUCGGCUCAAUACAGUUUGAUAACUAUUCAUGAGAUGUUGCAGGCAGCAAACAUUAUGAUUUUGAAGAUAUGGUCGAUAUUAAUUUCAAAGGCCCGCAAGGUACUCAUUUUGAUAACCUAUGCUUUCAGCUUAGCAAUUAAAUAUCGUUUUCAAUCAAUAUUGCUUAUUCGUCGUUAGCUGAAGUUCGUUUACCUACUACAUUUGUUGGAUGUCUUCAAUUAUUGAGGAGUCUUAGUUGCAUUUCCAAAUUGUUCUAAAUCCUCGUUUCAUUUAAUGGGUUGCAGCAUGCGGACACGGUUAUGGUGGCAUUGACUGGGUUAGCAAUAGUAUUAGCAGUUGUUCCAUUCAAGUAUAUUGUCAUGGGAGGUGUGCUGUACGGCUUCAUUAUGAACUCGAAGCCAAUGAAGUACCUGGGAAACAACUCAAACGACCAAAGCGGCAACAGACGUCUAAAAGAAUGGUGGGAGUCAAUCCCUAUUAUUCCUGUUCGCGUCGUGGACAAGCUUCCUGAGUGCCCAAAAUAAUGUGUCGGCUCCUGCACAAUCACAGUUGCCUAAAUCCUCUGUUUCUGAACUUUUGUUAUCAACUUACUGCACGAUAUACACUUCUGAGUUUGCUUUUGCCAUCAGAGUAGAACUGUAUCUGAAACACAGCAUACACUUAAAUGCUCAUUACAAAUUUGGAGAAAAGCACAAGUAGAAAAGGAUUGAAGACAUUCAGUAACGUUGAAAUUCUGCAUUUUCUUUAAUUUUUGUUAUGAACAAGUUUCUUAAUUAUUUGUUCUCUUGAUGUAAAAUAGCAUAUUGCUGGGAGUAAUGAAGAUGUGACUGUGCUUUUCCUAUUAGCAUGUUAAUAAAAGCAAAAUGGAAAAUUAUUAGUUACGUCCUCUCGUUUUGCGGCUUAUUGAGCUAACAAGUAACUUCUUCAUUACUAGCGUGCAAGUUUGCAACUAGUGAAUCUCAAAUAUAACUCUACCCAAUGGAUGGAUGUACGAUGGAUGUACCUACCCAAUCAUUUAUUUCUCAUUAAAUCUGUUAAAACAGAAAAAGUCCCGACGUCAUAUUCUUCGCGCCUUUUAAAAAACGACACGUGUCGUAUCCCACUACUCGCGUGCUGGAAACUUUAACCCACUCUGACUGCGUGACAGCAGAUCAUUCCCAAUUCAUUUCAGUUUCACUGUCACUUUCACUCCUCCUCAGGCGCCUUCCGACAAACAGGAAGAAUGCAAACUUGAAAACCCCCAAAAACCCUAACGUUCCCCCGGAGACCCUAACCCACCAUAAACCCUGGCUCUUAAUCCUAGCCACUAUGAGCGACCAAGACGAGCAAUCGCGAGCUCAGAAAGCCGCCCAGUUAACAAGUCCGCUCUCAUCCUCUCUCUCGAACCUUUCUUCUUCUUCAAGAAGCAUCCCCUCUAAUCAAGAUUUCCAUUUCUUCUACAAUUUCCCUGAAUUCAAUCAACCCGUCCAAGAAAUCGCGAACCAAUCGCAGCUCCUCCUACAAUCCAUCGGCUCAUCGGAGAUUUUUAACCAACCGAUCAAUUUUCCUGAUGAGGUUGACAUCUCGGACGCCUACGACUGGCUUGUCGACGUAAACGACAACGUUUUCGAGCGUAUGGAUGUUUCUUUCGACGAAUUUAGUAAAGUAAGAGGGGAAAAUGGGGAAGGAGAUGGAAAUGAAGGUGGCUUUCAGUUGGUUUAUGGGAAGAACAAGAAGAAGGGCGACAUUGUGGGUGGCUCUGCCCCGGCCAGUGUGAAAGUGAAGGACAGGAAAGAGAAAAGCAAGGUGCCGUUUCAUAUAUCGACUAUAACAAAACCGCAAGAGGAGUACAAGAUAGUUGUGAACAAUGCGAACCAGCCGUUUCAGCAUGUUUGGUUGCAGAAGAUUGAGGACAGUGGACGGUUUAUCCAUCCUCUUGUAAGUUUGUUAUUUUUUGAAUAUUUUGAUAUUGGAUUUGACUUACUGGGUUUGUUAAAUUUGUAAUCUGAAAAUAGUACCUUUCUUAGGGACUUUUUAGUGAUCAAUUAUUUCUUUCAUUUUCUUUUUGGGUGGUUUGUGGUAUAUGUUUACGCUUAUCUUGUUUGGAAUUUGUGUGCAAUUCUUAUUAUUCAUGCGAGAAUUUUAACACUAUCAUGUGGUUCAUGCUUGCCAAAAAUAUACCAAAACACUUUUGCUUAUUGCUAUUGCUUUAUUUGUACAGGACAAUCUUUCUGUUUUGGAUUUUGUUGAUAAAGAUAUAGGGGAUGUGGAACCUGUAAAACCUCCCUCGUUGGAGCAGACACCAUUCAAGCUUGUGGAAGAAGUUAAAGAUUUAAAGGAGCUAGCUGCUAAAUUGAAGAGCGUAGAUGAGUUUGCGGUAAAGUCUGACUUCUGUGAUUAUGUUUUAUUGAUAAAUAAUGCCGUGGUUCAGCCUUACUGCAGUAGUUUCUUUUUUUCAGCCUUUUGAUUUCUCUUUUCUGAUGGGGCAUUUCAUAUACAGAACUGAACACUGUCCUAUGUAGAGGAUAUAGUGUAGUUAAGGCACAUGUCACCGAUGUCAGCUACUUCAAAAUUAUAUAGUGCUGGAUGUGGUUUAAGCCAAUAAGACAAGAAAGGGGUGUGGCCGCCUAUGAAGAUACAUACAAAUAUGUUAAUAUUCGAAACAUAUACAAAGAAAUGUGCCUGUAAUAGUUUUCCUGUCUACGUAAAGUAGUAAACCAGCUGUCUAUUUAAUCUUGAUACAAGUUUUGCAUGUUUAAAAAAUUAUCUUUCAUCUUUAACAGUGAGUCCAUUUUUAGCUGUAAUCCUUUUCUCAAGCAUGACUUGGUUUUGCUUUCGUUUUCAUCUCAACAGUAAACCUGUUUGCAACUAGAAAACAUUGUAAUUUUUUUGUAACUUUUCUCUAGGUCGACUUGGAACAUAAUCAAUAUCGAUCUUUCCUAGGAUUGACUUGCCUGAUGCAAAUUUCCACCAGAACCGAAGAUUUUGUGGUAGAUACGUUAAAGCUUCGCGUUCAAGUUGGGCCAUAUCUUAGGGAAGUUUUUAAAGAUCCUACCAAGAAAAAGGUUGGUCCCUUCAACAUGCUCUCGCGUAGCUUUGUGAUAAAUCUUAUUUUUUCCCCCCCAAAUUAUGUUAACUUUUACUUUACUAGGUGAUGCAUGGAGCAGAUCGAGAUAUUGUGUGGCUUCAACGGGACUUUGGCAUAUAUUUGUGCAAUAUGUUUGACACAGGACAGGUUUUAUCCCUUGAAACUCUCUUUGAAAUUUGAGACUUUAUUGAUGAUCUUGUCUGGUUUUUUGUACAAUGGUUAAAUUUAUCUUAUCUUAUCUGCUUUUUUGUGGUCUAAUUUAUGAGUGUUGAUGCAAGCCUUUAUUCUACUAAAUUAGUUAAAUUGAGUUAUCUUUUGAUACUGUAUUUUCAAUUUUGUAAUUCAUCUUAUGUGUUUGAGUCAAGGUUUGGCUUCAAAAAGCCUUGUCAGUUACAUGUCAUCUCUCCCUUAAUUUUUUCAAAGUAGCUUCGCUUGUCAUUUGAACUAUUUGUAUCAUUAUUUUCAAUUUUGAUGUGGAACUUCCCCCAUUUAUUAAUGUUCUUUUGGUUGUUUUUGUGUAAUGCUCUUUUGUAAAUUUUACCGUGGCAUUUAUUUUGUUUUGCAUUUCAAAUAAUAGUGAGAAUUGCUUUUUUCAGUCCUAAGUUUAUUGGUUUAUUGUAAAUAUACUGUAUAUUUAUUUUGGUUUGCAUUGGGAGAUGAUCGUGGGAAUUUGUUUCUGUCUUUUCAUAAGGCCUCAAGAGUCUUGAAAUUGGAGAGAAAUAGUUUGGAGUAUCUUCUACAUCACUUUUGUGGAGUUAAUGCCAACAAAGAGUGAGUCCUUUUGUAAAGUACCUGAUCUGUUUCUCCUUAUAGUUUCCGCCCUUCAUCAUCCUAAGUCAACUCAUUGCAGAUACCAGAACGCAGAUUGGAGAGUACGUCCUCUUCCCGACGAGAUGCUGAGGUACCUUUGGUUCUCUUUUUAUCUUCUUUGUAACCUACUUUUCUAAUGAGUUCUCCAAAAAAAAAAAAAUUAUGAUCUGUUUGGCAUGAAAAUAAUUACUACUAUUUUAAAGUUCUUGUAUUCUUUGGAAAAGCAGAAAUCAUAUAUCAUCAUUUAAGUGUUUGGGGUUUCAUCUUUGCCUGUAUUUUUGUAGAAACUAAUAAUAUUUUUUUUUCUGUGGCUUAGGAUUUGAAUUGUGGGAAUAUCUAUGUUGGAAAUUAAUAAUGAGUGCACAUUGACUCUUGAUAGUGGACAAAUAUUUGGACAGCCAGGAAGGGGAAGGCCAACAAAAGUUUUGGGUUUUUAUAAGUUGAAGUUAUGAAUGGUUUUAUAAUUAAUUAGGUAUAGGUUUCCUCAUUUGGGUAUUUCUGGGAGAUCUGGGUUAUAAGAUUGAGAUAUUCCAGCCUGUAUAGAUAAUUGUAGGGUUGCCUGUGUUUGUGAUAUUCCAGCGCGUUUAUUAUUACUACUUCUUAUAUAUAUAAAAUUUUAGACUCUUUCCAUGUCUAACAAGAAGUUUUCAUGAUAUCACUUGGAUCCUACUCAUGCAGACUUGUAAGGCAUCCUUAGGUGCGGUUAUGUGAUCUGGUUUUUAUAAAUAUUUUUAAAUUUUUUGUCAGAGACAAUGCCUGUAGUGACAAUGUACUGACUUAUCUUUUGGUUAUUACCAAGCUGAAUCAGGUUGCCUGUGGUUUAUGACCAUACCAUUUGGUCUUAUAAAAUGUUCUUCCCUUCACCUCAUGUUCUCAUACUUUAAAGCAUGAAUAAUAUCUAAGGGCCUGAGAUUAUUUCAUUAAUUUUUCCCAAGUCUAGAUCCUUCCCAGAGAAAUGGAUGGAUUACCCACACACUCACCAGUAACAUGUCGUACUUUAUGACGGUUUUGCAUUACUGCUGUAUGUCAUUUAAUUUGCCCUUUUGAGGAUUCUUUAUUUUCUCUGGGCUGAUGUUACUUUGUGGUGCUUUUUUUUCCUAUUUAGUCAAAAUAUAUAUUCAUCAUAGAGUUUCUCUGUUAGAAUUUUCUUAGCUUUGAGGAUUCGUUAGUGGCAUAUCAUCCAAUUGAUUAUACUUGUGAUGACAGAUACGCUAGAGAAGAUACACACUAUCUGUUGUAUAUAUAUGAUAUAAUGAAAAUCAAGUUGUCCUCAAUGCCCAAGGAGUCUGAGAAUUCUGAUACUCCCCUGACAGAGGUAUGAUUUUUGCUUAACUGUUGGUGUUGUUUUGUAAAACUGUUGGGCAUCUCUAUGAUUAUAGAGAAUCCAUUUUUAAAUGCUUUUUUCAGAUCUUGUUGUGCCAUGUAUGACAGACCAUUGCGUCUGGAGAUUGGCAUGGAGCUUAAUAAUUACAAUGUUAAAAAUAGAACAUAAAAUAUUGGGAAGUAUCUAUCAUGACUAAUUCUUCAACUGUUUAAGGAAGAUAGUUUAAAUCCGAAUAUCCUUUUUUGGAUUGUGGACUAAAGAAAAUUGUCAACUCUUGAUUUCUCUUCCCAAGGAUGAAGACGUAUCAGUCUGUUGGCAAACACAUUUUUUGAAUUUUACUUUAGUUAUCUAUAAUUUUACCAUAUUGAGCAAACAUUUUGUUGCAAACAGGUCUACAAGCGCAGUUAUGACGUAUGCAGGCAGCUGUAUGAGAAGGAGCUUCUGUCAGAAAAUUCUUAUCUCCACAUUUAUGGGUUUGUCUUUGUCCCUAUUCAUCUCAGUUUAAGUUUUCAUUUAGUGGCCUCGCCUGUUUAAAAUCUUCUCUCAUACAGUUUUUGUUUGUUUCAUUCUUUACUUAGCAUUACUUCUCUUGUUUAAUUUUAGUUCUAUUUUGGACUUCGUAUUUAUGUGAUUUGACAGAACUUAAUCAGUGGAGCUUAUUUCUCUAUGUUGAAAUAGGUUGCAGGGGGCUGGUCUCAAUGCUCAGCAGCUUGCUGUUGUUGCGGUAUGUCAGUUCUUCAUGUGUUUUUCAAACUUUGCCACUUUUCUAUCUGGAUAUUAUAUGCAUGAGGAUGCUACUGAAAAUGUAUUAUCCGCAUGUUUUGUUUACUAGUUGCAUCUUCAAAUGAAACAAAGUCUUGACCCAGAAGAAUCCGUAACGCACCAAUAGUCACUAAUAGGAUUGUCUUGAGAAAUUUACUUCUAAAUUUUUGAGUGGAUGAUAGAAGGGUGGAUUUUAAGUAGCUGACACAUCAUUGCCAACUGCUGAUAGAGUCUGUUGCAUACUUGAGUAUUCUUGCUAGUUCUGGCCCCAUUGAUCCCACUUCAAUGAUUUGCAGGGUCUUUGUGAAUGGCGAGAUGUUAUUGCUCGUGCAGAUGAUGAAAGUACUGGCUAUGUAUUGCCAAACAGAACUCUGAUUGAAAUUGGUAGAAACCUGUCUGAAUUUCCUCCAACUCUCUCUUCUAUAUGUAUAUAAUCCAUUUGGUGAGUUAUGAGUUAAUCAUAUUUUCCUUUUGUGGUAAAAGCCAAACAGUUGCCUACUACUGCUGCCAAGUUACGUCGAUUGUUGAAAUCAAAGCACUCAUAUAUUGAACGCUAUAUGGGUCCGGUACUUAGCAUCAUAAAAAAUUCUAUGCAAAAUGCUGCUAAUUUUGAAGUCAUUGCUCAAAAAUUGAAAGAGGAACGUAUGGAAGUGGUAAGACCUGCAUGCUCAUGUUUGAUUGUUUUGUUAUAUCAGUGAUCCAAAUUGAUUAUUUUUCUUUGAGAAUUUGAUGUUAAUGCCUUCAAUGGAUUGCCAACAUACAUUGAUUUUCUUUUUCUUUUCCUUGGAUUUCGUUAGAAUCAGACCAACCAUCUUUUAAACGAGGAUGAUGGUCCAAAACCUUAAGGUCUACUACGAUGAAUUGCUACUUUUUGUGCAAGUUCUUGUAAUUCACUCAGCUGGUUGUCUUCGGCAAAUGAAAGGAAAAAGGAAAUUCAUCCAAUCCAGUUCUAUUGAAGAAAAAGAAUCCUAGUUGAUCUUACAAAAUUAAGCUUUCAUAAUUUGUUAACCCAUGGAAUGUGAUUAAAACUCAUGGACAAAGGAUGUUCCAGUUGAGAAAGGGAUUUGAGUGAUUUUUAGCAAUUAUCAGUGAUGUCUUCAUUAGAAGUAAGUUUAUGGUUUAUAGCAGUAAAUGCUCAAUAAUUAGGUACUCCUUGUAUAUUGGCUGACCGGGUCCCAUGUUUGUAGUAGGUUUUGUGAGCUACAGAGGAUUAACUUCAGUCAGUUUUCCAUGUUAUGGCUGUUAAGAGCUAUGUCACCAUUUUUCUUUGUUUACAUCAAACUAAUCUUUUUUUUUCCCCCCAUUUUUCCUUAUUUGUGUAGGCAUCAGAAGAAACUGAAGUUUUAGUUCUUGAUACUUCCUCAAACUUGAAAAUUCCGAAUGUUGGAAGGGAGAGUGUUGAUGGUGUUGAUGCAUUAGUUGGUACCACGAUGCCUCACCCACCAGCUUACACCCAGCUGAAACAAGAGCCUCCAAAGGUUGGAAGCAGUGUCGCAGAACUUGACAGAAAUGGACUAGGGUCUUUUGCGCAUCCUGGAGAAGCAAUUGCUUCAGAAAAUAAAGAAGCUACUCAUAUUUCAACACUUUCCAGCUCUGGUCAAAGUAGAGACUUGAAUGCUUGCAAGUCACCUUCACCAAGGGUUGUGAAUUUGAUGCCUUAAUGUGGAUUUUUUUUUUUUUUGGUUAAGAGGUUUAGCAUUCAAUUUCUUUUUCUUUGGUUGUGAAUUUGAUGCCUUAAUGUGGAUUGGAUUUUUUUUUUUUUUGGUUAAGAGGUUUAGCAUUCAAUUUCUUUUUCUUUAUAGGUUACUGAAGCUGCUGUUCAGGCUCUAAAGAAGCCGAACCGUGGUUUUGGAGCACUGCUGGGUAACCCAAAGAGAAAGUUUGAUGGCGAGAAAAAGGUGAGUUAAUCAUUUGCUAGUAAUGGUUGUUAAACAUCUGCUAUGUCAUUGUCACAUAGCAAAAUAACUAUUUCUGAGGCCUGCCAGUCACCCAGUUUGUGCAUGUGUGGUUGGGAAGAAGGCAACAAAGGAAGAAUAUAGUUAAACAUUUGCUAUGUUAUUCUUACAUAGCAAAAUAACUACUACUGAGGCCUGCCAGUCAGCCAGUCUCUGCAUGUUGGUUGCAAAGAAGGCAACAAAAGAAGAAUGUUUUUUUUUUUUGAAUCUUCAUUCCAUGAUUCACUUUCUUUUCAAUUUUUCUUGUCAACUAGCAUGUACAUUUGCCUUCUUGUUGCCUUUUUCGUUGCGUGAGUCAUUAUGAAUUAUGAUUUAUAUUAUACGGAAAUUGUGAGUGGGCAACUGUUGGGCUAUAAUCAAACAUGCAAAAUUUCGGGUCCCAUGACUAAGCGCUGCUAUCAUCUGGAUUUGUGUGUUGUUGCAUUUUAUAUUUGGUUAACACCCUUCUUAUUAUCCUCCUUUUGAUUGUUUGUUUGUCUUAAUUAGGACAAGGAAGCUAUGAAACUAGAGCAGAUUAAAUCCUCAGUCAAUCUUCCAUUCCACUCAAUUUUUGCAAGAGAUGAACAGUUAAAACCAGUUGAUGUGAUGAAGUCUGAACCAAAUAAGCCUGACAUUCCAUUUCCUUCAUCUUUUGGUAGUGGGCAACAAACGAAACCAAUCAUAGAGGAAUCCAAUAGAGUUACAGUAGUUUCCCAAUCAGAAGAACCCGCUCCGGCUGCUAGGUCUGAUACAGAAGAUAUUAUUACGUUGGAAGAUGAUAUAGAUGAAGAGGAACAAAACCUUGGUAAUUUGGAAACUGCAAGUGCGCCCGGAGAGGACGGUUCUGCAGGGUCUGCUUUGGAAAUGGGUAAACAAGAUGAGACCAUGUCUCUCUCUGAUUUAUCAACUAGUUUCCAGGAGUGCUUCCACUCUGCUAACAACAAUAGAAAACCUGGAAAGCCUGAGAGAUCUGAAGAACCUAGUGGUUUUUUGCAGCUUAAGCCGUUUGACUUCGAAGCAGCUAGGAAACAGAUCGAGUUUGGAGAAGAUGCCAAAGAAAAAUCAGCUGGGGUUGAUGGAAACAAAAGAAAACCAGUGAACUCUGGAGAUAAGAAAAAAGUUUCAGCUGUAGAUCAAGCUCAAAAAGAUGAUGGAACAAAAGAACUGUCACAAGGUAGACGACGUUCUGCUUUUCCUGCAACUGGAAAUCGAAGUGCAACAUUUCGCUGAGUCUCUGGUAUCAAUCAUGCUGCUCUGUGUAGCAGAAAUUAGUUGAAUUUUGGAUUUUCACAAUCAUGUUCUUGAUUUAAAUGGAAAUUAAUGCUGGUGGACAAAUUCGCAAUGGUUGUACGUAUAUUUCCAUUGCUUGAGGUCUUGUCUGAUACAGCAUGAGCUAACCUGAUCAUCUUUUGAUAUUCAGUAACAGGAGAGAUGUAUGGUCUGCAGGAGCCAAUGAUGGGCAAGUGAUACCUGAGGCCGGUGUCUAUUUGAAGGUAAAAUGGGCGAUGGUUCUAGGUUUCAUAUUAGGUUUUUGAUAGUCUUGAGUAAUUGCCCUACUAUCUUCAUAUUUAAAAAACAGGAUGGUUUCAAACCAAAGUGCGGUUUGUAAUCAAAAGCAUUUGAUCUUUUUGUUUUUGUAACUUUACGGGUUUUAUUUUUAGAAAAAUGGUUCUGUACUAUGGUUUAUUUCUGCCUUAUUUGAUAUUGUGGUCAUCUUAGGCUUUAUUUAGUGUAAUUUUUCAGUUAUAUGUUCGUUUGGGAAGAGGAAAUGAAGUUAAUUUUAUUUCACACUUGCAUAAGAAAAAAUUGUAAUGUUUAUAUUAUUUUUGUUAAAAUUAUUAUUUAAAAAUUAUAUUUGAUAUCUAUUAAUAAUUUUUAUUAUAAUUAUAAUUUUCUUUUUCCUCCAUCAUCUCAAUUGCUUAUAACUGCUGUUGAGGAUGGUUGGUGCGAUGUUAAUAAUUUGUAAAGGGCUUAGUAACAUCUGGUUCCGUGAUGUCGGCCAAACCAUAUCGAAGGGCUUAAUUUGACGGUCAUCGGGGCCUCCUGCCCAGCUGCCCUCCUUUACGGAUUCCGCUUCCGCAAAUUAUUUUAUAUAAACUGUUGUUACAUGAUAGUGGUGGCCGGAUGAAAAUACUACAUGACCAUAUAAUGCUUUCGGUGCAAUGAGUGAAAAAGAGAAAUUUUUAUGUAUUCUCGGAUUGAAGGAGAAAUUUUAAGAUUAAGAUUGUGGAGUGGUAGCAGGAGUAAAUUAUUUACUUACAUCACUAUGAGAGUGUGGAACGAAAAUUAGAAAUUAUGUAUUUUCUUUGUCUUAGAUUGAGAGUGAAUCAUUUUAAAUUAUAAUUUUAUCCUUAUUUAAAGAAUUGUAGUUUUUAAUUAUAAAGUAAAUAAAAAAAUAUAUUUGCACAAUAAAUUAUUUAUUUUGUUAUUAAUUUUAAUUAUAUAAAUUAAUAAUAAUUAUUAUUAUUCUUAAUCAUGUGAAUCAUGAUUUUUUUGUUAAUUUUNNNNNCGUACAGCAGAAAUAAAUAUGAUAUUUUUAUUUUUAAAUAAAUGUGAUAUUAUUUUUAUUUUUAUCAAUAUAAUUAUAUUAUAUUCAAUAAGGAAAUGAUAAAAAGAAAGAAGUGGGAGUAGAUUUCUACUUUUUAUUCAAAAACAAAAAUGAGACCCACAGAGUAGAAGCCUAACUCUCCUCCUUAGAUGAGUACUAAAACGUUUAAGUAGGAGAAAUUCAUAUUUUUGACUCCCACUCUACAAAGUAAACAUAAUAAUAAUAUCAUAAUAACAUUUGAUAAUUCUAUAUAUUUGUGACGUCAUAUCUCAUCAAUUGAUUAAUAAAAUUAAAUGGUGAUUAUUUAUGAAAGAACAAAAUUAAUUCAUGUGAGUUAUGGUUAAUAAAUAAAUAAAAUAUAAAAUGUUAAAUUUUGACUAUAAACUAAUUUCAAUAUCUAAUAAUUUAAAAGCUCAAUAGAGCUAUGAUAAAAACUAAAGGGAGGAUUCUUAAUCCGAUCCGGGAUCUUAAUCAGUUCAGGACCGAUCCACUUCCAGCUAUUACGCGUCAAACAUCCAUUUGACGAUUGACGUGUCACGCCAUCUCACUGUCCUCACAAGAAAACCCGUUACCUUCAAAAUGCUCCAAACCCAUCAACGCCGAAUUCAAAUCAAGCCCCAAGACCAAAUACAAAGCAAAAACAAAUAAACAAACGUCUGUUCAUUCAGUCUGAAAAAAUCAAAAGAAGUAAAAGGAUUGGCGAUGGCGAUGGCGGUUGAAGGAGGAGGGACAUUAUCGGAGAUAUAUCAAAGUGCGAAGAAGUUGCUGUUGAGAGCGAGAGACGGAGUUGAGAAACUGGAGAGACUGGAGAGCUCGACGUCGACUGGGGGAUACGAUUCGCCGGAGCUCUCCUUCGCUGUCAAGAAAGAUAUUUCUCAGAUCCAGUCACUCUGCGUCGAGAUGGAUCGCCUAUGGCGCUCCAUCGCCGACAAGUCUCAGCGCGAUCUCUGGAAGAGGUACCUAUUCAUUUACUGUUUUGCCACGUGGCACCGAAUCAACCUUGUGUCGUGUCCUAAUUGCUCUACGCCAGUUCGGUUGCAAUUCUGUGCAUGAACCGCAAUUUUUAUACUGAAUAUUACAUUAUUGAUUUUGUCUGAGCGACAAGGCAUGCUUCCACGUUUACUUGUUGCUUAGUUUUAUUGUUUUGCCUUCUAUGUUAACAGUCUAUAUAAGUUUUAUAUGUGUUACAGGCAUGUGUAUAUAUGGAAGUACAUUAAUAGCUGUUCAUGCUGUUGCUUGCUUGAGGUCGUUGGUAUAUUUGCAUUUGGAACUAAAUGUGCUUGGUGUGGGUUCGCUAUGUGUGUGUGUGUGUGUGUGUUUGUUUGCGUUUGAUGUUAAAUGGAAUUACCUUCUAUCGAGUCAGUGCCGCAAUUUGAUUGCUUGGUUUUUCAGAGGUGUGUUUUUAUGUUAUGUCAUGCAGAAAAGUUGAACAAGUAGCAGAAGAGGCUGAAUCAUUGAAAGAGAGUCUCGAUAAGUACUUUUUAAGAAAUCAGAGACGGAUAAAUGAAGCUAGAGAGAGGGCGGAAUUGCUUGGAAGAGCUGUAUGUUUAUUCAGUUUUCGUUAGAAGUUUUGAACGGAUUCUGUAGUGUUUUUCUUGUCUGGAAACGAGAAUUAGCUUUCCAAUCUGAUGAAUUUCUUUUAUGUUAUAGAAUGGAGAGUCGUCUCAUAUUUUGAGAAUUUUUGACGAGGAGGCGCAAGCAAUGCAGUCAGUACGCAAUUCAUCGAGGAUGUUGCAAGAAUCGUUUGCAACUGGGACAGCCAUUCUUGCCAAAUAUGCAGAACAAAGGGAGCAUCUAAAGGUAUUGACACUUAAGCUCCUUGUUUACAUGCACAGUUGCACACUAGAAAUUUUUGCCAAGCUCACUCAAACUGUGUGCAAACAAAGUUCACUAAACAGGGUCAAAUGAGAAAUUUACAUUCUUGUCAUGGUUGUAUUCUUAACAUGAUUAAAUAUUUAAAUGAGAACAAUGUUAGAUCCUCAAAGCAAUUAUCUUUAAUAUUGAUUUAUACUACUGCUAUAGAAAUUAUAAGUGUUUGCAGCACCUGCACAAAUGGCUGCAGAGAAUUUAGUCUGUCUAUGGUAAUAAUUUUAAAAGCUGGUAACUCCAAAUAUUCAACAGUGGCUGACAAAAACAAUCCUCAAGUUUUAAAGUAAAAGCAAACUUUGCUUUGAAAUAAUCAGUGACAACAAUGACGUGAAAGUGUCACCAACUGUUUAUAUAUAAUAUCUCCAAUAUUCCAGAAUUUAGUUUCAUAAUGGCUGGCAAAGACUUGGUUUUUUUAAGGUUUAAAGUAAAAACGAUCUCUGCUUUGAAAUGUUCAGUGGCAACAGUGAUGUAAAAUGAUCAGCAACUGUUCAUAUCUAGUAUCUCCAAUGUUUAGAAUUUUGUUUAAAAGAUCCGUUCCAUCCAUAAAAAAAUUUCAUUCUGAAUAAGCAACUCAAGAUUACACUUCGCAAGAACACACCAUCUACCAUUUCUCACAAAUUUAAAUGUCACAACCUAUGAUCCAUUACCAAUUGUGAGAAACGGCAGAUUAUUUGUUCUAAUGAAGUGUAAUUUGAGUUGCUUAUUUAAAAUGAAAUUCUUUUAUGGGUAGAAGGGAACUUCUAAACGAAGUUCUAGGAAUCAAAUUAGCUGUUUAGAUUUGAAUAGUUGGUGAUGCUUUGAUGUCACUGUUGCCACUGAUUCUUCUCGAAAAGAAACAGAUUUUUAAAUGGUAUUAUAGAGGUCACAGAAAAAAAAUAGUCAUGCUAUCAUUGAUAGCACUUGCCACUGAUGUUGAUAAUGAGUUUAACUGAUUAACUUCCAUCUUUGGUUCAGAAAGCACAAAGGAAAGCUCUGGAUGUUCUCAACACUGUGGGUCUGUCCAAUUCAGUAUUGAGGCUCAUUGAGAGGAGGAACCGUGUCGAUACAUGGAUCAAAUACGUAGGAAUGGUUUCUACAGUGGUCAUCUUAUAUUUCUUCUGGAGGUGGACUAGGUGAUCCGAUCUUCAUACUUAGCCACGCAUAGAUCAUUAAUCCGCAUACUUUGGAAUGAUUAAGUUUUGUUCUUGAUAUUUGCCCCAUAAGAGGGUUAAUGAGGAUGUACAAGGCAUUCUUUGAUGAGAGACUAUCCUCUUAUGAGGAUGUAUAAAGCAUUCUUUGUUAAGAGACUAACUCGUAUAGGACGGACUCCCAAAGAAGGUUCUUUGCAAUUCUUGAACAUUUAGAGCGAAGUUGACGAAACGUGCUAGUUGUUUUUGUAUUUUGGCAAAAGGGGAAUUACAGAGUUCGAAGAUUCUAAGAAAUGCGCCAAUUUUGUUUUGUUGUCAGAACGCAAAAACGGCCUGAUUGUGGACGGUUAAAUCCGGAAUUAUGUAGUGGAUUUGCAGUUAUUGAAGGGCAUGCUUGGGAAAAUAAUAUGGUCAAAUAAAAUCAAGAACAAUUAUAUUGUAUCUGCUGUUUAUGCGUCCGUACUUGAAGGUGUCCACGUGGCUGGUGUGUGUUUGUUAAACCAGUAAAAUUAAGUAGUGCGAAGUUCUGAUCGCCGCUCAUUGAUUGUUUUUUUUUUUAACUUUAAAUAAACUAUGAGAAAAGGCUUUGAAUGAGUCGCAGAUAAAUUAAAGUUUUUUUUUUCUUCUUCUAAAUUUAUAUCCAAUGGUUCGGCACAUGUUAUUUUCUUUAUUUUUAGUGCACACGGUAAACUAUUGAUAGUAUUUGGUGUAAACUCACUUUCAAAUCGAUGCUUCACGAAAAGUCCAAAUGACGCGCUAUGAAAGUAAUAUAGAUAACUAGGAUAAGUGGAAAUGAUAAACGAAUAAAAUGAAGUAAAAAGAAUUUUUCAUUUUUAAGGGUUACAAAAUAAGAAUAGUUAAUUACUUAAUUAGUUGACUUGCUAAAAAUUUUUCAUGCAAACAAAUGGUCUGGACUGGAAUCCGUUUAAAUGGAUAGGAAGAAAAUUAGAGUGUCGUAAAAGUACUGGAGUUUCAAAUCCCCUCACGUAGUCACAAGGAUUAGAAGAAAAUUGAAUUGUUAGGCAAAAUGAAAAAAAAGAAAAAAGCUUAACAUUUUUAUUUUCUAAAAAAAUGUUUUUCUUAGUUGUUUUGUUUUUUAAUUUUAAAUAUAUUUAAAAUUUUGAAAUUAAUAAAUGACUUUGAAAACUUGAGUGUGCUCGAGCCUCGAGAUCUACUCAAAUUCUUUUACAUUAUUACAUUAUGAAAAAUUGUAUGAUGUCGUGAUUAAACUAUUGUAUCAAUACUAUGAUAAACAUAAAUUUUAGAAAUUAUAUAUAAGACUAGUAAGUGAAAUGUAAAAUAAAUUAAUUAAUAUAAGAGUGGUAAAUAAUGUUUUAAAAUUAUAAACAAAACAAACACUUAUAAAAAUAACAUAAAAAUUAUAAAUCAACAUUAAAUUUUAAUGUAAAAAUAGUUUAUUUAUUUAAUUUAUUCAAGCAAAGAAAAACUUUACUCAUCAAUUGAAAACAAAAAUUUUGUAUUGAAAACAAUGGGAAUAAGUUUUAUUAAUUGAUUUAACCAUGAAUUUUAUAUUCAUGUCAGGAUAUUUAUAAACUGUUUUUUUUUUUCAUUUUCUAUCAUAGUAUUUGUUUACUAUACAAGUUGAUUAAGUAAACUUAUUAUUAUUAUUAGUAUUAUUAUUAUUAUUUAUGUGGAUCAAGCCAAAACAAAAUAAAAAUACAUUUGAAUAUUACUAGACAUAUAUGGAAUAUUAAUACAAUUGAAUCUAACUUUCAGUUUUAUACAUAAUUCAUCUAGUUUCAAAUUUUACUUCUUAUACUAAAAGAUCAUUUGAGGUUGCUAUCGAGGAGGUUUAAAAUGAUGCAAAAUCACUUAUAUCACAAAUAAAAUAUGAAAAAAAAUUUCUAAAAUUUGAUUUUGAGAGUAAGUUUUAUCCUUAAUAAAAUUCCACAUAUAUUAUCACGUCUAUUACAUAACCACAGAAUUAUCAUUAUUUGAUUUAGAAAUAAAAAUAGUAAAUAUAUAAUGUAAUCAUUAUUAUAGUGAGUUUUUAUUUAUUUUUUCAAUAACUCUUAUAAUAUUUACUUAUUUUACAUUCAUUUACAACUCUUCUAUUUUACUUUUAUAAUUUAUAUGUUAUUUUACACUUAAUGUUGAUGUACAAGUUUUAUAUCACAUUUGUAAACAAGUUUUACUUUAUAUUUACAUGUAUUAUGUUUUAUUUACUUAAUUCAUGUUUUAUUUUAUACUUAAUGUUGAUUUACAAGUUUUAUAUUAUAUUGAUAUAAGUUUUUAUUUUAUUUACUAAUGAUAUAUCAACUUACCACUGUUAAUUUACUUAUUUUACCUUCAAUUUGCAAGUCUUGUGUUUCAUUUACAUAAUUUAUUAUGUUUUAUUUUACGUUUAAUGUUGAUUUACAAGUUUUAUGUUAAAUUUACACCUCUUAUAUUUUAUUUACACAAUUUAUGUUCAAUUAUAGUAUAUUAUAGAAUGACUCAUUUGACAUUACAAUACAAAAUUAUAAACAUAAAUAGAUGUAUCAAAAAGUCUUGUCGAAAAAUGAAUCCACCUUAAUACGGACCUGUCUCAUUGUUUUAUAAUUAAAGUUGCACACUCUUACAAUGAACUUGAAGAAAUUGAAUUCUCAACAUCAAUAAUGAGGUGUCUAUUACUAAUAAUAGUUUAUAAAAAAAAUAAAAAAAAUAAAGAAAUAUGAUUAAAUUGAUCAAUGUAAUUUUAUUAAAAAAAAGAAGCAUUUUUAUUACAAAAGCAAUCUCAAAAUAUAUAUUUUUUGUAGUUACAAAAAAUCAUGACCUAGUGGCGACCUAGUGGCGACCUGGUGGGCGUAUAUACAAAAAUCAUAAUAUUUUUAUACUGAUUACAUAAAUUCGGUGAUCACAGACCACAGUAAAACCCUGAAACCGCCCAACGGGGUUCUUUACCAGAGGAAAAAAGGGAGGAAAGAAAAUGACUUUUUAAUAUAACGGCACGGGUUUAAGCCAAAAACGGUGGAAUCAAAUCAUUGACACGUUCGUGCGAUGCCUUCACUCCUCAGGCAAACCAGACUCCCGCAUGUGAAUGCCACGUGAACGUAGCUUCUUCACAUAAUUUUUACCCCAAUGUCCAAAUUACCCCUUAUCUUUUACUCCUUUUUUUUUCUUUUUAACUUUGCCCGAUUUUGAAGUCUAUUACGUAUUGCGGACUGCUGCCCUCGCUUGACGUGUUUUUUCUCCUUUUUUUUUUUUUUCCCUCUCCAAACUAUUCUUUUCAAUUUUAACUAAAUAAUUUUUUUUUUUAUUACGAACAUCAACUUAAAAUUUAGGUUAGUUAGACACUUCCCCACUUCAUCCUUAAAGUCAAGUAUUCAUAUCUAUCUGUCUAUGGUGAAUAAUUUUUUUUAUUUUUUAAACUACGAACAAGUUAUCUUUUUUUUUUUUCUUUUCCAAUAUCACUAUUUAUCCACUUUUAGUUUAAUUCUUUCUGCCUAAGAUGAUCAAUUUAAAUUAAAAAUGGGAUUUUGAAAUUAUUUACUAAAAAUCAUGAUUGUUCUUUUGACGUAUUUGAAUAAAGUUUAUUUGGAAAAAUUAAUGUAAAAAAAAAAAAUGUUGGAAGAUUACGACAAUGGAAAUGUAGUCUCUGGUGAAAUGCUCUGAUUCAAUCAAUCAUCAGCAAAUGCGGUUCGCACGUUGGCAAUGGAACUCGUGAUAGCACAACCGUGAAAUGUCCUUCAUUUGGGAGUCCACGUUAAUCACAUGUGGGUCCAUCUUGAGUGCUUUUGUGCUUUACAAUUAAAAUAGACAGACAGGCUGAUGACCUGACAAUUUCGAGCCUGAUAAAGCCCCUUCAUCAACUUGAUCAGAAGGACAGGACAGCUAUUAAUAGAAAAAAGCAGCAGACUAGUACUAAUCGAGAAGUCAAACAGAUAAAAACUAAAACUAAAUAAUCUAAUCUCCUCCUAAUUCACUAAAUUAUUUUAUUUCUAUUGGUAUAAUUAAUUAAUUGAUUGAUUAAUCAAACAUGCCUUCACAAUUAAAUAGUUUCAACAGUGUAAGUUGAACCACGUGUCAAGCAAAAGCAACCAUCAUUUAUUAUAAUUUUUUUUUAUUUUUUUCGAAAAAGGAAAAAUCAAAAAACAAGGCAAGUUGAUGCCAACAGGAUCUGAUCCGGAAGGGUAACCGAGUCAUUUCGCCGUCAUGCAUGCCUCAAUCCGGAUUGCCUGCCCGCCCCCACGUUGGAAAACCAGGGACGCAUCGAUAAGCAGUUUCAACACCCAAAACACAAACUUGGGGGCGGGAAUUGCAAAACGAAAUAACAGCUUUUGCUUUUGCUUUAAUUUUUUUCCGUUUGUUUUCUUAAAAAGAAAGAAAAAAAAAAAUACUCCCAGUUCCACAAUAGAGCCCCUGGUUUUGCCUAUUUCUUUAAUCCUUUUACGCAGACUCAUGAUAAAUAUCUCCAUCUAUCAGUCAGUCCAUACGGUUUCCUUUCAUCACCAACCCCACCAACGAAAACAAAAAAAACAAAACAAACCCCCUCUUCAGAAAUAUAAUUAUAAUUUUCUUUUUCUAUUGAAUUAAGCUUGUUGGGUAUAAUUUGCUAAUUAAUCAAAGAUCGAUCUAUGACGACGGAAGCGGUCAGCAAGGUUGGAUAUGCGCAUAGUAAGGUUGCUAUGAAGAAGAAGAGCGGUUAUCGAGGUCGAUGCAGGAGAAGAAAUCACGACAGAUAUGCACCCGAUAAUAAAACGGUGCCGAUGGCGCUGCAGCGUCUGUUUCUUUCUUGCAAAGACGUCUUCAGAGGCCCUGGAACCGUUCCCGCUCCUUCUCAUGUCCAAAUGUUGUGCUCUAUUCUUGGUAAGUGUUUUUUUUCUUACACUUCAUCAUUUCUGGUCCAAUUUUCUUGUUUUUCAUUUGGCCGCUGCACUCGCAUGACGUGUAUGUUGUGAAAUCUGAACCCAUCAUCAUCCUUCAUCCAUGCACAUAUAUAUUAUCAGUCAUGAGAAAUUUUGAAUCAGCCAUUAAAAAAAGAAAAAAAAAAAGAAAAGGAAAGAUUCAAUAUUAUCAAAUCAAUACCAUUUUGUUUCAUGAGAUGAUCUAUGAAAGAUGGGAAAGGAGCACUGCUCCUUAUUUCAUUUCCUGUCACGUCUGUGUUUCAAUCAAUUGUAAUAAUACAUAUAGCCACGUAAAAAGCAAGGGGCAAUACUCUUUACAGCACGAAAACCUUCUCAAAAAAGGGGCUUUACUUUAUUGGCAGUAAUGAAUUGUUUUGAGCAAUUCAAUUCAUCAGUGCACUUAUCAUGUUUACGUAGUUUGUCAAUUUGGUUCCAGUUUUUGGUUCUUUUUAUUGGAUUCAGUGCCGAAAUGUCAUGUGUGUUCAUAGGACGUACUGGGAAAAGGAUUAGAAAUCUGUACUGAAUUUUUUUAAAUUUUGGGGGGGGGUUUUUUUUUGGGGUGGAUGGGGUUAUGGAUCUAAGUGGAUGGUACCAAUUUUCAAAAAUGUAGUUUAAUUAACUUUCCAGUUGAAAUUACAAAACCAAACCAUCCGAAAUGGAUUCUUCGAGAAAAGGUGGGUUCAGAAAACAAAGUGGUUGCUUCUAGGUGAAUCCAGAUUUUUUUCACGCGGACACAUGGUACCUUUUGGUUGAUUACCCAGCCACAGUGUUGCUUGAGGGGACAAAAAUAUCAUAUUUGUUUUUUUUUUUUUUUCCAAAUUCCUUUUUAAUUCGUAACUCAAUCUCAUGGGAUCCUACUCAGCAGCCAUUGUGAUUAUUUUUUUUACCUGACGACGCAAAAAUCUUUGCAUUAGAAAGGAUACAUAAGCACAUUUGCCUACUGUUGCUACGUGUACAUGUGCAAUGGUUUGGUUGCAAAACUGGAAGCAUUGGCACAUUAUAUAUAUGUGUGUUUUUUUUUUUUUAAUAUGUAUAAAUGCAUGGAUCAUGACACUUGGCUAAGUUAAAAUUUCCAUUUUCUCGUUAUCAUAAAGAUUGCCAGUGACUCAAACAAGCUUUUCUUUUUAAAUUUAUGAUGCUACAGAUGAAAUGAAGCCAGAGGAUGUUGGGCUUAGCAGUAAGUUACAGUUACUUAGUGCCAAAGAUGCAAUGAAAGGGACGCCAAUUGUCACAUCCACUACAAUAUACAAAUGCCAGAACUUUUCGGUAAAGACAUAAGCUAUUCAUAUUGGGCUAAAUUAAAUUCUUUUAUUAUCGUAUACUAAUUUGUAAACCAUACUAAUUAAUAGUGCAAAUUUGAUUUAGAACUUGAUAGAUUACCUUUUGGAUUCUCUUUUGUGCAGUUGUGUCUUUUCUUUCUUCCUCCAACUGCUGUGAUCCCCUUGCACAACCAUCCGGGAAUGACUGUUUUUAGCAAGCUUUUGCUCGGGACAAUGCACAUAAAAUCGUACGAUUGGGUCGAUCCUGUUGACGCAAACGAUUCUGCAGCCCCCACAAAACGUGAGUACCGCUUACCUUAUACAUAUAUGUCCAUGUAUAAUGCACACACGAACACACACACACACACACUCACAUAUCAAAACAACACGAUAACUUGAAUGUGCUAGCUCGGACUAGGAUGAUCAUUUGUGACUGAAAGUGAUGAUUUAAUUAAUUUGCAGCGCGAUUGGCGAAGUUGAUAGCCGACAGUGAUUUCACAGCACCUUGCAACACUUCUGUGCUAUAUCCAACAACAGGAGGCAAUAUCCAUGAAUUCACAGCCAUUACGACAUGUGCCGUGCUCGAUGUGCUUGGACCUCCCUACUCUAAGGACGAUGGUCGGGACUGCUCAUAUUACAAGGAGUUGCCACUUCCCGCGGUUCCAAGUAAGCGAAACAAAACCACUUGUUACUGAUUAAAAACAACCUCGUUUAAACCUCCUCGAGUAGCGCUUUCAGAGGUCUUACCAAUUAAACCCACCGAUUUUGUUAAUGCAGAUGGAGAGAAUCAGGAGGCAAAAGAGGAUGAUGGUGGUGAGAGUUGUAGGUGGUUGGAAGAGAUUGGGGUGCCAGAGAACUCACACAUGGAUGAAAUUGAGUACUUGGGACCGCAGAUAAUUGAGUAGUAGCUGUAACUAGCUUCAGCCCACAGUCGCGUGAUAAAAAAAAAUUUCAACGCAUUAUCUUCUUUUGUUUCAUAGCUAGUCAAUGGUUUUGUAUUUAUAUAUACACAUAUAUUACGUUGUUUCCUGACCUGAGUUUUCACUAUGUUAAUAGCAAAAUUUCAUUUCUUUUUCUUUUUUCUCUUUAAUCCCGGUAUCUUCUUUAAUAACUUGAUUACUUGAGUACACUGUACCAUUGAAAUCAUGGUUCAUGCCAUAGUUCCCUUAGAGGAAGGUCCAAACCCGGCUUAGGAGAAAUGGAGGUUUGGGCUGUCGAGGGCCUUGGUGUUGCUAUGUUCCCAAGAGAUGUUUACUUGGGCUGUCGAGCGCGCCGAGAAGUGCUUAAUAUUACAUCAAUGGGCCGGGCUUGUAACCGACUACUACACAUUCCCAUGGCGGCAAUCCUGAUCAGUAAUUAACUUGGGAUUUUGCAUUCAAUGAUUGCCACAAUAAUAUCAGCAAACUUUUCAGAAGAACCUUAAUUGAUAAUUGUCAUUUUGCAAUCAUAGGUUAGUUGAUGGAUAUACCAUGGGCCCUGAAAAUUAAUUAAAAUAUCAAACAUUGUAUGCUCCUAGGUUGGAAAUUUUUCAAAAUUUUCAAUAGAAAAAUAACCUCAAAAUCAAUAUUUUACAUGUGAAGAUCUGUUUCAUUAACAAGCGCGAUGGGCCAAACGGAGGGAGCCAGGAAUUUUAAGCUGUUCAUAUUUGACGCCCUAAUUUGGGAUUUGCUAAUACGGAAAAACUUUGAGCUGCUCACUAAUUUAUAUCUUGACUUCGAGAAUCUGCGCAAUUACUAAUUAGUAGCCAUCAAUAAUUGUCAAAAAUCAAUUUUGAAUUUCGAUAUUUUUGAAUGCAUUGGUGUUACGUGUUUCUCCAUACGCGUUAGUAAAUUUGAGAUGGUGUAAAUUUGUAAUAAACUAAUAAUAUCUUCUUUUUUUUAUAAUUUGAAAAUCAACCCAAUCUGAUUCUCUAAAUUAACAAGAUCAAAUUGACUAUCCAAUGUUCAUUCACUAGGAAAGUCCUAAAGGUCCCUCUAAACUAGAAAGUUACUCAAAUCUAUGGCCAAAAUAAAGUCUUCUUAUAAUUAAAGAAACAACCCAUCUUUUUUUAAGAUCUUCUGACAAUGAAUUUUCAAUUAUGAUGGGGUUUGAAGUUUUGAAAUUUUCUAAGAAUUAUUAACAACUGAAAAGAGAAAGCAAAAGAAAAAGGACGAUGUGAUAUGGCAUGGGACAUGGACUUCCCACCACCUUUACAUUGCCAUCAUGCAAAAAAAAAGCUCUCAAUUUUAUGCUUAGCUUGUUCUUGUUUUCUUUCUUUUAUCACUUCUUUAUUACGUGGGUCUUGAAUUCUCAAUAGUUUCUAAUUGUUAAAAAACUCCAUGAAAAUUGCUUUCCCUAUUGUAAUACCUCCAUUAAGGAGAAUGAAGGGUUAAAAAUGUACCGACAGAUACUGGAAAAUUAUUGAAUGAAGUAAUCAACAUGAUUGUUCACUGACAAUAUUAUAUUCGGAAUAAUGAUAGCUGGUUGUUUUGGAUUGUUUUAGAUGUUGUAUUAGCCAAUUAGGCAUAUUGGUAUAUAUUAUUAUUAUAUGAAAUACUAUUGCCUUUUUUAUUAGCAAAAGACUUUCGGUUAAGAUUUUGCUUAAUUACACGAUUGCAUCGUGAUUGUUUUUAAGCUUCAUCAUUCAAUUCCAAAACUUAACGUAACAAAAGAUCUUACUAACAAUACUAUUUUAAUACCCAUUUUUUUCCCAGUCACGUGAGUGUAUAUGAUCUCCAUAUCUUUGGUACUAUAUCUAAAAAAUUUUUCCAAUCAAAUUAAUUAACACCCGCAGCUACAUUUAAGCAAAUUGUUCUAAGCCGCUAGGGUUUAAUCUAGUAGUUAAAACACAACCCUUACAAUUGUGAGAUUAUGCGUUCGAACCCUCACAACAAUACAUUGUGGGGGUUUAAUUUUCUUCUCUAAUUUGAGUGAAAGCAGUCUCAUAAAAAUAUGGAUUGUGCUUGUCCCAAAAUUAUUUAAUUAUAAAUAUCAGUAUACUAAUCUCAUAAAAUAUAAGUAAAUACGAGUUGGAAUAUGAUCAAUAAUGUCAUAUAAUUUUUUUUAUUUAAAAAAAAAAAAGCAAAGUGCUAUGCAAUCCACUUGAUAUUACGACAAUAACUGGCACACUAAUGAACAACUAGUAAAUUCAUUUUAAAAGAAAUAACACCCCAAAUCAUUAAUAUUUAAAAAGAAUCAUUUGAAAAAAUCUUAAAAAGUGUUCGGCAAUCCACUUGUCAUUGUAACAAUCACUCACACGCCACUGAUCAACUUUAGUUUCAUUCAGUAUGCCGAGAAAUAGAAUUUAAAAAUAACAACACCUCAAAAUCAUACAUAUUUGAGAAGAAUCACAUGAAAAUUGAGCAGGUCAAAUAGUUGUGUAUAGAACAAAUUUUUUCAUGAGACAGGCUGGAUAGCAAGAAAUGGAAGCCAACUGUGAGUUUCGGUCUUUCAUAGAAUUUGGCCUAACGUUGUCACAUUCACUAUUCACGUACCCAUAUUAUCAUCAUCCCAGUGGGCACUGGCACUGCUGAGUGCUGACCCAAUAGAACAAAAUAAUAAUAAUAAUAAUAAUUCCCACUUGCUCAAUAUUUUAUUCUUUUCAUUUUAAUUGUCAUUUUCCCAAGUAAAUAAAAACCUUUUAUGCAAUUAAUUCUGCUUGUCGGGUGGAUGAGGUGGUUCAUCACGUUCAAAUGUUCAAUCAAUGACAAUUUUAUCGCAAAUUCCAUUGCUUAUAAUUGUUGUAACCAAACAAAUCCCUGGUGCCUGCACUAACACCUUAGCUUCAUUUUCAAUUAAGGCGGUUUUCAACAACUUAUUAACUUUAUUUUUAAAGAAAAAGAAAUCCCAAGUGUUUUUCUCACUAAUUGAUUGCUUAAAAAUACUUAAGAAAAUUACCCACAAAUAAAUUAACGAUAAACAUUUAGUACUAGCUUAUGAUUUUUUUGGGGGGGGGGGGGUUUCUAAUAAAAUUUGGAUUAUUUGGGUUUUAUAUUUGAGAAAAGUUAAGUUACGACGAUCGAUAAUUAUAUACCCUUAAAUAAUUAUUAUCUAAUUUGGAUAUUUUUAUAUCUUAAUGAGUUCGUGUUGAUUUGCCAAUCUUACAAGUCUUUAUUUUACAAAAUAUAGAUAUUUAGAUUGAAAAAAACAUAUAUAUAUAUGUAUGACAGUAUGAGUAGUGUAUAUGUUACAAGAUAUUUUAAAAUUUAAUACUUUAGUUGAGAAAUGCCAUCACCCUCAACUACUCGGUUACAAGAAUAUUAUUGCGUUAUUUAAUAUUCUGUUAUCGAUUGCUUUAUUAGGAAGAAAUAAUGAAAAAUGGGACAUCCAUUGCUAAAGUACAACACAACAUUGUUGACAAGUGAGUCCCCCUUGAAGUGACAACUAUUUUUUUUCUUCCUUAAUAAAGGACGAGCUAUGUGUAUGUGGUUUUGCCGUGCAACCCAAGUUUCAAUGUCUGUAUCAUUUAUAGGGGGAAACCUUAGGUGCAACCCACACACGCCACUCGGCUUUUGGCAGCCUGGUUGAGAGGGCAGCAGUUAUUUUUGUGGGGGCUAAAACAUUCAUUCUUUUUUUCUUUUGUAAUUUUUCAUCUGUGAGGAUUAUUUGUCAAUAUAGAAAUUUGAUACUGUAAUCAAUAUUAAAAAAAAAAAAAAAAGUACCCACACAUACACACAUAUAUCUAAGAAAAUAAAUGAUGAAUACUAUGUAAGAGAAAAUUUGGUAGUUACAGGGUGAACACUUUCUUAUCAAAAUAAUAAUAAUAUAAUAAAUUAGAGACCCUCCUGAAUAUUUCCAACAUGCUUCUCAAAUUGCAUGAGUGUUGGAUUCAUCAACUUAUUAUUAUUAUUAUUAUUAUUAUUAUUAUUAUUUUAUCAUCAAUUGAUGUGCAAAAGGGUGAUGUUAUCAGUUAUCACGGCCUCCUGAGAAAAAAAAAAACUUUAAAUUCAACGUGAAAUGAAAAAUGUAAGGAAUCAAAUCGAAUUGUCAAAAUGAAAUGAGAGGCGAACAAUUUAACUGUUCAGAAAAGAAGCAAAGGCGCCAAAAGCAACGGACGGAACAUAAAAGUGGGUCCCACGUUUCAAAGGGACAAAACCAGAGAAAGCCAAAGCCCACCCCGCAACGAAAGUGAUGCCAAAGCUUACAAUUUGUAUUACCUUAAAAAUUCUGUUCGGUUCAUUUAAAUUUUAUUAUAAAAUCAUUUUCAAAAUUCCAAAUUUUAUAACCAAAAAAUUCGCUGCAUGCAGCGAGAAAGCAGCAAGUGAAGAAUAAAGGGUUCCCCCCGUCAGCAAGAAUCUUUUCUUUUUUUUUUUCGCUUUUUUUUUUCCCUUUGUUUUUUAAGAAAGCAAAAAUUAAGAGAGCAUUAGUUUUGCUGUCAUGAUAAGUAUGGUGUUCAAGAGAGUGUCGGCUAGUGGGAAGUGUUUUGUCAUUCAGUCAUUGUGUUUGCAAUUUUCUUAUGAACCCGUGUCAAUAAAAUGUCUUGGCUUGUGAACAGAAACUGAAAUUGAGCUUCUUUGUGUGUCAGUGAGAUUUACAGUGUCUGUGCAUUGAAUGUAUGGUUGCUAAAUUUUUGCUUUUUUCUUCUUCUUCUUUUCUUUUUUCCCCCCGAAGUGGAUAGUCAAGAAAUAUGAAGAGAUUAUGACUUGAGAUUUUUUUUUAUUUUAUUUGAAGUGAUGAUCUGAAUUAACUGGGCUUUGGUUUCUAUGGUAGAAGUUUUGUUCUAUUUUGUGAGGGGAUUUCUUCAUGAGUUAGGCAAGGAAUUAAUUCGUUUUGAAGUUAGAAUUUAUGUGUUCAAAGUUAGUUUCAAGUGACCUUUCUAAAGUCUUUAAGGUAUAUUGUUGGAAAUUAGCUGGCUUUUUUGUUCAAUCAGUCUCUCAAGAGGUAAGCUCCUUAUGAUCCUUUAGAAGUUUUUAGUUAUGAUAAUGUCGAUUGAUAAAUUAUCUGUAAUUUGUAUAAUAUUUGCAGAGUUUCUGUUGAUCUUGGGAGCUGGCGCUUCUGUAAUUGAGAAGCUAGAGGCAUCACUCUGUUAUCCCAGCGGAUUUUUAAAAGCUCUAGAAUCCCUUUGUGAUUUUCUCUAGUGUUCCUUUUUGUAUGCAUUGAUGGCAAGAGCAUCCAGAUUCAGUCAGUGUGCACUUCUGGUGCUUGCUUACAUUUUGCUUCAGGUCAAUCAUUCGGAGCAACUGCAGUCUUCUCAGGCUCAGACCCUUUUGAGGAUUCAAGGGCUUUUAAACAAUCCAACUGUUUUAAGCAGCUGGAAUAUCACCACUGAGUUCUGCAAUACAGAACCAACCUCGUCUUUAACUGUAGUAUGCUACGAAGAGAGCAUAACCCAGCUGCAUAUAGUCGGCAACAAGAGAGCUCCUACGUUGCCUCUAAGCUUUUCCAUGGAUUCCUUUGUGACGACUCUUGUUAAGCUUCCGGACUUGAAAGUCCUCAGGCUGGUUUCUCUAGGUCUAUGGGGUCCCUUGUCUGGUAAAAUUUCACGUUUAUCGUCACUGGAAAUACUUAAUAUGAGCUCAAAUUUCCUGAAUGGUUCUGUACCUCAGGAGCUUUCAAUUUUAACUAGCCUUCAAACACUCAUACUUGAUGAAAACAUGCUUGCUGGUCGGGUUCCAGAUUGGUUGGGUUCAUUACCGAUUUUGGCUGUUUUGAGCUUGAGGAAUAAUAUGUUCAAUGGGACUUUGCCUGAUUCGUUUAGUUACUUGGAGAAUCUUAGAGUUCUUGCGCUUUCAAACAAUCACUUUUACGGAGAAGUUCCUGACUUCAGUGGUUUGACUUACCUUCAAGUACUUGACUUGGAAAAUAAUGCUUUGGGACCUCAGUUUCCUAAAGUUGGCAAAAAGUUGGUUACAAUGAUACUGAGCAAAAACAAGUUCAGGUCUGCCAUUCCUGCUGAAGUGAGUUCCUAUUAUCAGCUUCAGCGGCUAGAUCUCUCAUCUAAUAGAUUUGUUGGACCAUUCCCUCAAGCACUUUUAUCCUUACCUUCUAUUACUUAUUUGAAUAUUGCUGAUAACAAACUCACGGGGAAGCUUUUCGAUGAUCUUUCUUGCAAUCCCGAACUUGGAUUUGUGGACUUGUCAUCAAAUCUGCUGACUGGACAGUUGCCGGAUUGUCUACUUGCAGGUUCUAAAAACAGGGUUGUCCUGUAUGCUAGAAAUUGUCUAGCAGCUGGAAAUGAAAAUCAACACCCGCUUUCCUUUUGUCAGAAUGAGGCUUUGGCAGUGGGAAUUUUACCUCUGCAAAAGAAGCAGAAACAAGUUUCCAAAGCAGUUCUUGCGUUGAGUAUAAUAGGAGGAAUUAUUGGGGGAAUCUCACUUUUUGUGAUUGCUUUCUUGCUUGUUAGGAGAACUAAGUCCAAGCAAACAAUGAAGAAGACUCCAACAAGAGUAAUUCAAGAAAAUGCUUCAACUGGGUACACCUCGAAGUUCCUCUCAGAUGCAAGUAAGGCUUCAUCUCCCCUUAAUCCCCCUGCCAAGUAAUUCCCAUUCUGUGUUUCUGUUGAAAUCAAGCAUGAAUCUGGGCACACCUCAAAGCUGCUACUGGAGUCAUGCAUUGUGCAAGCUUUAAUGUAUUUAUGCAUGUGUCCACACACAAUGUAGUGUUGCAUUUUUAGGACAUAGGACCGUAAGUUUUAAUUGAAAGGUUGUCUUUGAAUACUCUAUUUUGAUCAUCCAACUUGAAGCCCUCACAUAGAAAUUAUUGACCAGUCAGUUGCAAGAAAUCGAGUGAUGAUUGUGUUCUUGUCUUAAAGCCAGUUAAUAAUAUUCUUGAACUGUUAAAUUGUUGUCCAAGUUUUAAGCUAUAUUAAAAUUGACCAUAUGAUCGUUUGUGCCCCCUGAAGGGUAUAUUUCUCAAACAAUGAAGUUGGGAGCACUUGGUCUUCCAGCUUAUCGAACCUUUUCCUUGGAAGAGCUUGAGGAAGCUACAAACAACUUCGACACCUCUGCUUUCAUGGGUGAAGGUUCUAAAGGGCAGGUAUGCUACUCUGGUACAAUAUAUAUAUGAUGCCUACUUUCAUGUCGCAAUGAUGCACAGUAUGACAGUUCUGACAAUUUGUAUUUUCCCUUUGCGUGAUCCGUUCAAAGAACGGAAAAGGAAAAGUUGGUCCAGCAUUUCUCUACACCUCACAUAUUUCAUGCUUGCAGAUGUACAGGGGUCGCCUGAAGAAUGGUACCUUCAUUGCCAUUAGGUGCCUUAAAAUGAAAAAAAGCCACAGCACUCGAAACUUCAUGCACCAUAUAGAGCUGAUAUCAAAACUCAGACAUUGUCAUUUAGUCAGUGCUCUUGGACACUGCUUUGAAUGCUACUUUGAUGAUUCAAGUGUUAGCAGAAUAUUUCUCAUCUUCGAAUACGUUCCAAACGGCACACUAAGGAGCUGGAUAUCUGGUAAUUCAUGAAAAUCUUUAAUUCGUUUCUCAGGGUGGAGGAUAUAAAGUAAUUAAAGCCACUCUUUUGUACUCCUCUGCUCUAUAAGCCGGCUUUAUGGGGUCUUCAAAAGUAGCUGUGAAUUUUUUAACCUUGAUCCUGCGUGUAGUCAUUGAAUAAAGUAAUCAAUCAGUCUAGAUAGUUCAGUUUCCUGCAAGUAAUUAAUUUACUUAAAGAGAAUAAUUCGUGGUUUUUAAAAUAUAUUGUUCAAAGUCAUCAAGAAAAGACCGAAUCGGAAUCAUGUUCCAUAGUAAUCACAAGAAAUUACUAUUUUAUGUCCUCCAUCCUGACUUGUUGUUAUAUCCAGUUAAUCAAAUUAUGCCUUUAUGUUCUGGCUGGUUUCAAAGUCUUAGAUACUUUUAUGCAGAAGGGCAUGCCUGGCAAUCACUUACUUGGACACAACGUAUAUCAGCUGCAAUAGGGGUGGCAAGGGGCAUACAAUUUUUACAUACAGGGAUUGUGCCUGGUGUAUUUUCAAAUAAUUUGAAAAUAACAGACAUUCUACUAGAUCAGAACCUUGUUGCAAAAAUUAGCAGUUAUAACCUGCCUUUAUUAGCAGAAAAUGCCGAGAAGGUAAAAAGGAGAGAAUCUUCCUUUUCAUCAUUCUGUCCAUCUUUUCCAGUGCCAUGCACUUUUCAGUUGAUUUGUAGCUUGCUUCAUCUGUGCAGGUUGGUCAUGUAACCCCUUAUUCUGGAUCCAUAAAUCCUACAAAUAGUGCAAGGUAGGUAAUUGCUUCAAUAGUCUGACAAAUGUUGUUGCAGUUCAUUAGAAAUAUUAAAAAAUAGGGAUAUUAUCAUUUUUCCACCAAAGGUAUUCUGACACAUCAUGUCAGUACCACGGUUUAGUAAAACUAUCAAUUUACCACCAAACAUUUAAACUGUUAGCAUUUUCUCACCAUUCCGUUAAAACUCAGUUAAUAUGUAAUGAAAAUUUUCUAAAAGGUCAAUUUUACCCCUGGAGCAUAAAAGACCAUGUAAUUAACUUUUUAUGAAUUUUGUAAUUAAAUCAUCAUUUAUUGUUCUUCCUUCUUAAAGGACAAAAAUUACCCUUUAUGAAUUUUGUAAAAUUGACCGUGUGGUGUUAGGUAAUUCAUAAAUUGAUUUAAUUUAUUUAAUUUUUAAAGGGCAAAUUUAUUUAUUUAAUUUUUUGUGUAAAAUUAUUAUCAUCAUAUCAAAGAUUAAAUUGCUUCUUUUGCACUUUUUUUUUUUUUUGCCCUUUCAUAAAUUGAGUUUUAGUAGUAUAAUAAAUUGUCUUUAGCUCGUCAAUUUAAUAAAUAAAUUUGCCCUUUAAAAAUUAAAUCAAUUUAUGAAGUACCUAGCACCACACGGUCAAUUUUACAAAAUUUAUAAAGGGUAAUUUUUGUCCUUUAAGAAGGAAGAACAACAAAUGAUGAUUUAAUUAUAAAAUUCAUAAAAGGUUAAUUACAUAGUCUUUUACGCUCCAGGGUAAAAUUGACAUUUUAUAAAUUUUCUGUUACAUAUUAAUUGAGUUUUAACGGAAUGGUGGGAAAAUGCUAACAGUUUAAACGUUUGAUGGUAAAUUGAUAGUUUUACCAAACCAUGGUACUGACAUGAUGUGUCAGAAUACCUUUAGUGGGAAAAUGAUAAUAUCCCUAAAAAAUAAAAGGAAAAACUAAAAAGGAAGCCUUAACGGGCAACUAAAAUUGCUAAAAAGAAUAUGUUGGGUAUAAACGUAUAAGAUCAUGCACUAAUAAAUCAUGCUGCAUGAAUAUCUACUGCUAUGAGAAAAUAAGUGAUGACAAUCUUCAAAUUUCCUCUAGUUUCUGCUCUUAGAAUUUUCUAGUCAUACAAUUCUACCAAAACAAAUUCAUUCUGAUUUAAAUUGAUGUAAGAACUGUUCUCUCUACACUCUCUUAUUUGGCAGGGGGAAACUUGAAGAUAAGAUUGACAUUUAUGACUUUGGAUUAAUUUUACUAGAAAUUAUUGUUGGGAGGCCAUUAAAAUCCAGGAAAGAAGUGGAUCUUCUGAAAAAUCAGGUAAUGGUUCUGCUUGUUUACAUUACUUUCUUUCAAAAAUCUUUCAUAUCCAUUCUUCUUUCUCAGUCAUCAUGUGAAGAGUUCAGAAUGCCGUGGAAAUUUGAUCACUCUUUGGUGCACAGCUAACACAGUAACACCCUAGGAUUUGUGUUCUAAAAUUGCAUCUACUCGGGCUCUUCUAGAUUUAUGCCAACUCUACUGCUAAAACUUGAAUGUUUCUCUUCUUUGCAUCCUUAAUCUGGUGGCUUACAACUAUGUCAUGUUAACAUAGACCGAAACCUCUUCAUGAUUACUAGCUGGUUACUCAUGACAGCAUACCUUUGACUUUCUGUAGUUACAAGCUGUCAUUACUGCUGAUGAAUCAGCACGACGGAGCAUGGUUGAUCCAGCAGUUAACAAGGCAUGUUUGGAUGAGUCACUGAAGACAAUGAUGGAAGUCUGUGUCAGGUGUCUGCUUAAGAACCCAGCAGAGAGACCUUCAGUUGAGGACGUGCUAUGGAAUUUGCAGUUUGCUGCUCAAGUUCAGGAUGCAUGGCAUUCUCAGAGCAGUGAAGGGUCUCCAAUCUCACCUCCAUGGCCAUCACACCAACACCUUUCCUUUCAUUAGUUGCAACAUUCAGGUCCUUACACUGCUAAAUAUAAACCUGUUAACAAAUCUUUUGAUAUAAAUACACAUCUUAUUUCCUACAAACUCUCCAGUAAAUGUUGAGUUUCUGGUCUUCGAUCUUCGCUUUACAUUGUGCCUACUGAUUUGAAACAAAAAAUUUGAAAUGCAGGACAUGCUGUACGUGGCUUGAUGACAAUUGUGCCUGAACAUUUUCUAUCACUCCUACCUCUUUCCUUCCAUGUAAUUUUUGCGACAAACAACUCUAAAGUUACAGUUGAAGAUGACAUUUUUCAGAGAGACCAAAAGCUAGCUGUCUCUUGUUAUGCUAAACAUCUUGUUUCCAGUUCUCCAUGGUUGGAUCCUAGCACAUAUCCUGGAUUAUAGAUCAAUGGUUGCAGGUCCCGUAUCCCAGUCAAAUCAUCUAUGCAUUUGUUUAAUAUUUUUCCACAAUGAUGAUCAAAGGGGAUAUGUUGUCUGCGUCCAUUACUCUUUCUUUACUAUUGUAAGGUGCAGCUAAAAGUAAUGAUGUACAAGCUUUUUCUAUGUUAUUGUAUACACAUAUCUAAGCCCAAUGUUUUGGCAGGAGAUGGUUGUUCACUUUCGAACGUUUUGCUUCUUUCUGGGAUCCGGGUUGAAUCUCAAAUUUUUACAAUUUACAACCUCAAAAUCGUUUAGCCGUAGGUGUGGCCUGUCAAAAUUCAAGUUUCAAGAUCAGUCUCUAUUUGAAUAACAUUCAGUAAAACCCUACAGGUUUAGUAAGAUAUCGUCAACCUAACGGAAUUCAGAGAUCCAUCUUCAGCCAUUAAUAUUCCAUCCAACUUACAAUGCAAUGAGCGUAUCAGAUAUUGCCAGAACAAGAAGUCUCCAUUCACUAAUUAGAUUAAGACAGGAUUUUAUCCCAAGUCUUAAUCGCAUCUGUUCAAUUUUUCUAUGCAAUCGCUUUCCUAGCUCAUGGCCCCCAUAAUUCGUGGUCCUCUAUGUCAGUUGUCAUCCUCUUGAUCACCUUUAUAUUUCAUUUUUCCUCUUCAAAUAAUAAUGUUUCGAGGUUUCAUGUCCAUGGAUGUCGACAUGCUCAAGCUCGAGGAAACUCCAAAAGGGAGGUAAAAGGAAAAUGAGGUUGUAAUGGAGAAAGGGAAUUUGGUGAAAAAAUAAUCACCAUAAAACACAAUGCAAAAUAAGAGUUACUAAAAGACGGCCAUUCACAACAUUCAAAAAUCCCACAAAAUAAUUCCAGUGAGUAAGAGCUCCUCUGUUUUCCUCUUUUGAGAGUUGAAGAUUGUCUUUAAGACAUCAUUGUACUCCUAUACAAAUGCUACAAAUAAAUUACAGUUAGAUGAAAAAUGUUUCAAAAGUAUAAUUUAAAAAAAAAAUUGAGAAAUUAGCAAGAGGUUCAACCAGAGCUGUCUACAAAUCAUCCAAAGAAAUCCUCUAACUCUGAUAACAAUGCACCUGAAAUCACAUUUAUGAAGGACACCACUAUUGGACAAAUCCAGGGAACAUCGUCACUUCAGAACCAGAGUGCUUUUAUUAGGCUUUUAGUCUGCUGUCCAGCUCUGCUCCACUAUUUCCCGCACUCUUCGGUUGUACUCUCUCUUAUUCUCACUGAACAGCCGAGCUGCUUCAGAGUUUGCAGGAGAGUUUGGAUUUGGAUCACAAAGCAGAGACUGAUAAAGACAUAAGUAGCAUCGGGUUAGCAUCAUCUUGUACAUCCACUGACAACCCCCCAAGCUCAUUUAUUUUAGGAUCAACCAUAACUCACAUGAAAUCUCAUGCAAAAACCAAAUUGUCAAGUGCAAACAUAGCAUAUUUGAAAGCUAUAUUAUUAACCAAUUAUUUUAAAGAACACAUUAUAACCAAACUAUAAAUGUUUGAAAUAUUGAUGAAGAAGCUGAUGCAAGAUUCCAUCAUGUUGUGAGUGAGUGAGUGAGUCAGGGGGGGGGAGGGGAAGAAAAGUCAGUCACAACCUGGUAACAAGGAUAAUUUCAGUUUGAAUAAGCAUGUAUUCUGAUUACCAGCUACCAUCAACAAAGAUCAAAAAGAUAAAAGAAAAUGCCAAAAUCAUAACAAAUACUCCACAAUGCCAUCAUUGUUAUGAGAAAGACAAAUUUGAAAACUUUUCAUUUGCAUUUUAAGUCAAAAGACAAAUUUGAAAACUUUCCAUUGCAUUUUAAGUCAAGUUAAAUAUGGUAAGUACAAUAUCAUGUCUUCUCCCACCAAAAACAAAAAAAAAAAAAAGACAAUAUCAUGUCUUCUCCCACCAAAAACAUAUGGUAAGUACAAUAUCAUGUCUUCUCCCACCAAAAACAAAAAAAAAAAAAAGAUUCCAGAUUAAGAGUGCCAACAGUAAUACUACCUGGGAUACUUGUCAUUGUACGAUUUUGACCCCAUGCACAUGAGUUUAGGAAUGAGCAUGAAAUUUUACAGGUUCGUCUAUGUACAGUAAAAAGUGCUCUAUAUCACAGUUUUAUGUUAGCUUUCGCGUGGAUUAAAAAUUAGAUAACUAGAAUUCCAGCCUUGUUUUGUCUAGUCCAUAGAAACACUUGAAAACAGCCGCAUGUUUGAUACUAAAUCUCAAAAAUCAGUUUGUUUACAGCAUUUUUCAGAUGAGACAACUGACUAUAGAUUCCUCAAAUUUCUUUAAUGGAAAAUACUUAAAAUCAUUCAUAUCAAUGCAUCAAACAGUAAUAUUUAUGUGUCGUAUUUCAGACCAUAAACUUAAACAUCAAAUAAUAAAGUGACCAGGUCAUAAAAUCACAGAUAAAAGAGAAGCAAGAUAUGUUGGGAAGAAAACAAAAGAGAAACACCGUGCAAUUAGUCUUUCUUAUGCACAUAAAAGAUACAAAGGAACACAGUAGGCAAACCAAAUAAUAUGAAGUCAUCAUUUGAUGAAACAGGGACUUUGGUCUAUGCAAACCAGCAGAUUUUCUAUUUCGAAGAUUGUCUUAAAACAUGGAAGAUUCACAUUUAUGUUCAGUUAAUAUAUGAAAACAUAUAUAAUGAUGCAAAAAAAAUGCCUUCACAGUGCAGGCUUGUUGACCUCAUAAGCACUUGGAAUUGCGUCAGGGUAAGACAAUCUGAAAAGCUUUUAGCCACUAAUAUCAUGGGUGUGAUUCAGUUGCCAAUUCAAACUAUCUCCACAUUUCAAUUAAGUAGAAGGACUUAUAAAAAGAAGAAAGGGGGAAACAGGAAACAUAACAAAAAUACGGAAAAGGGGGAAACAGGAAACAUUUAACAGGGGAAACCUUAAAAAAUGUGUUAGUCAUAUUGUCUAUUCUCUUUUCUUUUUCCCCCUUCAAAGCAAAAAAGCAAUUUUCUUUCAAUAACCAACAUUAAUUAUAAGAAAUUACGCAGGCAGAAAACAUCCAAUAUCAAUCAAUGAUUAACAAGAAAUAGAAUCCUUUUCCCACAAUCAAGAAAAAUGAAAGAAAAGUCAAACAAAUUUGCACCUGAAUAGAGGUCAGUAUAGCUGCAACAUCAUAUAUAGGACUCCACUGAUUUUGUAAAAUAUCCAAACAAAUACUUCCAUCUGCAUAGACUGAACAAACCAUAGGCACAAGUCAGAAAUCAGAGUCAAUCAUUACGAAGACCAUGUGCAAUAUAAUAACAAGCAACAUAUCAUUUAUCACCAAAAUUCAAAGAGAACAAUAACAAGAAAAAUAUAAUUAAUAAAUAAAUAGAAAAAUAAUUUACAAAUAACAUACUAUUUGGAUGAAACAUCCGUGAGACGAAACGAACUGUUGGGGGUUUAUUUGGAUAAUCCUCUGUGAAUUGUAGAGUCAACUUGAACGUACCUGAAGAAAUUCAAGAAAAUGCUUAGAUGACAAAUGCAAAAACCUAAAUAUUUCAACUGUAAAGACAAAGGAUAAGGCAUAAGCAAUCAUUUUUGUUAAGUAGGAGUAUUUAGGCCUCAAAUGCGACUGAAAGCAAGGAUAGCACGAUAUAGAAACAGAGGUAUAAUUAUUUACUAAAGCAGAUUGUCCACCAUCAUGCAGCAAUCGAUCUAAAGCCACUUCGGCAAUUAAAAUUCCAUCAAAAACACCAUUUACAUAAUUGGAACGUGAAAGCAUCGUUUACAAGAUAGCUCAUUCUGCUCAUAUUGACAGUCCUUCUGAUCAAAGAUGAUGACAAAAAAAAAAGAAAAAAAAAAGAAAAAAAAAAGAGGUGAUCGAAUUUUCUCAACAUCAAACCGGAAAAAAAAAAAAAAAAAACCACUAACACAAACAUGGACAAGGUAAUUAAAUUGUAACAAUAUAUACAAGUUAUGACCCACAACAGCAAAUACAACACAAGCCAAGAACCAUAGGAAUUCAACCAUGUUCUAUACACAGAAUCAGCUUAGUUACAGGCAAAAUAAAAAAGUCAGCUCAUCAAAGCUUUCGCUUAAUUAUACAUUAAAACUAAUGAACGAAACCUAACAAGCAAAAGCUGAGUGAAAAAUGAAAUCAAAAGCAUAAAAUUAUUUCUAUAAAGUAAAAAGACAAUAAAAUUCCCACCUCCGUCCCAGGGAGUAUCAUCGGGCCUGCAAAACACCACGAAAAAGGAAAAAAAAAUCAAAACAAAAACCAAAAGAAGUACAAAAAAGAAGAAAAGGAAGAAAAGAAAGUGUACCCAAAAAUAACGGCGUUCCACAACAUGAUGUUGUUGUCUUGAGGGGCACCGCUGAUGCCGGCGGGUGGAUCUUGCUGGAGGCGCUUGAAGUCCCGCAUCAGCCGCUUCUUCGCCGGUGUUGACAUGGCGACGUCGUGUUCUACAGAGAGAGAACGAGAGAGGAAAGUUCUAGAGAAAAGAGGGAUCUGAGCAAAAAUCUAAUCUAAAGAAGACUUUGUUGCUGCAUACGAGUUGCCAUGACAUAGCAAUAGGCCCAGGCAAUAGGCAUAACCUGUGCAACACCGCCAGCUAGUUUUGGUUUGUGAAUUGUGAUUGUGAUUUGUGAGUCCCACGCACACACUCUAGUCACAGCCGCCUUCUACUUUUUAUUUAUUACGCGUCGUGGGAUCUGAGCUGUUCAAACUUCAAAUUGUUUUAUGUCAUUUACCGCAAGGGCCACGUAAUUUUGUUAUGUAUUUCGAAAGAAAUUAACCGCCGCCACCACCACCAAAUUACUUUAUUUUUUAAGAAUCAUCCAUUUUACCAGUAAUUGUUUGUAAUGCUGAAAUAUCUUGCAUGGGAGUGGAGAGGAUAAAGUAUCUGAAACUCUUCAAUUUAAUUUAAUCCGAAUUGGGGUUCGCAUCCAGUUCGGAAACUUUUCUCACCCUUCACUGGCCCCAACGUUCAGAUUCUUAUGCUACUAAAUUUUAAUUCUAUAAUAUUAUCCCUCUCCUCUCGACGACCCAUAAAUAAAUACACACCUUAUUUUGAAAAUUUCUUUCCCAUAUUAACCCUCGAAUAAAUGCAGAAUUUUCUGGUCUUUCAUUUUGGCUUGACAUCAUCUAUAAUGGUCUGAUGGGGGCAGUUACAGUACAUGCAUGUAUCUCAUACAUGCAUGCAUAAAAAAUUAUCGUUAGAUUAAAUGGAGUAGAUCCAAUGGUUGAGAUUCAUCUUAGUGUUAAAUAAUAAAAAAAUUUACAAGAAAUGAAAACAUGUAAAACUGGCAACUUGAAACUUUGAACUAAUAAAUAUGAAACAACUACCAUUAAUAUUGAUAUUAUAACCAUUAAACUUGAAACCAAAAUAACUUGAAACUUUAGACAACGAAUAUGAAACUUGUGAUCAUAAACUUGCAAUCUCAAGAAUCAUACAAAUCAUGUACCAAUAAUAUAUGAAACAACUACGAUUAAUCUUGAUAUUAUGACCAUUAAACUUAAAAAUAAAGUAACUUGAAACAUAGGGUAAUGAACAUAAAACUUGAGAUCCUAAAAAUCAUACACAUCAUGAACCAAUAAAUAUAAAACAACUACCAUUAAUAUUGAUAUUAGGAUCAUUAAACUUGAAACUAAAGUAACUUGAAGCUGAGAGCAAUGAACAUGAAAUUUGGGAUCAUUAACUUACAACCCUGAAAAUCAUGCAAUUAAUAGACCAAUAAACAUGAAACACCUACCGUUAACUUGAUAUUGUGACCAUUAAACUUGAAACCACAAAGAAUUUGAAACUGAGGGCAAUACACAUGAAACUCAAGAUCAUAAACUUGCAACCCUGAAAAUCAUGUAAUUAAUGAGUCAAUAAACAUGAAACACUAUUAUUAACUUGAUAUUAGAACCAUUAAAUUUGAAACUAAAAAAACUUGAAACUGAGGGUAAUGAACAUUAAAUUAGGGAUCAUUAACUUGCAACACUGACAAUUAUACAAUUAAAUAGACCAAUAAAUAUGAAACAUCUAUUGUUAACUUGUUAUGGGAACCAUUAAACUUGAAAUCGAGGGUAAUAAAUAUAAAAUUUGAGAUCAUUAACAACCCUAAGAAUCAUAUAAUUAAUGAAUUAAUAAAUACAAAACACCUACCGUUAACAUGAUACCGAUAUUAUUAAACUUAAAACUAUUUUUUUAUUGUUAUCUGACCUAUAUUAGUAAAAUAAGUAUUAUUUUAUUUCAUAAUUUUUUAAUCGUUUAAGGAGCUCCAAGUUCUUUUUCUUUUUUUCCAACUGUUUGGCUGCCAAGUGGCAAUGUUUUUUAAUUUUUUUAUUCCUUGCAUGUAUGUAUGCAUGUAUUAAUUUAUUAUAGCACAGGCCUGAUUGCAAGCAAAAACACUUUAGGGUCCUACGCUCAUCCUGUUCGCUCAUAGCCUAGCAACAACCGAUUCGCGCCUCAAAACAUUUUCUAUCACUCUUCUCUUGCCCCGCCUACGUAAAUUUGGUGACAAUCAUCACCACAAGGUUAACAGUUGAAGAGGAGAGACAAAAAGCUAGCUGCCUAACUGCCAAUGCCUGUUAAGUUACGUCCUGCAUCCCAUCAAGUAUGGUCCUGUAGCCACCUCCUAACUUAAUUGCCUCCCUUCAUCCCUAUUUCAGAGAAUAUAAUUACAAGGUUUCACCUCCAGCAAUGCGGACAUUGUCAAGCUCAAGCAUAUUGAAAAACAUAGAUAAAAAAGAGGGAGGUUAUAAUACAUUCCAACAGUAAUGGAGAAAAAAGGGCUUCAACAGAAUAAGCAAUCACCAUAAAAAUACAAUGCAAGAUGGCCGUUCACAACAUCCAAAAAUCCGACUAAAUAAUUCCAAUGAAAAAGAGCUCCUCUGAGGUUGUCUUAAGACAUACAUCACUGAUUCACUGCAGCAAUAAUACCCCUAUACAAAUGCUACAGAUAAAUUACAGUUACAUGAAAGAUGUUGAAAAGAAGAAGAUGGAAAUGUUGAGAAAUUAACAAGAGGUUCAACCAGAGCUAUCUGGGAGGAAGAAUCUGAAGAGAUUCUCUAAUAACAAUGCACCUGAAAUCAGAUUGAUUACGGAGUACACGACUAUUGAACAAACCAGCCACACCAGCCCCAGUUUUCAUCUUUUAUUUCUACAGCAUAACCGGCCGGUGCUUUCAUUGGACUUUUAGUCGGCUGUCCAGCUUUGCUCCACUAUUUCACGCACUCUUCGGUUGUACUCUCGUUUAUUCUCACUAAACAGCCGAGCUGCUUCAGAAUUUGCAGGGGAGUUUGGAUUUGGAUCACAAAGCAGCGACUGGUAAAGACAUAUAAGUAGUGUCAUGUUAGAAUCAUAAAUACAACCACUGCGAAUCUCACAAGCUCAUUUGCUUCAAGAUCAACCAUCAUUUGUACUAAAUAUCAUUUGAAAACCAAGUUGGCAAGUGCAUACAUAACAUAUUUGAAAGCAAUUGACUAACCAAUUACACCAAAAAAAAUAAAGUUUUGAAAUAAUGGGGAAGAUAAUACAGGGGGCCAACAUAUGGUGACAGAAUCAAUGAAACCUGGUACUAAGGAACAUUUCAAUUUAAUGAAAACAUGUGUACUAACUAACAUCGACAUAGCAAAACAGGAUAAAAUAUCCUGAAAACCAAACAAUGCAAUCCUUGUCAUCACAAGGCAAAUAUGGAAAUGUUCCAAUGCAUUUUAGUAAGUAUUAGAUAUGGUACGUACAACAACACUUUUUUGAAAAUUGGAUAUUGAUGAUCGUCUCAAACAUGGAAGAUUCACUUUUUAACUUUGUUUAAUAUAACAAAAAAAUAUACAUAAUGAUGCAAAAAGGCCUUCACGGUACAGAAAUGUAAGCCGACAGAUGCUUUCGGACGUCAUGAGCACUAAGAUCUUAUUAGGUUCAGAUACUCUUAGAUAUAUUUAGCCAAUAAUAUCAUAUGUUUGACUUAGUUGAGUAUACCAUUCAAACUAUCUCCUCAUUUCCUUAAAAUGGGAGGAAUUACAUAUACACGAAACAAAAGGACAAAACAAGUUACCAGUCAUAUCAUUAGUAUCUUCUUUCUUUGAUGCAAAAGCACAAUUUUCUUGCAAGUUCUCGAUAAUCAGGCAUUAAUUAUAAGAAAUUAAGCACAGUGAAAACAUCCAAUUUCAAUCAAUGAUAAACAAGAAACAGAAUCUCUUUCCAAUAGACAGGAAUGAACAAGAAAAGUCAAAACGAAGUUUCACCUGGAUGGAGGUCAGUAUAGCUGCAACAUCAUAUAUAGGACUCCACUGAUUUUGUAAUAUAUCCAGGCAGAUACUUCCAUCCGCAUAGACUGAUCAAACCAUAGGUAAAGAGUCAGAAAUCAAAAUCAAUCGUUAUCAAGACCAUGAGCCAUAGAAUCCCUAUAGCACAAUAAUCAGCAAAAUUCAAAGAAAGAAUAAUAGCAAGAAACUUAUCAUCAAUAAAACAUUAGCAACAAAAUUUAAAAAUAAGAUAAUGACGUACUAUUUGGAUGAAACAUCCGUGAAACGAACCGAACUGUUGGAGGUUUAUUCGGAUAAUCCUCUGUAAACUGAAGAGUCAACUUGAACGUACCUAGAAAAGUUCAAGAAAUAGCUAAAACAACACUUGCAAAAACCUAUAACUUUCAAGAAAAAGAGACGCUAUAACGAAAUAUGAUAAGUCAUAGGCAAUCAUGUUACUUAAUGGUGGUUCAGGUUUAGUGGGAGUCUUUAUUUUAAGCCUACAAUGUAAAUCAAAGCAAGUAUACCAUAACAUACAACCUAACAUAUAAUUAAUUACAGAAGCAGAUUGUCCACGAUUAGGUAACAAAAAUUCAACAAAAAUAAGCUACAAUCAAAUAUUAGGCAAAACCAAUAAUUCAGCUUAACAAAAGUUUUACAUUUUUACAGCUGAAUGAAAGUAAAAUUAAAAGCAUAAAUAUUUUGUAAAAAUCAAAGAUAAUCAAAUACCCACCUCCGUCCCAGGGAGUAUCAUCAGGCCUACGAAACAUCACCAAAUGAAAAACAAACAAGAAAAUCAAAACAUAAACCAGAAAAGUUACAAGACAAAAACAAAGGUUAAUUAAAACAAAUACCCAAAAAUAACGGCGUUCCAUAACAUGAUGUUGUUGUCUUGAGGGGCCCCGCUGAUUCCGGCGGGUGGAUCUUGCUGGAGGCGCUUGAAGUCCCGCAUCAGCCGCUUCUUCGCCGGUGUUGACAUAGUGGCGUUUUAGAGAGCAAAACUGAGAAGCGGCUUUUGCAGAGGGGGGGAGGGGGGAGAAUGAGAGAAGAAGCUUCUAGAGAAAGAAGAGAUCUGGGCAAAACCUUGUGAGGAUGCUGCAUGCGAGUUAACAUGACAAUAAUGGGCCGGGGCCGGGGUUGGCUGAGCAGUGAGCACCAAUUUUUCUUUUUUUAAUUUUAAUGUUUAACGAUAAAGUUACAAAUUUUUCCACGCAUUUUUAUUUUAUUUUAUAUUGAUAUUAAUUCAAUUCGUUUUAGUCAGUGGGCUGAGGAAAAAUAUACAUAUGGUCCCCACGCCACACACAAGUAGGACACCUAUGUAUUUAUCGAAAUUGACCUUGGCCAAAACUCCUUUCCAAAAUCGUCUUGCAUCCUUCACAUGUUCUCUCAUUGGAAAGCAUGUAGUGCAGCAAUAUGUCAAACACCAGUACACCACCCGCAAAAUUCUACAGAGAGUAUGAGUAUAUUGAGGAAUUUGAUAUUAUGGAUGCAUUUUUGUCCAUAUUUGCAAAUUCCUCAUUUUCUCAAAUGCUUAGCUCAGCACUCCUGUCAUUUAAUGAAAACCAUCAGGGACGAUAAUGAUAUUCGCAAACCCGUAAAUCCAUUCACACCAGUCCGUUGCGGGUUGUGAGCGGGUUUGAUAUUAGGAAUUGAAAUUCGCACUAUGUUGUAGGUGGAUUUAGUAUUAGGUACAUAUCCGAUGGAUACUCACAUGAAUAUCUGCCAAAUCUAUAAUUUUUUUAAUACAAUUUUAAUUAAAAAAAUAAUUAAAUCUAAAAGUAUAUAAAUAAAAUAAAUAUAGAGUGCAAACAUGUCAUGUGUGGUGUGUGCAAGUUGCAACUCAUAACCUAACCUAAAGGAAACCUAACUUAAAGGAAACCCAAACUAUUUCUUUUUCAUCUGUGAGCAGCAGUCGCAAAAUCUAACCUUCUAAACUAUUUCUCUUUCACCCAUGGGCAGUAGCCGCACACCCAUUUUCCUUUCACCCGUGAGCCGCAGCCGCACACCCAUGAAAUUUUCAUGGCAUUUGUGGUUAUUUUUUAUGGAUUUAUAUAUUUCAUACUUAAAAUCGAGAAUUUGUAUAGAAUUGAUGUUGAAAUUUUAAUUUUAUAUUUACAUUGAUUAAAUUUAAAAUUCAGUAUAUUAUGUGGAAUUUUAGCUUAAUAAUAUAAAUUUACAUAUUGAUUUUUAUUAAUAUAACCUUUCGACAGUCAAAUCAGUCACCAGACUUUUGGAAAUAUAAAUUUAGAAGGAGAAAGAUUAGAGAGAGAAAGUUAGACUUUUUACUUUUUGAGUCUAUUUUUUUUCUUACAUUUUAGUGAGAAUGAAAGACAUAUUUGUCGACCAAACGGAUUUGACUUAAGUCUUAGCUAUUUUGAUGACAAAUGUCAUUGCUCUUGUGACAUUUGACAACACUUAUUUUUUAGUACGCAUGUUGAUUGACAUAUGGAUAUACAAACUUAUCUAUAGAUUAAAGGAAAAAAACGUUUUAUCUUUAGGUUAUUUUUACUAAGACCUUGAGAUUAUAGGAGCCUUUAAAUUUAAGAGGUUUGUCCUACGAUAAGAGCCUAGAACCUCAACAUCUUUUGGGCUUUGAAGUCUUAUUACUUAGGAGAAUCAUUCUAGGUGAUUUGUCCACCACUUCGUGGGCUUAAUUGAGAGAAAAUUUAUUAAAUGGGCCUUAUUGAGAUUAAAUUUCUUUGGGCUUUAUUAAAUCUAUUUUAUUUUUGAUCCAACACCAACUUGGAUUUAAGAUUCAACACUGCCUCCUUUAGUUGGAAAGAGUUCAACUUCCCUUCUUAGUUUGUAUAAAAUGUAAAUUUCUUCAUAAUUUAUUAUAUCUAAAUUCUUCACCUUUUGGGGUCAAUUUAGCUACGCUAAUCAGAGUUGACCCCGAUAAAUUUGUAAUCUUUUUUGUUUCAUUGUAUGUUGUUGUGUGUUUAGUCCUCUAUCUAAUACAUCCGUAUCACAAUUGCUUGUACGCUAAUUUCCUACUGUGUAAUUUUUUUAUGUUAUUUCGUUAAUUUCCUCCAACAUGACUCGGGGACAGGCUGCUGCGAGUGGGACUGUGAGGUCUUGCAAUCCAAUUAAUUGGGCAUAGUGAUGGACCAGGACUGUAUAUAAAAGAACUGCUUAAAGAUCGUACAAUCUAGCAUCGGCAAGGCCAGUGCUUUCUAUGUAUUUGAUUACUAUGACUCCAUAAAAAGUAUAUAACAUGUACUGUAAAAUCACUUAAACUGUUAAUUAUUAAGAGAAAACUAAAGAAAAAUCAAGAAACCCUGAACAUAAAACGGAAGUUAAUUUGUUCUCCUGUGAUUGUGAAGUAUCUGAUGAUGAUCAUUAGUAAACAUGAUUGGAAUCUGACUCUCUUCUUCAUCAUCUUCGUCGUCGUGGGCAGGCCUUGAAAGUUCAUGAAGAGGCUCCAUGCUGUGGCAAGAUAGCACUGUCUCAGCUGCAAAGUCGAAGUUGGAAGUAAGGUUGCUCAUGUUGAUGAAGUUUGUGGAGGCCGAGGAGCUGUUUGAGUAAGCAGGCUGCUGUUGCUGUUGAUGCAGUAAUGCAACAUGUUGCGGCUGUUGCGGUUGCUGUGAUGUUUGGAGAGCGUUUGCCAUCGCAAACCUGCUGUUUAAAAGUUGAUUUUGCACCAUUGUUAGCUCUGCUUGCAGGGAGGCCACCUGCAAUUUAAUAUUUAUAAUAUCAAUUGCUUUUCUUAUUGCAGUUUUUGGUUCAAUGGGGGCUAGAAGAAUAAAUUACAGACUUUAAAGGGCUAAAAUAAAAUAAAAGAAAAUCUGUAAUGCUAAAAUGUAAAAUGUUCAAAGUAAUUGAUCAAAUUUCAAUUAACGCCCUUAUUUUUACCAGAAUUUUGUCACCUUUUAUGUGACAUUUCUCAUGAAGCGGUACGCGCAAGAAUUGGUAGUUAAUCUACUCUUAUAUAAAUAAAAUAAUAGUAAUAAUUAAUUAAUUUUUGUAACUGAAACGAGCAUUUGGCUUAGAAACAAAAUUAAUUACUAUCGGCAAAUUAAAACCUGUUGCUGCAGAGCAAGAAUGGUGGAAACACAACCGUAAACCGGGUCGGAGAGGCGGGCCUGGGCCUCGUAAGAUAUAGUAACCACAGCAUCUUGCCGCCGGUUCACCGGAAUGUGUAGCAAGAGCUUGGAUACAUUGCUAGCACCAAAGACUUUGUGCACGGCAGCGAACCGGGCGGCUCCCUGGUCUGAGCCAAAGUGGGGUGCAAAGAUGCACCCACUAACGCACUUUCUCCUCAAGAACUUGCAUGCCCCACAUGGAGCUGCUGGUGCAGGUGCUGACAUGGGCUCGGCCUCUGGCGAGGGCGCGGUGGUGGCACGUUUUCCAGCGCCCCUUCGACGGGGUUCGGAUAUGGGGUCGGGCUGUUGCUCAGCCAUUUUCUGGGGUGGGUUAGGCUCAGAGUUUGUUCAAAACGGAAAGGUGGUGGAGUUGUUACUUAUAUGUGAGAAAUUAUGACGCUGGGCACGUUAGUUUCGUGAUGGGUAGCAUGGUGAAUGUGGUAAGCUUCUUUAUCUUUUUCGUUUUUGUUUUAAAAAAAAAGAAUAUGUAUGACCAUUGCAACCCAUUUUUGUAAAUUCCAUAUAAAUGUGGAUAUACACACACACACGAAUAAUGUAAUGACCAAUAUUGCUAAUGUUAUAAUCUAUAACAUCAUCGUGUGAUGUUAAGUUGAUAAAUACUUUGUGUGAUGGUGUCAUGUAUGUUGAUAAUGCUCUAUAAGGUGAGCAAUCGUAUCAUGCCAGUGUAAUUAAAUUGAGGUAUAGGCUAAUACUAUCAUACCAUCGAUAUUUAACAGUAAUUUUGUAUGGUAUAAACUACAUAAAUGGCUAUUUAUGAAUAAAUCAAAGAACUUAUAUAUCUUCGUAUUGACGAGAUUAAAUCUUUGUGCUAUUGUCCAUGAUAUAUAUUAAUUAAUUAUAGUUUGUUUUUAUAUAUAUUUUUUUUCCUCUACAAAACGUGUAUCUAGCUAAUUAUCUUUAAAAUGUAAUUAUGAUAUCAGAAACAAGAGAGGGACAUUAUGGUUGGUGAGGGAGGGAGAGAUGGAAAUGGGAAGAGCCUGAGAGUGUGAUGGGCACGGGCAAAGGAGGUGUCGGUGGGUGGGUUAUGGGUUUAAUUAAUUAAUUAAUUACAGGUUUAAGAUGAGAAAAUUUGAAAAAUAAAAUAAUGAUGUUAAUAUUUAAGGUUAUUAGUUUGGAACAUGAAUCAUGAUACAUGAAGAAGGCUGGGUUGUCUUGAUGAGAAGGCACAAUAUUUGUGCUGCCCGUGGCGUGUGGGAUGCUUCACCUCCAACUCCAAGCUUGCUAAUGCUAACAGUAACAGAAGUUCCAGACACUUCCAGUAAUGCAUUUUGCACUCACCCUUUUUAACUUUCACUCCUCCUCGACAUCCCUACGCAACUUCACUACACAUCAUUUUUAAUUUGCAACAUUGCAUUCCAAAAUUGGGUCUCAAAGAUUAAGAAAAAUAUAUACUGGUCCAAGAAGACACAAGAUAAUUCUUCUCGUUAAACAUAUAGAGUAGGGUGAACUUGGGGUAAAUCUUGCAAUAGAUAGAUUCAAGUAUUCUCUGAAGGCAAGAUUCCAAAACAAGAAGUGCUGCCACAGUAACAUGGUAGGCCCUUUGGCCUGGCCCUAAUUUCCCCGUAGCUAAAAGCAAGCUCUUCACCUUCUUUUAUGUCUUUUGAAGCCAAGAAGCAGAGGCGAGGAAGUAUAGAUCCUGAGCUUCUCACCAGUGUUGUUGACAGGUCACCACCAUCGCAAGAAUGAUUAAUAAAUCGGGCAAUGUUUCCAAUUAUUGUGGCAUCAAUGUUCAUCCUCAAACAAGCCUUUCCAGAUGGAAGGUGCUCCCUUAUGACCAAAAGAGCAGAGGAAUUUCCGGGACUCGAUGCAAGUCCAUCAUAGAUUUGUUGCCGCCGCCUUGCUUCUUUUGUGGUCAAAAGUUCACCUAUUCAAGCAAACAUCAACUAAGACAAUUUCUAACAAAUGUCCACAGAAACAAACAAUAAUUAUUUCUUAAAUAUCCAAGUAAAUGAAAAUGUUUUACACACUAGACCAAUUCAAAGCAAUCAGUUAUUACCAUAAUGUUUCAUAAACCCCGUGAUGUGGGAAGAAUGGAAAGAAAGAUCAAAAACAUCACCCAAAGUGCCCAACAAUGGCUAGUUGAAUGGAGAAAAUACAAUAGAGAGUCAAAGCUAUAACUCAGGAAAAGUAAGCAGCUAUAUAAUGGUAGUCAUAAGAACUGGAAGAUAUGGCUAACGGCAAGCUAAACAGCCCUAUGGUAGAUGCAAAACAUAGUGGUUAUAGACUCUAUUCUACCACGUAGCAGAUGUAAAAUAUAAGCUGUAUUAGACGAACAAAAUUUGCCUACCAAUUAGGCAAAAUUAAUCCAAAUAAUAAGGGAUAAAAACUAUAAGAUUUGAAACAUGGGAUUCGAUAAUACUGCCAUUGAACUAGAAUUGUACGAACUGAAGGUGGUCUUCUUCUUGGUCAAAAUAAAUAAACAAAUGUAAUUCCUUCAUCCGCACAAUCCCAUUCUAAAACUAUGAACUUAUGAUUCCAUACUACCGUAACACAGCAGAAAUAUAAUUCCAACAACGGCACGCGCUAAAUCUAAUAAUAAGUCUUACUGUAUCAAAUAAUCAUCAAGCAGAUGCAACUAGGCAUAUGUAUAAUUAAAAUCACAAGCAUCAAAAACUCUAAACAAAUAUUACAAAAAUGCCAACAUACAUUUCCAUUUUGCCGAUACCUGCGUACUCACAGAUGAAUUGCCCUUGCUUUAUGAAUUGAUCGGCAUAUAAACCCCACCCUUUAUUCACACUCCUCACAAUCUUCAAUCUCACCGAUAUUCCUCUCUGAGUCAACCGAUUCCCGCACUCAGACCCGCACCCGCAACUCGGUCCGCACUCACUCACUAUGCCCACAUCCUCCAGACCCGAAAAACACGGACACCCAAAUACCCCAUCACCAAGUCCCACCUCAAAACACUCUUCACAGUCGCACCCAGAUUCACUUUCGUCUGACUCGCAGACAAGACUCACUGAGUCAAACCCGAGUGGACUCAGAGAAGAGUUUGAUUCAGCAUCAGCAGCAGCAUUGGUGGAGGCCCAAAAUUGGCGUGGUGGGAAUUGGGCAGGACAAGGAGGAGGGAUUAUCUGUGAUGGGGUGUAAAUGAAGUAGGCGUAGGGGGUUUUGUCGACGGCAUUGUGAAAUGGGAUCGGGAAAUUCUCGACGGACCUGGAGGCAUCGAGAGAGCGGGAGAGAGUGAUGGAUUUGGAGAUUUGGGAAAAGGUUCUGCAUGUAAGAGAUACGUUGGCGAGCUCCCCUGGGGUUAGCCAUGGGAGUAUUAAGCGAGCCCACUGAAGGAAUUGAUUCUGCUUUUGUUCUUCAUCUACCUCGAUGGUUCGUUUGUGACAGUUUAUCAGCUCCGUCGGUGCAUUGCUGAAUGCCAUCGAGUUUUCAAUGCUGUGUCGUCUGGAACUCGCAUAGUCGCAUCUCGUUUGUUGUGGUUUUUAAGUUUUAGCAUGAACAAAAUGUACACACGGAAAAUACGAUGUCGUUUCGACCACUUGCUCUAAAAGUCUUAAUUGUUAUCAUUAUUAAGCAGAAGCGAAACAAUUACAUGGGGGUUUCGUAGGGGUGUUCAAAAUCUAAUUCGAUCCGCUCAAUUCAUCCAAUUCGCUGAAUUUGAUCCGUAUAAAUUCGAUUCGUGGAUUGAAUAUGGAUUGAAAAUUUAAAAAUUCGUAGUCAAUGGAUUGGAUAUAGAUUUACUUCUGUAAAUCUGCAGAAAUCGGUGAAUCCAUAAAAAAAAAAAAAUUUAGCCAAGGCGGAUGUACGGUACAGCAGACUUUGGAUUAAUUUCUGAAAUUACAUUUGCAACAAAAUUAUUAUAUUACUCUUUACAUUUCAUGUGGCAAAAAAAGUUCAAAGACACCAAAAAAAAACACCUUACUACGUAUAUAUACACAUCUCAACACACACUAGCAACAUUCAAUACUGGUUGGAUACACUCUCGACACGGAUUUGAAGGACAUCAGCCGCGCGAUUCCGGCGAGAGCAAGCCAUCUUCUUUCCCAAGUCCAUCAAGCCACUUCACAUUCAUUGGUUCCAGCUGAACAAUUUCACUAUCACAACCUUCAAGAUCGCCACCCGUACGGCUUCUCCUGGUUCCUAUUGUAGAUGGUUCCGUAAUCACCACUUUUCGACAGGCGCAACAGCCCUGGUGAAGGAUCAGACUGUGUUUGGUUUCCAAAACUUCGUCAUUUCAAUUAAUUGUGGCUUUAUUUGAACAAUUAAUUUCGGUGUUAUAUUAACGUAUUAUUGUAACUUUAUUUGAACAAUUAAGCUUGGUGUGUUAUAUUUUGAAACUUUGAACGUAUUAUUGUAGCUUUAUUUGAAUAAUUAGUCUCGAUGUGUUAUAUUUUGAAACUUUAAAUGUAUUAUUUUAGCUUUAUUUAAACAAUUAAUUUAUUUAAAUUUUAUUCAAUUUUAAAUUUAAUUGGUAGCAAAAUUAUUUUAAUAUUAGAUUUUUUUAUUUCAUCAGUUGGAGAGAACUAAAAAUUUUUAAUUCGAAAACUAAUGGGCAAAAUGGUGGAUUGCAUAUGGAUUGAGUCAAAUCCGCAUCCGAUCCACAGACGUAUGGAUUGGAUAUGGAUUAAAUCAAAUCCGCAUCCGAUCCGCAGAUGUAUGGAUUGGAUUUAAAUUGAAUUUUAUCAAUCCGUGGAUUGGAUUGGAUUGAAAAAUUAUAAUCCGCAAAAUCAUGGAUCAGAUAUGGAUUGAUGUCCAAUCUAUAAAAUCCGAUCCGUGAACACCCCUAGGGUUUCGUGACAUAAAAUGUGGCAAAAGAGAGAUAUGUGAGACUGCUUUUAUAAUUAAUUUUUUGGUGACUUUUACAACCAAAGCAUCCCUGGAAGGCUGGAAGUGAAAAAAAUAGUGAGUUAAUUACAAGAUUGUAUACAGGUUGAAAAUGACUAUUUCUCUAAUGGCUCAAUUUUAUCAUUUUGGUUUGAAGGCAAAAAUUGGCUAUACUCUCGUGUAUUAACACUUCAAAAUGUGGUUACAAGACCUAUGCCUAGCUCUUCUGCAAGCUCAUCCCAUACUGGAAGGAGUGUGAACAGAACAAGGAAUAUGGCCACUGUAACAAUGGCUUUCCUCCACGUUCCCACCUCAGUCACAUCGUUUAGGCAUGGUUUUUCUGGAGUUCUCUGAAAAACAUAUAGUUGAAGCCGAAAUCAGAAAAGGAUUUGAAAGCAUGAAAAACAUAUAAUUCACCCUUAUUUAAUUUUGCCUAUCUGGGUACCUGGCAUAUUAUCACAUAUAGUCCCCAAGGAAGGGAUAAAGGCCCACCAAGCUGGAAGCAGAAAAAAAAAAAUUAGUUGAGAAUAUAAAUCACCUGUUCAAUGAUUUAAAAAACAAACUUAUCUGAAACGUUAAAGAUGCUAUAUCGAAUCAAAGUAAAUCAAAUAAAAUAGAAUGGAUGCAGCAUUGUAUUAUGUGCCAUCAGCACUAGAAUGACCAAACAAAGAAGCAUACCACUCCCAAUCCAAGCAUUGUGUAAGUUGUCAAGCCAAAACCAAUCAGUGCAUUUCUUCCAAAAGCACCCUAUAAGCACAUGCCAUCAGUUUGUGCUAAGGGAUUGAGAUUGUUUCCAGUCCAAAACUAUACCCCUUGAUUUAACAAAAUGGAUAUCCCAGUUCAAAUAGAAGAUAAAAAGGCUACCUGUACAGCUCUUCCACCAUCAAGGCACCCCACUGGAAGCAUAUUAAAAGCUGUUGUGGUCAAGCCACACCUGCAAUAGUAAAUUUUAUGCAUCAGCAUACCUCAUAAUGUUACAAGUAGAAUAAGAGAUUCAAGAAAUUGUGGGCUACCAGCCAGCAAUCACCAAAGGAUGAAUUGUAACUGUUGAAGCAUGCAUUGCUCUGCAAGUUAAUAAGAGCAACGUGUCAAUAAAAAUUUCCAUGAUGCAAGCAAGAAUUAUUAAGUUCAGAUUAGUCAUCUGCUAGAGUAAUCGAAAUAGGAAACAUAGCAGUGGCACCAGUGAAUUCAUAGUUUGCCAACUAAUACAGUUUUUUUUUUUUUUUAAACUAAGUCCAUGGAAGCAGAGAAGGGCUCACGUGUAACCAAGAGUGGCUCUGCUGAUGAGACCAAGAAGCAAUGAACCUUGAAACAAUGUGCUGGGAACCUGCACCAAAUCUCCAGCAGCAUCUGGAUUUGAUGAGAGCAAUAGGCCAACAACAAACAUUGAGAAAGAUAAAGCAGCACCAGCAAUAGGACCCGCGAGUGAAAUGUCGACUUUUGUACUCCGAUCUGGAAGAAUGGAUUUAAACUACAAAAAGAAAUAUGUUUUAGUCAUUCAACUUAGAUGAUUGAUUCUAAGAUGCAUUAGACUUGACAACAGAUAACUUGCAGAGUUGCAGUUAUUUUCCAGAGUUCUUUAUCUAUUGAAGAUCAAAAUCUGAGAACAAGAACACCUGAUAGGAACAAUGCAUUCAGACUUGAAAGUAAAAAUAGGCAUACGAUUUUUCCAACUUGUUUCAAAGUCUACAGACUAGAGUCACUGUCAGAUAGGUUUACCUGAGUGAUUGCACCAAAGCUGCCAAGAGUAAUGUUUGGAAUGAAAAAGGGAAUGCUUAGUUUUACUUUCUUCGGGAAAGCAGCUAAAAAGUGACCAACUUCCUGCAAACAUUCAUCCCACAUUUAGCAAGACAAACCACAGCAUCAGAAUUUAAUUAAUACAUAUAUGACCAACAUUUGAUCAUGUCACAUGGAGGAAAAACACUAACCAAGAAAUAGUUAGAAACAAAAUUAGACAAUGCAUAAUAAAAAUUCUGAUUACUGUUAUAUUCCAAUCACUAAUAUACAUGCUGUGUGAUUCUCUGACUGAAAAUCCUGAGCGUUGAAAAACACCAACAUUAAUAGUACAGUAAUCAAUGAACAAUAUCCAUGCAUCUGCCAGAGGUUCGGAAGUGUUCAAUACAGUGUCAAAAAUGGCAGUCAAACUAUCCAUACACAUGAAAAUGAAUUACCAAAACCAAUUUAUGCACACAAUCACCAUAAGAUAUUAAACUUCACUCCCCACUAUGAGGUUUUCACAUCAUAUAUAAAAUGCUUUAACAAGUUGACCAAGAUAAAGAAUGUCAAACCAAACGUGGUAGCAUUAGCACAAUCCCUGUGAUUUAUUUGAAGGAAGUUUGACUUCAUGACAAAGAAUGCUGAAUUCAAACUAUAAAUUAGGAUGCUAAGCAAUUAACUAUACCAGAAAUUUUGGUACUUUAAAAAACAAAUAGUUGAUUGUCUACCUCAAAAAAUUGUCAUGUUGUAGUAUCACAUAGAGCAGUUUCAGGUCCCAUCUGCUUAACUAUCACCCUAAACAUUGGCACCACUGAACAAACUAGAACUAACAGAAGUAGACUACAACGAGACGGACAUAUCAGAAAUUUGAGCACUUCAUAAAAACAUAUAAAAAUAGAGUGCAGAAAGUAGAUAAAUUUCUGCAUAUAACACAGCCCAAUAUAAUGUGGUAGGCAACCAAAAUGUCCCAUGUGCUUAUCUAGCCAAAACCAAAACAAAUGAAAUGUUGCUUACAUGAAAUACCAGAACGCCCAAGACACCAUAUGCUAGGGGCAAAGCAGACUCUACAAAAGGGUACAGCAGCUCCACAUCGGGGGGGUCAAUGGCAUUUGGAUCUGUGAAGUAUUUUACUAUCUCAGGAGGCAGUCUAUUUAUCUGUUUAAUUAACAGUAUGCAAUCAAUAUUACAAAUUUUCAAAUAAAAAAAAAAGUACAGAUUGACAAACAGUAGAUGAUGUCAACAAAUAUAAAGGAAAUGGGAAUGAAUAGAAAUAUCGACAGCUGCCAUGGGUCUGCCAAAGUGUAUUUGCAAUUAGCUAACCUGAGAUGCAAUUCCUAACUCAACAGAGGAGCCAAUGGUCAAAAGGAAUAACAAAAAAGCAAUCACAUAUUGCCAGAGUGUUGUUGGCCCCGGUUCAGAGACCUCUUUUCGCAGCAGACCAAAGCUAACACGUGGUCCACCACGGGGAUCUGGUCCUUCGGAAUUGGGUUCCUCAACCAUGAAAAAAUUGUAUUUAUCACCUGUGAUCUCAACUAACCGACUCUGAAGUUUGGCAUAUACAUCUUCUCUCUUUCCCCUUAGAUUUCCAAGAAAAAGAAUGCCCUCUCCCAAAUCUCCAAAGGGCUCUUCUUUGGUCACCCAAAAUGUUGAAUAGCCAAAUAGAUUUUCCUUAAUUAGCUUUACAUCAGCAGGGUCAACUUUUUCGGGUCCAAGAAGCUCCAUCAGUUUGAAAGAGUCAAUUUGAAAAUUAUUAUGGGCUGAUCCAACCGGAGAUAUAGUUGGCGGCUGAAAACAGGCGAAAAACAUCAGAACAAGAAUAGUUAUCUCAGGAUAUUACAUAACACAAAAACACAUUCAUAUCCUUUUCAGUCUUAUACUCUCCCAGACUCUAUCUUUAUACAUGUCAUUAGUAUACGUGUGUCUAGUUUUAUAUGUGAAAGAAGUGAACCAGCAUGACUCAUUGGUGGAAAGGGAUGUUGAAUAACACGACUACCAACCAGAAAUCAAGUACUUGGAUAAGGCAGGUUUUAGCAGAAGGCAACUAAAUUUUCAUUAAAAUUCUAAGGCAGAAAUGCUGGAGUUUGACAGAAAAUAUGUCGCUUGAACUGUAUAUUGUUUGCGAAUAAAUCAAGUUAAAAAACCAUGCAUUACCUUAUCUUGCAUCUGACUAGUUGUUAACAUUUUCUAUAUGCAGAGCUUGAUAUAAAAUAGAAUUGAAACUCUAUGGACUUAGAAAAACCUUGACCAUACAACAACUUUGUGCAGACUUGGUCUAGAGCAUCUUCAUUGAUUACUUAUUGCCAAUUCAUUAUAUAGCAACCAAAUCAAAGAUUUUUGCUUGAGAGCUCCAUUUCCAACUUGAAGACUCCAAUUCCGUAUAACCAAAGUAAUCACAAAGAUAUUGUAAAAAACUCACAAUGAUCAUUCUUGAUUGAGAUAUCCCUCUUUUACAUAGCAAUCACACAUCUCGUGCUUGAGCAAAUUACCGACCACUUAAAUAAGAAUUACAUGGUUUCAUGCAAGACCUUUAUACAAGAAUACCCAAUUCAUCAACCAUUUAUGCCAAGCAUAUGCAUAAAGCAUGUGAAGGGAUCACUCAUAACUUCCACAUUUUCAAUCUACAAAUUGCUUCCCAAGUUAUGAAAUAUUAUUAUAACAUCAUUCAAGUAGCAAAACUUUGAAAUGAAUGCGUAGAGACGCUGUUUGUUAUUGAGAUAUUGAGAUUGUGUAGCUGUAACUUUUAAACUACAGAACUAAAGUGUGCUUUAUAAAUUAAGUUGAUUUAAUCAAUUACUUUUAUAAUGAAAAAUCUAUAAUCUGUUCAUUAUUUUUAGCAUAAUAAUUAAUUAAAAAUCAUGUUAACUUUUAUACUACUAACUUUUAUUUUAUAAUCACGGCAGCUACUGCUUAAAAACUACUGCACCUAAAUAGCAAACAGGGCCAGAAGUACCCAGAAGAAAAUGAAAAGGAGAAAAAUGUACCGGUGAAGAAGCAGAAGUGGGGGUCUUGUCCGAAGUGAACUCAUUUGCAUUGCUACUGCUGCUGCUGCUGCUGCUGCUGCUGCUUUUCUCUUCUGUUUCGUCAAGCGCUGACGACGUCGUUGCGACACUCGAAUCAUUCGAUGCAUUAUCUUCAUUUUUCUCUGAAUUAUUGCUACUGUUAUUAGCACUACAAAAACACCUAAAGCUAUCAAAAGUUCUAAGACUCACGCGCCUAUACGAAACUCCUCCUUUGCUUUGCAAACAACAAGAAAAAGAACCCUUCUUCUUCUUCUUCUUCGAGCUCUUGAUUUUAAACACUUGAACUCUCUCAUUGUGAAGAGGAACCGAAUGGAGCCUGCCUCUGACGUUGACACAGCUAAAACUAAAAAUACAGCUGGCUAGAGUUCCCAUCCAAUCAAGAACACGAGAGCUGAAAAUGUUUGUUUCAGUCGAGCAUUUGGGUAUUUUUUUUAUUGAAUUUGAAAUUUUGAAGAAUGGAUUUUCGCGGAUUUGCUGUGGGGAGAGAGGUUGAGAAGAGGAACUAUUGUAUUAUUGAAUAAAGAAGAGGUCGUUUGGCUGAAACAACGUUACCAGCAUAUCUUCUUUUGCUCCGCCGGAUUUUUUUUUUUCACAAAAAAAUAAUAUCUUUUUUUUUUUAAAUUGAUUUUGUUGCCUUUUGAUUUUCUAUGGUCUCGCUAGGGUGACACGUGGCGAAGGGCCAAAUUCCAUUGUUCUUUUUACAUGUUUGAGCAAAUUAAACUAUUUUAAAUGAUCACGAAUUAGAUGCUAUAAAACUUUUCAUAAUGUUAAGAUAAAAUUAUUUUUAUUAUAUUUUAAAAUCGUAUUGUAUCUUUUUAUUAUAUUUUAAAAUCGUAUUGUAUCUUUUUUUUUUUUUUAAACUUCACCCACUAAACAUUAGUUCUUGUACUCAAUUAUUAGUUAAAUUGUGCAAAAUAUCUUUAUAACCAGUUAAGCUGUAUUAUUCAUGAUUUGUACCACAGCUGAAAUAAUUUUAUGACGACUCUCUGGUUAAGGAAUUUAUAAUGAGUAAUGAUAUAGCCGUAAACUCUUGUACAAACUUAUUUUGUACAAACUGAUGUGGCAUGAUAAGAUUGGUUGAAUUAAAUAUCACUUGGCCCACAUGAUUUGUUUUUAUUAUUUUAUAUUUUCAUUCAAUCAAUGAAUUAAUACCACGUCAGUUUGUACAAAAUAAGUUUAUACAAGAGUUUGUGGCUGUAUCAUUACUCAUUUAUAAUUGAGGAGUGAAUAACUUGUAUGUAUUAGCGGGAAAAAGCAAACCUAAAAGCACUGAAAUUCUAAGUCUUUUAAAUGAGUUUAGUUAGAAGAGGGGUCAUUUAAAAGACUUAUUUAACGCUGAUAACACUGAAAUUCUCGGUAAAAAGAGAGUUUGUUCUUGAAAGGACUUGAGGAUUUUGAAGGGUUAGCUGUGAAAUAGGAGUUAGAUAAAUUAUAAGCACUGAAAUUCUAAGUCUUUUAACAAGGGGUAGUUAUAAGAGGGGUUUCACAAGUGUUUUGGAGGGGUGUUAAUAGCUCAAAUCUUAUAAAAUCUGAUUGCGGCCGACCUUUUCUUUUUAAACCCAAAUCAAAUUUGGGUGCACGGUACCAGUGGACCACGAGCCCACUGGCUUUUUAGGCAGUACAACCGACUUGAAAUUUCAAAUAACAAGAAGCAAAUUGCAAGUUUCCUAUUUUAUAUUCUGAAAAAUUACCGCUUUGAACAAAAUGACGCCAAAUUAGUCGUUGCAAAAUGCUUACCAUCAACGCAACACGCACGACACUCGGCACGCAAGCGAAAAUACUACCAACACAGUAAAACACACAUUACAAUAUUAACAUAUUAUAAUAAUAAUAAUAAUCUUUUUUGAUAAAUUAUAAUAAUAAUAAUAUAAAUAAGGGCCAAAUCGCGCCUUUGGUUGUUUCAUUCUCUCCCUUGUGUUUCUGUCUGUCUUCACAAACGCAGAGAGAGAGAGAGAGAGAGAGAGAGAGACGCGAGAGUGAGUGAUAGUGAUGAAUGCGUCUUCGCUCCCUCUCUUCAUUUCACUCUGGUUAUUAAUCGUUUCGCGUGCCCACUUUGUGGCCCCUCUCAAAGGUCUCUUCUUUGUUCCUUCUUUUUAUUCAUUCGCCAGCAGCGUCUUUUGGGGACGUCAGCAAUGAAAAUAAUAAAUUCGACUUACUUGUUAGGAUUCGAUUAUGUUUAAUCUCUACGUAGAUAAAUUAAUUAAUUUACAUAAUUUUUCUCUCGAGGAAUCUCUGCUAGCCGUAUGAUUUAAUGGAUAUUGGUUUAUUCAAUGCUUCAGUACGUUUUUGCCCGAUAAUACUGAUCGAAGAAGGACUUACUGGAUAAUAACUGUGUUUUAGAAAUGGUUAAGGUUUAUGGAUAUUUUUGUUUGCUCAAAUUCAGUUGUUUAACCCAAAUUUUCUGAUCCAGGUGAUAAAUUUUACUAAAAUGACAAUGAUAGCGUAAACUUUUCGUUUUGCAGGUAUCGACAUUGGGAGUCCUUCUAUAGAUGUCACACCGUAUCCCCUUUCUGAGAAAUCCUCAGUUCAUGGGUCCCACGAUGUUUUAUCAUGUGAAAGAGUUCAAGUUUCUGGUUACUCAAGGAUGAAACUUGGGAGUUAUCCCAGUUCCUUCCGAGUCACUUUGGCUCCCUCUGUGGUGAUCCCAGAGAGAUUACAUCAUAAAAUUCAGGUUUGCUUUCACCGGUAAGUGACAUAUCUUGUUGAUGAAUUCUGUUUUUGCUUCUCUCUGCCUCUCCCUCGGGCAAUUUGGGAAAUAUUCAAAUUUAAUAGUUGUGGGUAGUUGUGUCUUACUGAAACUGUGUUUGCAGGAAUGCUUCACUUGGAUUAUGUCAGUGUGAGAAGGAUGAGUGGAAGGAUAUCCAGAAGGGGGGAAUUUGGAGCACUGUCAUGUCCCCAUAUGAGGAUAGAUAUGUUGAUGUCAAGUUUGUUGGCAGAGUAUCUGGUUCUGUUUCAGUUGCAGUCGAGGAAGGUGUGGCAUUCUCCUUUAUCCACUGCCUGGUUAUUUUGUUAAUGUCCUACAUGUUGUGAUUGUGGAUUUCUUAAUGCAUGUUACUUAUCUUCGUGUUUGUGCAGAUUUUCAGAGAUGGCGGCUCCUUUGUCUAGCUUUUGGAUUUUUUACGCUGCUGUUGGCACCAGUUGUCAGCAGUUGGGUUCCUUUUUACUAUAGCAGUUCAAUGGCUAUAGGAGUUUUUCUUGUCAUUCUAAUUAUUCUUUUUCAGGUAUUUGAUUCCUUUCUCUUCUUGUUUUUCAAUUUUCCACUUUUCCCUUUUAUGUCUGUUACUUUGGUCCCCACUGGGAAUAGUUAGUUAGUUACUGGAUGUUAAGCCGUACAUGAUCAGAAAGGAAGUUGGAGUUGCAAUUAAAGAAACUGAUCUACUGUUGUUUACACAUUGUUUCCACUCCCUAAGAAACUUUUGUUGAUUGGCUACUCUAGUAUCAAUUUUAGUGAAAGUUUACCCUUAGUUGCUGGAUAACAUGAUAUAUGUUUUUCAUAUUAGCUCAGUGUUGUUUAAGUUUAUGUUUCCCUAUUUUGUUUUUAAGUUCUAAUUUAUUAUUAUUCCUUUUUUUUUUUUUUUAAUUUCUUUUUGAUGUAGGGAAUGAAGUUGUUGCCAACUGGAAGGAAAAAUGUCUUGUAUCUUACCAUAUAUGGUUCAGUGGUAAGUCUGCUUUUAAUCUUUAGCCGAUAAGCUGGAUAUAUGUUUGUAAUGCAAUAUGAAUCUUACUAUUAACUAUACUUGCAGCUUGGUGCUGGAUCUUUCCUUUUACAUCAAUUCUCAGUGCUGGUGAACUCAAUUCUUAUCAAUUUUGGGUUCAGUGAGGAGAUGCACAAUCCAGUAAGUUUGUUUUUGUCUUUCUGCAAUCUUUAACUGCCCUGGUUGGCUUCCGUAGGUUCUCUUUGACUUAAUAUUACUAUUAUUUAGAUCUCUGCUCUAGUUGCUUUUCUAUGUAGAGUGAAUCACUACGGAAAUGAAAUAGAAGAAGUGACAAAUACCUAAAAACCAAUGAGGGGCUAAGGAAUGGCGACCUGUGUGAUGACUGAAACUGUUAACAGCGACCUUUAUGAAUCCUCGUGAUCUAUAAGUCAUGCAAUUGGACUUACUUUUUGAGCUGUCAUCUGGAGGAGAUAUAGUUGGCCAAAUGAGAUUUUGAAACGCUGGAUAAAAUUUUCACAGAUAGGAUGAGAAGAUGCAUAGAAGGCAUGUAAAAUAGAUAAGGGCAAAAGAUUGUGCGAUAUGGUUUAUUUUCCAGUCUAGAUGAUCUGAAAUAGGUUGCUGUGAUGGAUGAUUUUGGCCUCUUUGCAUAUGUAUGUAUCUUUUUCAGCUUUGCUUUUUGUUGGGACCUUCGGUUGUAAAUUUUAGCUUGCAUUUCCAUCUUUGGGGAUUAUGGAUUUUGCUUGAUUGUUGCUGGCCAUAUUGGUCUUUUGGGAACAUAUCCAUUAAAUGUCUUCGUUUUAUUUAUUCAUUUGUUAAAUUUCUAAUUAUCAUUGAUAUUUGUUUAGAUGUUCUGCUUGCUCUUUCCAAGUGAAGUAACUUAUUAACUACAAAACUGUCAUUCUUCUUACAGGUCGCUAUAUUUGUACUAGUGGGCAUUGUCCUUGCAGGAGCUGCUUUAGGGUACUGGAUUGUGAGGAAAUUUGUAAUUUCAAAAGAUGGAACUGUUGAUGUUGGUGUUGCUCAAUUUGUUAAAUGGGCUAUGCGCAUCAUUGCGAGUACAUCUAUAUUCCAGGUAUGUUGUUGCAUUAAUGUUGGUUGUGAUGUUGACUAGGAAAGGUUUCUGUUCAUUAUCUUGCUUAUAUUGGCUUUUCUGAAUUUUUCAAUGAUUGUAAUAGAACUUUCCCUUUCUCAUUGGUUGAAAGUUAAUAAUCAAUGAAUUUUCCUCUUUGGACAUUUUAAUUACUUUUUUCACUUUAUGAGGGCGUAAAUGGAUGGGUUGAGUAUGACCUGACAUGAGCCCUUGUGCGGUUGGACUAGCUUCCUGUUGGUGUUUGGACUUGGAUUAACAUGGAUCAACCUGUCUUCAGUUCGGGCUGAGUUCAUUGACCAUCUGAGCUAAUCUACAUUUGACCUCUUAUAUAAGCUUAUAAUGUCUGUGAUUUAUAUUUAUUAAAAAUAACUUGAUGGGUUAAAAAGUAGAUUCAAGUCAGUAUAAAGUAGAUAAGUUAAUAUGUUAAUGGCCCUUCUCAAACAGAUCUUCCUACUCUACUUUCCAAGACACAGAAUUGUAAACCGAAAGUUCUGACAUGGAAGUUCUGCCCCAUUCCUGUCAAGUGGUUGAAGCCCAUGAAGCAUGAAAAUGAUCAUCCCCUCCAAGGUUGGCUGUGAGGUCUAACCAACUAGGCGGUGAUGAAGACACCCUUUUAAGUUCAGCCUGAUACGACCUAACGAAAGUGAGACGUGAUUAAAUAGCUUUAGUGAGCUUUUGAAUUUGGAUAUGACCAGUGUGUUGCACCUUGUGAUUUAAGCUUGACUUCAACCAAAUCUGUCUCAUCCUGCCCAAGUUUCAUUUUUCAUGGAAAAGCAAUUACCUUACUGUGAUUACUCUUGAUUUUGUGUCCCGUGACUUUUGAGAUAAUCUGAACUGAUAUAGAAUGUUGACCUGAAACCAGAAUAGACUUUUGAGAUGGACUAAUUGGAAUUUUUUUUUUUUUACUAUUUGAUGUAAAGGGAUCUUUUUCCUGCCAAACGUCAUAUGCUAAUUUAGAUUCUAAGACUUUUGGUGCUGUAUUACUUUUAUAUUCUGGCAUGGGCUACUUUGCUGCACAUUUACUCACUUACAUCAUCAGUUUAUUUUGCUCUUAUGAUUUGACAUUUUGUAUUACUAUAUUUUCUGGUGUAUUCUUCUGCAGAGCACCCUGGAUGCUCCUUUAGCAUUGGGGGCGUUGAUCUCUUGCUGCAUUGUCUGCUCUCUCAUCACUUCUCCAAAGUGGGUUGCCAGUUGGCUGCAACAUUCGAGUCAGACAACAAACAAGCAUGGACGCGCUGAAUUUCUGAGCAGGUCACCUGUAGUUGGAUCCAGAGGAAAGUUGUGGUCGACCCCUAAGAGUACCAAGAGCCCGCCUUUGUGGUCAAACUCUCCUGUUAGAGGUAUUUAUUAUUUAUUUUUUGCGGUUUUGCCUUUGUAUGCACAUGUUAAUUGCCAUGUUGCGCAUUACUGAAUGCAGAUGAAAUUAAAAUUUUCUUGUUAACCCUGAAAGAUACACUAAAUUGGAUACACGAUCAAGUGAAGGUGUAAUUAUCAUUUUGUUUGAGGGAACAAAUUGCAGUAAUCUGUUUAGCACCAUGUUCAUAUAAUUUCAUAAUCAUCAAAUGGGGGAUUUUCCUAGUAAAAAGUAGAACCUAUUGACACACCAUCCUUCAUUGUUGAUGUUAUGAGCAUUUUUAAUUGGUUUUACAAAUAGCCUUUUGGAG
rnacentral:lncRNA from 1 species